rnacentral:lncRNA from 1 species
AAAUUAGGGUUAAUUUUGUAUAGGUCCUUACAAAAGUCUUGAUGUUUUCAAAUAUAUUCCCGUCUUUAGAAUCCGUUAAAAAAAUUUAGUUAACCAUAAAUUAAAUACUUUAAUCCUUGUUAUGUUUGACAUUUUUUAUUUCCUUAUGUUAUAUUGUUAAUACUUUUUUAGAGAUAUAUUGUGAUGGCAAAAUUGAAAAUAUAAAUAGUUUUUUAAUGGUUCUCUAACGAUAACAAAUCAGUGGAAUAUAUUUGAAAACAUCAGGGCUUUUGUAAGGACAAAAUAUGAAAAUUAAACUUUUUAGGGAUAUAUUUGUCAUUUACUAUGUUUGCAGACCUAUAUGAUUAACCUUUAAAAUUAUUAUGUUAAAAAAAAUAAUUUAAGUAAAUAAUUGGGCUUACAUGGGCCCUUAAUUAACUUCUUUAAUAAAUAGCUGAUUGAGUCAUGACCCAUUCACUAAAUGGAUCUGACUUGGAUUUGACCCAUAUGUCCCUAUUAUUUUUAUUUCAGGGAUAAUAUCUAAAAAAUAUUCAAUACCUCAAAAAUAUCUUAUUUACUACUGAAGUACCAAAAUAUUCUGUUGUUUUUAAAAAAUCUAUUUAAAUAUCCCUAUUUUUCCUUGCAUUUACUAAUGGGUUGAAUUUUAGAGUCAUAUUUUAGUAAUUUGAGAAUAAAUUUGAAAAUUUUGAAUAGUAGUAGUAACGGGUAAAUAAGCAAAAGCCCUAAUUUUUUUCAUUUGGAGGAGCAAAUUUUGUAUAGUAGUAACGAUGCACCUCUAGAGUCGUGCAUCAUGUACCUAUCGAACUUUGGUCUCAUAUCUCAUAUUUAAAAUCUAGCAUAAAAAUCAAUAUAAGUCGCAACAUUUUUAACAUUUAAAAGUUGGACAAUUAGACUAUCAGAAUAGAAGUACGAGAUGGAUGGAGGGCUGAUGAAUUCAUGUGAGCCAAACUCAAUGGCUUGGCUUGGGUUGUCAACGAGCCAAACACGAGUGUUCGUUAAGAUUUCGAGAUGAAAAAUUCAGCUCGUCUAUUAAACGAGCGAUCGAUCUCGAGCUCAUUUUGAGCUGAGCACGAGACUGCCUCACAAACAGCAAGCUGGAUUCCAGCCUAGCUAAGCCUAUAUCUAUCUCUCUCUCUCUCUCUCUCUCUAAUAAUUCUCUCUUUAGAUUAUCCUCUAUUUAGCUCUCUCUCUCUCUCUCUCUCUACUAAAGUUUAGGCCAAAAUUUGAAAUUGUUAAAAAAAAAAGAAGAAGCUCUUCUUUCAAGGCCCAGUUAAUGGCGAUCAUCAAGCCCUAAAGCCAUCACAAGAAUCACUGACAUUUAUAUUAAUUAAUGUAGUUUGUUAAUCAAACCAUUAAGCUACAUACUUCAAAUUUGCAUAGCUAUUUCUUUAUGUUAUAAUACAUUAAAUAUAAAUUAUGGACAAGAAAUCAUGCAGUUUACAUACAUACAUACAUACAUACUAACAUAUAUGGGAAACUUUAAAAACACUCAUGUGGUUUCACACUUUCUCACUUGAGUGCAUAGUUAGUUAAUUCGGAUUGCGGCCAAAAUUCGGUAUGGUAUAAUUUGAAUAAAAUUUAUCUACUAAUUUUUAAAUUUAUUAAAAAAUACGGCUAAAAAAUGGAUUCGCCAAUUAUUCGGAUACGUAAUUUAUACAGAUAUUAUACGUUUACCAAUUAAAAAUUCGGAUCAAAAAUUCGGCUAUUAAAUUAAGUUUUUUCUCUCAAAAUUUAUGCUAUUGGCAUAAAUAUUUAUAUUUCUUAAGAAUAUAAGAAAAAGAACUACAAAAUUAAGCUAAUUACGUAAAAAAAAUAGCAAACUAUAUUAGCCUCAAAUAAAUAAUAAAUUAAAUAAAUAGAGAUUAAAAUAAAAAUAAGAGAUUAAAUUUUUUUUGAUCGAGUGAUUUUUUUUUGGAGGAGGAGAAGAGGCGAUCGUUUAGAAAGGAUUUUUUUUUUUUUUUUUUUUUUUUUUUUUUUUUUUUUUUUUUUUUUUUUUUUUUUUUUUGCGUGAGAGUUUAAUUUGGAUUUUGGAAAGCAUUUUUUUUUUAAUUUUUCUUUGUUUUGGGCGAGCCGAGCCGCAAGGCGCGGGCCAGGGCGCUGGCGCGGGCGCGGUCACGAGCACGGGCUGGCUGUUUUUUUGGGCGAAUUAUUCGCGAAUCGCGAAUAGUUCACGAAUAAUUAUUUUUUCCCAAAAAAACACGUUUUUUUCCGAAUUUUUCGGAAAAAUACUUAUUCGGCCGUUUAAUUCGUUUUCUCAAAAAUUUGCGAAUAACUCGCGAAUAAUUCGCAAAUUUACUAACAGAGCUUGAGUGUUCUGUGGUUUAAAGUGUAUCAAUUUGAUGCCCUGUGGUUUCAUUUUUAUCUUUUCGGUAGCUUUUUCGUUAAUAUUUCGUUAAAUUAUACACAAAAAACUUCAGAUAUCCACAUAGGUUUAUCAAAUAUUCACUUUAGCAUUUUUUAAUUUUGACUUUGUCACUAAUUUAAGAAAAAAAAUAGUGAAAUUCAUAAUAAAAGAGAAAUAUGAAACCACAGGGCACUAAAUUGAUACACAUUAAACCACAGGGCAUUAAAGUGAGAAAGUACGAAACCACAGGGGUGGUUUUUGAAGUUUUCCAUAUAUAUAUAUAUAGUCCGGUUACUAUACUCUUAUGAGUACGAUCGCCUUCGUACUCAAAGUUAUUUUCGAUGAUAGAGCUUCCGAAUUGACGAUCCAUACCGUUAAACAUUAUCUAGAACAUUUAAAACUUCUAGAAAUCAAAUUUUAUAAUUUUUCAAUAUCAUUUACCUUACGAUCAAAAGCUCACAAAAUUGAUAAUUUUUAACGGCCGGUAUGAGAUAUUUGUUAGUUUAACGGUGAAAAAGAAUCGGAAUAGGUUGAAUAUUUGAUAGAAAAUUCUAUUCACUACCUAAAUAAAGAUCAAUAACUCUGAUUUUAACUUGAAGGAUCCAAUCAUCCUUUUUUAGGAUGUCGUUCGAUUUUAACCGUUCAUUUUAUACCCACUUGAUGGACUUUAUAAUGAUUUCAAAAAAUUACGAAAUUUAUUUUCUAGAAGUUUCAAAUACUCUAGAUCAUGUUUAACGGUGUGGAUCGUCGAUUUGAAAAAUCCAACCUCGAAAACAACUUAUGAGUACGAAGAACUAUAUACGCAUAAGAGUAUAGUAGCCCUACUAUAUAUAUAUAUAUAGGGCUUUUUUUGCAAAUAGCCCCCUGACAAAUUUUAUUUGCAAAAUUGGCCCUGUGUAAAAUUUAUUUGCAAAAUUGGCCCUGGCCCUGCCACGCCAGCGCCACGUCAGCGCCAUGUGGGCAGGGCCUGGGCCAUGUACGCAAGUUGAACACGGUGAUUGGUUCACCGUGUCUAAACACGGUGAACCAAUAACCGUGNCUCUCUCUCUCUCUCUCUCUCUCUCUCUCUCUCUAUAUAUAUAUAUAUAUAUAGAGCUUGGCUCCUAUACUUUCGAAAGUACGGAGGCCUCCGUACUUGUAAGUUGUUUUCGAUGAUGGGACAUCCGAUUCAGCGAUCAGUUCCGUUAGACAUGAUCUAUGCUAUUGGAACUAUCUAGAAACCAAAUUUCAUAAUUUUUUGACUUCGUUUGCCUAGUGAACGAGUAGUCUCAAAAUGAACGGCUGAAAAUAAAAAUCUUAUAAAAAAUAGUAAUAAAAGACUCAAAUUUCAAAUCGGAAGUAUUAUUCUUGCUCUUGAUAUUAAGUAGAAUUUUCUAUUAAAGUUUCAUGUAAUUUGGAUACUUCUACACCGUUGAACUUAAAAACGUGCCACAUCGGCCGUUAAAAUAGUCAUUUUUGAGAUCCUUUGAUCGCUUGGUAAAUGAUGUUGAAAAAUUAUGAAAUUUGGUUUCUAGAUAGUUCUAAUAGAGUAAAUUAUGCCUAAUGGAGCCGAUCGUCGAAUCGGAUGUCCUAUUAUCGAAAACAACUUACAAGUACGAAAGCCUCCGUACUUUCGAAAGUACGUGAGACCUACUAUAUAUAUAUGUAGAGUUGAGCUAGAAUACUCUCAAAAGCACGAAAGUGUUGGUGCUUUUGAAUUUUUAACCCUUGGAUGGAGAGAUGUAGGGUUAAGAUGAUGGUAGCAAGUGGUGGUAGGUGGUGGUUCGUGGAAUAGUGUUUGAUCCAAAGGCUAUUAGUAAUCAAAAAGUAAAUCCAACGGCUAAAAACUUAGAAGAGGUUGGUGUUUCUAAAAGUAUUCUAGCUCAAUUAUAUAUAUAUAUAUAUAUAUAUAUAUAUAACCAAAUUAUAUAUGCAUGAUUUCUUGGAUUUUUUUUUUUUUGGUCCUUCUUGCAAUGUGCUAGUUAGAUAUAUCCAUGUCUUAAUGUUCUUACAAAACAAUAAAUAAAUUGAUUAAAGGUGAAAAACAAAAGGGAAACCUUUUCUCCUGUUUAUGUUCUCUCUCUUUUUUUUGAACAAAUAACAAUUUUUUUAGCACCAGAUCAUUGUAAGCCAUUCUCUCUUUGCAAAGCUCGAACCUUACUGCAAUAAACGUACAUCAAGAAAUUUGAUUAUAAUAAGCAUUCGCACUACAACAAAAACGGUCUAUAGCGGCACUUUUAAAUGUAGGUACAUGUCAAAAAAGUGCUGCUAGUUAAAAUUAUCAACACUUUUAAAAAGUGUUGCUAUAUGUGGGGUCGCUAGGUAUAUAGUGACAGUUAAAUAGUGUCGCUAUAUAUAACCUAAAAGAGUGCUGCUAAUUUACCAACACUUAUUUAAGCAUUUAGCAACCGCCGAAACUCUAUCUCGUUGGCUGCGGUGGCAGAGGAGGACGACAGGAAAUGCUCUUCGUCUAGAAUUUCAGUGGAUUGAGUGAAGAGAGAAGAAAAGAUGGUAAUUGAUUUUUCUUUUUUUUUUUCUUUUCUGUUUGUAAUCGGGCCAAAUAGACUGCGUGUGGUGGGUUGAGUAGAAUAAUCUUUUAUUUUUAGAUGGAUUGGGCUUUAUAUUUAAGCAUUAGUAGAUAUUUUUUUAAGUUUUAGCAUAAAUGGGACACUUAUUCAAAAGUGUCCCAAACAUGUGUCCCUAUAAUCUAAUUCUGUUGUAGUGUCGAUCCCAUGAGGAAUAGUUUAUAAGCGGUUAAUUAAUUAGUAGUUGAUUAGUUAGUAAAACUCAUGAUAUAUUGUAAGAGACAAUUAAUCUAUCUAAUAUUAUGAAUUAAUGGACUCAACAUGGCCUAUACUUUUCUAAACAAUUGAAAUGUAAGGAUUCUUCAAGUGUAAUUAAUCUCACAAAUCAUCAUCAAUACUCACUUAACCAUAUUUGUUCGCUGACGAAAGUCGAAGGAACCCUCAUUUCCUCCGUAAAAUGAUCGAAUAUGGCGAUCGAGAACAACGUCGCACUUGGUUCGCACUACUACUUGAUACAAUUGUAUGAUACAAAAGAAUCACUACUUUUCUCAUUUUGAGAAGAAAAGAAUUGCUUUUCUUCUUCUUCUUUUUCCCAAUUUUUCUCUUAUUCUUUGUUUAGUUACUUUAUUAAAAGUCGAAUCAAUUUUCGCAUAUGAUCAUAUAUAUCCACUCGUGUGUACUUAUCAUAAACCAUUACUAACGUCGCGUUCAAAUUCAUUUGUGUUUAUGAGAUCCUAUACAGAUGGAUUAAGCAUUUCAUCGCAGUUUAUUUUCGGAAUAACAUUAGGUUUCGAUUGAGCAUAUUCGUUUCGAGUAUAAUACUAUCACAAGUGUUUAGUACAUUUAUAGAAGGUGUAUGUUGAUAAAAAUAUUAAUCAAUUUUAUAGAAUCCUAUAAUUUUGAUUAUAGUAUAUAUUUUAGUAUCAAUUUUCUUGAAUAAUUAAAAAUAAUUAAAAAUAAUUAAAAACAGGCAAACUGCAAAAAAGAAAAAAAAGGAAAAACAAUACAAAAGAGAUAGCUAGUACAUAUUUGAGUAGUGCUUCUAUACUUGUUAUAUUUUUUAUACUGUUCAUUCAUUUCUAUUCAAUGAUUCAGAUUCAAUUUUUUAAAAAUUAUGAUCUACAAUAGUAUGUCAUUUUGAGAGAGGUACCAAUUACAAGGUACACCAAAAAGAGAUAUUUCGGUUUUUUAAUAAGUGGGUAAUUUAGUAAUUUUACCUCCACUAUAUUAUCAAAUUUUCCUUCUCUCUUUGUUUUCUUUUUUUCUCUCUAUCUUUCCUCUUCAUCCACAGUAAAGAUGUAAAGGGGUCGGAUUCAGGGCAAAUUUUCAAAAAUCCGAACCCGAAUUCAACUAUCAAACCCAAAACCUAAAUCCAAAAUCCAAAUCCGACGAAUUUAAAAAAAUCAUAUCUACACAUGAACUCGACUUAAAAUCCGAAACCCGAACCCUACCCCGAACCCGAAACAUUAAUCCUCUUUACAAUAUUUCAAAAUAUAUUCCUAAUCAAUUACCCACAUUCAAAAUUUUUUUUUAAUAGUGAUACACAAUUAAUGUCUAAAUGAGAAAAGUUUUAAAAUUUUUCUAAACCUGUUAAAUAUGUUGAUAUUUAACUAUUUACCCACAUUCAAAUUUUUUUAGAUUAGUGAUACAAAAUUAAUGAUUAAACUAGGGAAUUCAAAAAUUUCUUAAACAUAUUAAAUACGUUGAAUUUAAAUAUUUACCAAUAUUAUAAAUUUUUUUAAAUAAUGAUACAAAAUUAAUGUCUAAAAUAGAAAAAUUCUAAAUUUUUUUUUAAGCAUAUUAAAUACAUUUAAUUUAAAUUUUUAGCACGUACAAAUCUAUUUUAAUAAUAAAUUUGAAUUAUACCCAAUAUUUCUAAUCAAUUACUACAUUCAAAUUUUUUUAAUUAGUGAUACAAAAUUAAUGUCUAAAUUAGAAAAUUCUAAAUUUCUUUUAAAAAUAUUAAAUAUGUUGAGUUUAAAUAGUUACCCACAUUCAAAUAUGUUUAAACUAGUGAUACAAAAUUAAUGUCUAAACUAAUUGAAUUUAAAUAUUUACCAACGUUACAAGUUCUUUUAAAUAGUGAUACAAAAUUAAUGUCUAAAGUAGAAAAAUUCUAAAAUUACAACAUAUUGUAUACGUUGAAUUUAAAUAAUUCAAAAUUAAUAUCUAAUCUAGAGUAAUUUAAAAGUUUCUUAAACAAAUUAAAUAUGUUGAAUUCAUUAUUAUCAACAUUAAAUUUGUUAAAAUAGUAAUAUAAAAUUUCUUUUAUUUAAAUUUAAAUUGUUAAAUUUAAAUAUUAAAUAUUUAAAUUCAACAUAUUUAGAAAUAUUACUAUUUCUAAAAUCCCAAAAAUUUAAAUAAAUGCCUAAAUAAGAAGAAUUCUAAAAGUCCUAAAAUUAAUGCAUAAAUUAGUGCAAAAUUAAUGCCUAAAUUUGGAAUAUCAAUCAAACCUUAAAUUAAUGCUUAACUUAGUACAAAAUUAAUGCUAAAUUUGGGAUAUUAAUCAAAACUUUCUUAAAAUUUUGUCUAAUUUAAUUACAAAAAUACCCUCACAUGAAAUAACUUUUUAACCUGCUACAUAAUAGAAUGAUAUUUUUAACCUUUAUUAAUCAACGAUCAAAAUCUUUUUUAUUUUUUAUAAAAUAAAGUACCGAAUCAUUUCUUUUUUUCUUUUUAUUUUCUCUGUUUUCUCUAAAUUCUUUUCAUUUUCAUUUUAUAUAUCAAUAAAAGUUCAUUAGGCUUGUGAUUUUGAUACAAACUUCUUGUUUUCCUUUUAUUCUUUAUAGAUCAUGAAAAAUUUAAAAGAUAUUUGAGAGAAUUUCUAAUCGCUUUAGAAUUUAACGGCAAAACCUUGAAAAACUCUAUAUAUAACACAAAAAUGUCAAGCAUUGCUGCGAAAACUAGUAAUCUUCCUAACAUAUUCCUAGUGAAAAUUGACUCACUCGAGAAUCAUUCUACAUAUAUUUAGUACUAAAUAUAUUUAGUACUCGAGUAUCAUUCUACAUAUAUUCUACAUAUAUUUAGUACUAAACACAGUUCCUACUUUAGAUAAUGCAAGCUCCCUAACCUGCUUUAUGCUAACAAUGCAUCUUUAAUUAGAUUGUUCGAGAAUUGGUUUAUUCCCAAGUAUAUUAUGGUCGCAGCUCGAAGUAAUUUAUUCAAUAACGAAAGGAACUGUAAGACGAGAAUCUAUAUGAUCAUACACGUGGAACACGAAAUACCUAAUCGACAUAUCGUGGCUCGACAAGAAUCCCUUUGUCGAUUGACCAAAUGGUGCAAAAGAAUUUCUCAUUAUUCGCAUCGAUCGUCGCAAUAGAAAAUUAGAAGUAAUUGCUCUUUGUACAUCGCCUUACAUAUAAGCUUUUCUCUAAUACAAUAAAUACCAAAUUAUGAUUAUGGUUUGUAAGUAGGUACACCUUUUUGAUGGCACAAAUAAAAACUCAAACUUAAGGAGUAUGAAAUGAAAAAAGAUGAUUCCUCAGGGAUAGCAUAGAUACAUGAAAUAAUAUUUUAUAACUGCACAAAUAGAUGAGACUAGAUCUCGUUCGACAUGUCGCACUAUGUGUUUAAUCUUUUGGGACUCAUCAUAUAACCCUAAGAUUCGGGCAUCGGAAUUAUCCACGGGAGAACAAUAGUACACUAAAAUUAGGCAGCUGAUCAAUGAUGCAAAGGAUGAAAUAUAUAUACUUAAAAGAAAUUAAGAUGGCUUCUUCAAGAAACCCAACAAAAAAAAAAAUGAAAAUGAAAAGAAAAUUUUGGGUGGUUUUAGGAUUGAUUCUUUGAUACAUUAGUACUAAAGAAAAUAUGCUUUUAGAUAUUGUCUAUUAAGUGUUAAGAACUGUAGAAGAUGAGGAUGAGGGUAAGAAAUUAACUUCCUAUAUAUACUUUUGAGUUGGAUUGUGCUUUUUGUUUGGCACAAGCACUAUACAUUUAUUUUGAAAUCUAUAUCACUUAAAGGAAUAUAUCCUAUAUGCAAUAAGAGAGAUAAGUAUGCAGGGAAUAAUAAGAUAUAUAGUUAGUUGAGGAAUAGAAUUUAGGGUUUGAUACCCACAGUGUAAGGUGUAUCAAUUUGCAUGCAAUGAAGGAGACCAAGCACAAAAUAUAUGAGGCUUUUUGUGGGUGCAUGAAUUAAGUGUGUGUCGAUGGUUUGAGUCACCAUGUGGGCUAACCAUAAUAAACAAGAAGGUUUCAUUGGUUUCAUCAUAUAAAAUAUAAAAAGAAAAUCAUAAUUAAUGUGACGCACCACUUACUAGGAGGCCAUCUAUCCUAGGACUAUUCUAACCUUAACAUACUUUAACUCUCUUAAUAUUUUGAAUCUAGCCACUGCUUAAAAUAUUAUAGCCGGAUUAAGAUAUUUAGUCAUAUUAAUUAUAUUUUAUAUAUAAGACUAUUCUGAAUUCCAAGGUUGCUCUGCCUACUGUAUAACUUUGACUCAACCGAAAUUCAUCUUACACUUUCAGCUGGUAAUUGGCUCUGAUACCAACUAUAACACUCCACUUUUCAGGAGGUCAACAAUCCUAGGACUACUCUAGUCCUAAUACACUUAACUAUAUCUUUUAUAUAUAUAUAUAUAUAUAUAGAGAGAGAGAGAGAGAGAGAGAGAGAGAGAGAGAGAGAGAGAGAGAGAGAGNAAAUUAUGCGAUUUUUCGAUAUUAUUUACCUAGUGAACGAAGGGGCUCAAAAUCAACGGUUGAAAAUAAAAAUCAUACAAAACAUGAUAAUAUGACAUUAAAAUUUUAGAUCAAAGAUAUUGAUCUUGUUUUAUAUAGUAUAAAGAACUUUCUAUCAAAAUUUCACGUAAUUUGGAUAUUUCUAUAUUGUUAAACUUGCAAACGGCUCACUACGACCAUUAAAAUUAUUGAUUUUGAGCCCUUUCAAUCACUAGGCAAAUGAUAUCAAAAAAUCAUAAAAUUUAUUUUCUAUGUACUUCAAAUACUCUAGAUCAAGUUUAUCGGAGCCGAUCGACGAUUCGAAAGUCGCAACAUCGAAAAUGACUUAAAAGCACGGAAGGCUCCGUGCUUCCAAACGUAUAGUAGCCUCACACUAUAUAUAUAUAUAUAUAUAUAUAUAGAGAGAGAGAGAGAGAGAGAGAGAGAGAGAGAGAGAGAGAGAGAGAGAGAGAGAGAGUGCUUGACUGGGCUACUAUCAAUAGUAAAGGGCUCGGUUUACUACCGAUUUAUUUUUUAUGGUAGAGCUUCCAAACCGAUGAUUGGCAUCGUUGAACAUGAUCUAGAAACCAAAUUUCACAAUUUUUUGACAUCACUAACUGAACGAUCAAAGGGUCACAAAAUCUGUAAUUUUAAUGACCGAUAUGGUGCGUUUGUUCGUUUAACGGUAUAGAAGAGUUCAAAUCAACUAAAUUUUUAUUAGAAAAUUCUUUAAACUAUUUAAAACAAGAUUUAGACUCUAGAUCUUAAAUACAGAAAUUGUAUCAUCACUUUUUAAAGAAUAUUCAUUUUCAGCCAUUCAUUUUUCUGUUUACUUGAUGGACAAAAGAACAAUAUCGAAAAUGCAAGAAAUUUGAUUUUCAGGUAGUUUAAAUGGUUUAAAUCAUGUUAAACGGUGUCGAUCGUCAAUUUGGAAGCACUAUCAUCGAAAGUAAAUCGGUAGUAAAGCGAGCCGUUUACUACCGAUAGUAUUCUAACAAAACUCAUUCUCUCUCUCUAUAUAUAAGACUAUUCAAAAUUCCGGGAUAUCACAAUUAAAGUGCUAUCUUUUCUUUUAAGAACAUUUAUAGGAAGAGCAAUCAAAAUUCUUGGUUUGAUGUGAGAAAGAAAUAUAUUUGUUGCUUCAUAAAAAUGAGGGGGAAAAAGAACCAAUUUGCGCCUAUUUUUUAGCUCAAAUAGAAAUUCUUUUUUGCUACAAGGAAUUGUAAUAGAUGGUGCCACUAAUAUUUCUAAUCAAGUUAGAAAAUUGAUAUAUCCACUAACCAAGAACAACAAUCCAAAGUUUCUUCUUAAAUAAUGCCAUCACUAGAUUGAUGAACAACAAUUGACUAGCUGAAGGAUUAAGUUAAAAACAAGUUUACAUAUAUCACAUUUAAUUUCUUUUAAAAUUAUGAGAAGACAUGUGAAUUAACUAUAUGUUGGAAAUAAACAGCAUAGCAAACUCUAUCGAAAAGUUUUUUUUGAGAAAUAGGUAGCAAGCUACCUGCUUCAUUCAUUAAGCGAAAUGAACUAAGCGUACAUGAUGGAGACAGAUAGGGCCUCCUGAAAGAGCCGAAAAAAUACAAGAAAGAAAACCCAAAAUAAAGAACUCUACACCUACCGAUUAGACAAAGUAAACAAGAAAAGCGGGGUGGAUAACGAAAAGGAAGAAGUGGGGACCGAGCAUGAAAGAAGGGACAAGCAAGGGUCAAAGGGCUCCGUUCUAGGCAUUGGUCAAAGAAGCGACACGUUCAAGAGCCCGGGUAGCAUUGGGAAGCACCUCGCGGAAGAUAGUGUUGUUGCGCUCAGUCCAGACGACCCACCAGAUUGCCGCCAAACGGGUUAAACUUUUCGAUCUCGUGGCUGCAUUGGGUAUGUUAGAUGUAUCUGUCCAUAGCCUCCGUACAUCCCCGGCAUCCGAUUCGCUUGCAUCUGAACCUUCGGCACAAAUACGGAUGUAUCUGACCAAGAUACAGUCCCGGAACAGGUGGUCGCAGGUUUCUAGAAAGAACACGCAAAAAAUGCAAAACUGAUCCACCAGGCACCCUCUGCGGAUCAUUCUGUCUGUGGUUAGCAGUCUCUUGCGCAGCAGAAUCCAAAUAAAGACUUUGAUUUUGACCGAAAUUUUUAACUCUAUCAAAAAGUUAAUCGAACAAAAGUUCGAUAAGUGGAAAAGGAGAGGGACAAUAUAUAUUGUUGACCGACGCAGCAAACAAAUCAGAUAUUGUAAAAUGGAAGAGGGAACAUAUCUUUUAGCAAAUUACAGCUAGUUUUCAAUCAUCUGAGCCAUGUUUAAGGGCCACAAUAUUCAAGACCAAUAGCAUGUAUGUAUGAACUCCUUUAUCACAAUGAGAUCUUUCAUAGGACACUAAAGAAGAAAAGCAACAAGACAUUUGGUCUUAUUUUGUUAUCUUGUGAUAUGAUGAUGUGAAGUUAUAAGGGGAGUAGUGGGGAGUAAUGCAAUCACACUCACAAGAGCAUUAGGGGUGUGUACAUAUGUGUGUAUGUGUGUGUUAUUGGGUUUUGGGAGCACAAGUGACUGACGAUCCUUAUGUGGGUUCCUUUGUUGGUUCUUAAAUUUAAGCCACAUGAAUUCUUUUUUGGUAAAAACAUACAGAACUGAACCUGAGCUAUGGAUCAUUUUGAGUUUGCUAACCAAUCUUUGGAUAUUUAUAUUCAAAUUUUCAACUUGUUUGAUUUGAGUCGAUCAAUGACAAUUAAACUUAAAAAUUUGAAUGUCCCUGUUAUAUUUACAUGUUUAAUUAGUACACGUUAUACAAUUCUUAAAGCCAUAAGUUUAUUGAAGUAAUUAAUUUAAAAUUUAAAGUCAUAAUAUUAUUGGCUGACUCACAAAAAGGUUGAAUAGUAAAAUAAAAAAUUUUAAAAAUUGGGUAGCCGGUUCAAAAUUACUCAUAGUUCAAGUAAAUUCUAUAUGUUUUUACCUUCUUUUUUUUUUGUCGUAAUGUUGUUAUUCUUAUAGAUUCUAAUCGAAGGUGUUAAGAUAUAUAAUCAUGCCAUUCAUAUAUAGAAUCAUUUUAUGUUUCUACUUUUACGUGUUUAAUGUAAAGGUAUAUUAAACCUUGCUUAAUGAAAUCAAUUCUUCAAUCUUCAAUUAAAGAAUUUUUGCUCUUUUGAACAAAAAUUCCAAAGAGGAGUUAAUUACACCUUUUUCUCCCAUCUACUCUCCUUUAUUAAUGCACAAAAAAAGUACACUUAUGUUUUACUAAUUUAUACACACAUACCAAAUUGCAAUUAAAUAAUAAGUAGAGAAUAAUUAAUGGAUGAUAUAACCAUGUAUCUGAGAUUUCUGAAUCAGACUACUACUAAUGCCUCGCCAUAAACUUGUAAUUUUAAGUAACAUGCAAGAUGACCUGACAUCAGUAGUAUGAGAUACCCACCUCCCUCUCGGUAAUAUUUUCGAAGUAAUCUUGCACCAUUUGUAAUGCUACAUUACCGAUUAGAUUAGAUGAACCAAAACACAGUGAUCCUGGUAGGAUUACUUGUAAUCCCUGUAAUCCUAUCAGGAUAACAUCUGGUAGGAUUAUCUGUAAUCCCUGUAAUCCUAUCAGGAUAACAUGAACCAAACACGCCCAAGUUCCGGCCCUUUAUAGUCUCAUAAUUCAAUUAAAAGAUAAUUAACACAAACCAAACUAAACUUGGAUUGCAUGUUCCCAUAUACAGUUAGAACCUAACUCUCACUUUGCUAUCUUUAGAUAGUAGUAUUUUUAAGCAAAAUGAAAUACUUAAUGUACAUUCUCUUGCUCCCACUACAUUAAUAGAAGACCCCACAGAGCCUAGUAAAAGAAAUAAAAAAAAAAAAGCCUACUUAAAGAGUCCCUCCUAUAUAUGCCCAUGCAAAAUAUAUGUCAUGUCAAUACCAAGCAGUAACAUCCUCUUUUUUCAUUUGAAUUCACUCUUUUCUUUUGUAACUAUAAGAACUUGUUAAACAGUGAGUAGUACUCCUCCAUAGUGGAGAGGAAUAUCCAACAAAUAUUCCUCCCCCACCCUGAACUUAGAAUACAUGAACUGCUCUUUCUUAGUUUCAUCAAAAUGCCUCAUGCAAAUCUUAGUCACCAUUUUCCAUUUAUGUUGUAAUCAUUCUAUAAAAUAUAUUUGAUAGAGAAAUAAUAUAUAAAAUAAAAUGAAAGAAGAAAAAGAACAAAAUAAAUGAUAGAGUUGCAUAGCUUCUUUUAAUAAUGAGAAACAAAUUUGUGUCCAACAAUACUAUAUUUACUAAUAGCACAACAAAAAAAUUAACAUUUAAAAAACUUUUUUUAUAUUUAAUGAUGUUUAAAAGCGUCUCAAUAUAGCCAAGCGAUACAUUUGAAAGCGUCGGUUAAAGCGUCAGCAAAUAAAGAGUUGCUACGUAUAUACCGACGUUUACACCAAGUGUUGGUAAAAUAUAUUUUGACACUUUAAAGUAUCAAGAUUUUUAAGAAUUUUUUAAAAUACUGACGCUUAAAAACGUUAGAAAAUUAAAAAUAAUAACAAAGUUUAUUAUUUAAUAAAUUAGUUUGAUAUAAUAAAGAGUUCAUAUGAUGACACUUUUUGAAGCGUCGGUAUUUGCUAUAUUAUAGAAACGUUUGGGGAUGCUUCUCUCGAGCAUCAUCUAAAAAGCAUUCUUAUAUUGAGAUUUGUUAUAUUUAGUGUUGCAUUUAGGGGUGGCAAUUCCAGCUCGCCGUUCGCGAGCCCGCUCGUGUUCGGCUCGCAAAUAAGCUCGAAAAUUGAAUCGUUGUUUAGUAAACGAGCCGAAAUGAGCUGAAUUUUCGCUCGUUUAAUAAAUGAGCCGAACAUGAGCUGAGUCAAUCGCUCAUGUUCGGUCGAUAACAGCUCGAAUACAUAAAUUUUAUAUUUAUAUAAUUAUUUAUUUUAUAUUUAUAUAUAAAUAAAUAAUUAUAUAUAAUAUAUAUUUUUAUUAUUUAAUUCAAAAUAAAAAUAUAAAGACGAGCUCAAUUAUAAAAGAUCAUUUAUAUGUAAAGUUUCAACUAUAUUAGAUCAAAGUCUAAUAGAUAAAAUUAUAAAUUUAUUUUUAUAUAUAUUCAAUCUAAUCCUUUUAAUUUAUUGUUCGUUGGCCAGCUCGUGAGCCAGCUCGUGUUCGGCUCGUUUAUAAACGAGCCGAACACAGCGGCCCCGCCUCGUUUGUGUUUCGGCUCGUUUACGAAACGAGCCGAACACGACGGCCCCGCCUCGUUGUGUUCGCCGUUUACACCUAGUGCAUUCAUAUAUCAUAAGAUUGAAAUUGAUCAAGUGGCAAAGCUUGGUGCUUGGCGUACCCGAGACCCAAGUCGAAUCCUAGUUGAUUCACAUUUAGCUAAGUUUAUUUUAAAUAAAAUAAACAAUCGUGGUAGCUCGCUACUAUCUCUCAAAAAAAAAAAAAAAAGAAAAAGAAAAAGAAAAAAUAAAUUGAUCAAGAAGAAAACUUUCAUCUGUUGAUAACACCGCCAAAUAGUAAUCAACUUCAUUCAAGCAAAUCAAACAUCGAAUAAGAAGUUGCAAUUAAUUUGUACAUUUCUUCUUAAUUAUCUAUAUAUAUAUAUAUAUAUAUAUAUAUAUAUAUAUAGGUGGAAUGUCACAAUUUUAUUAAUUAUACAAAACUACCAAUAGGAGUAAAGGAGAUCAUAAUCGAUUAAGAUAUUUUUUUGAGCUUUUACGGGAACAAAUUAAUCGAAGCCGUUCUGUUUAUUGAUUGAAUGAUUUGAUGGUAGUUCUUUUGAGCUUUAAUUACAAGAUAAUCUUUUAAAGAGAAAAAGGAGAACAACUCUUUUACGAGUGGGAAAGGCGCUUCAUUGAAUCAAACAUACAUAAUGGAGUGAGGCUACCCCUUUAAACAAAAAAGGGAGGGGCUCCUACAUAAUUCAAAUUUAAUUAUUAAUUAAUGUAAUUAAUCAUGCACAUUUGACCAGUCUAGCUACUACACCCUCUACAUUGUUUGAAAGGAAUCAUCUCUUACUCCCUCUUUCUUAUUAUUGUUAUGAUAAUAAUCGCAUAAUUAAUCGAUAAUUUUUAUUACUGAUCCUCACAAUCUCACAAAAGCGAGGAGUCGACUUAGGAUCAACUGUGGUACCAUAUUACUCAGAAGAUGAUCCGAAUUUCUUAAUAACGACUUAGAAACAGUCAACAUUUUUAAUUUCUAUUCCAAGCACAAAGUUAAGGCACUAGCACUACAAAUAAGAACCUAAAACCCAUAUAAAAGAAAAUAAAAAAAAAAAAACUACAAAGGUGGCAAAAGUGUGCCUUUUCCCUUUGAGCACCUAUUGAAGUGACACCCCAGCACCAAACAAAACACUGGACCCACACCCUUCAACAAAAAAUUUAAUUCCUAUAGACUAAACUUCAAAUACCACUUGUGUGAUUUUCGCACUUUCUUAGUUUAGUACCAUAUAGUUUAAAAUGUGUUAAAUUAGUGUCCUGUAAUUUCAUUUUUAUCUUUUCGUCAACUUUUUUGUUAAUAUUUUAUUAAAUUAUAUAUAAAAAAUUUCAGAUAUUCUAUUUAGGUUUAUUAAAUAUUCACUUUAGUACCCUUUAGUUUCAACUUUGUUACUGAUUUAACGAAAAAAAUAAUGAAAUCAAUAAUAAAAGGAUAAAAAUAAAAUCACAUGACACUAAAUUGCUAUACUUUAAAUCACAUGAUAUUAUAGUGAGAAAGUAUGAAACUACAGAAAUGAUAUAUGAAGUUUUUCCUUUUUUUUUUUUUUGUCAAAUCUUACCUAUUCAAUAUAACGAUUAAACCGCAAAGGCUGGUUAAUAUAAUAAAAAGAAUUUAAAUAGACAAGGUAAUAUAAAUAAUUUUUUAUAAAAAUAUAAUACGAAAAAAAAAGAAUUCUUUUAUAUUAACCGAUUAAUAACUUUUACACCAUAUUCAUAAUAUAUCAUUUNNNNNNUGUUUUUUUUUUUUUUUCCUUCAACACACCCCACCAUUUUGUGUGGCUCCCACCCACUUCCCUAGACCUCCACCAGUCUCUUGUACACCACCACCUCCUAUACUCUCUCUCUCUCUCUCUCUCUCUCUCUCUCUCUCUCUCCUCUUCUUCCUCUUCUUCUUGUUCUUCUUCCUCCUCCUCCUCCUCCUCCUCUUCUUCUUGGAGAAUAAUCCAUCCACAAUGAGCAAGUGGAGGAAGGUGCUCAGUAUAUCAGCACAAGGCCUUAUACUCAGUAUAUCUCAGAAUGUGCUGUCCCCCAACACCCUCAAAUGAUGCUCUCCUCUUAUCCUUCUCCAUCUCUCACCACCAAGUAUUCUCUAUAUAUAUACUCCUUCAUGGGUCUCCUCUAAAACACCCACCAAAACCUUUCUCUUCUGUUAACACUCAUUAAAGAGAAGAAGAAGAAGAAUAAGAACUAAAAGAGAGAGAGAGAGAGAGAUGGUGAAGUUCUCAAAGCAGUUUGAGGGGCAACUCAUUCCUGAGUGGAAGGAGGCCUUUGUUGAUUAUUGGCAACUUAAGAAGGACAUAAAGAAGAUCCAACCCCUUGAAGCACCACCCAACACUAUAGGGACCAUUAACAAGCCAAUCACAAAGCCUUCUAUAGCUCAGAGGCUAAUCUCACCACUGCAUAAGCUCCCACUCUUUAGCUCCCAUGGCCACAAGGAUCAUGGAGUCAUACAGGUUCCUAGCUAGUUAAUUAAUUACACCACCUCAAAAGUUAUAUAUUUUCCUUCUUUUUCUUUUUUCUUUUUUCCCCUCUCAUUACCUGUGUUGGUUCUUACACUCACUAAAUGAUAUAUAUAUAUAUGUGUGUGUGUGUGUGUGUGUGUGUGUGUGUGUGUUUAUGGAGGUGUUAGUGCUCUUACAUCACAUAGAUAUUGAACCAUGCCAUGCAUGUAUGUAGCCAUGUAGGGAGUGGGGGGGUCCAUCCAAUAUAUAUAUAUAUAUAUAUAUAUAUAUAUAUAUGUCCAUCCAAUAUAUAUAUAUAUAUAUAUAUAUAUAUAUAUACAGUAUUUUGGGGAUGCUUCGCUUGGUUCCUGUGUAGGAACAUGGAAAUAAAUUAUAUUCCCUUUAAAAAUUGGAAACAAACAAAUUAUAUAUGUAUGUAUACAUGUAUGCAUGCAUGUAUAUUAUAUAUAUGUGUGUACGUAUAUAUGUAUGUACGUACUGAUCAUCGUGUGCACAAAUAGUUUGGAGAUCAGCAAUAUUUUUUCUUCUUUUUUGUGCUUUUUCUCUGCUUUAACUAAUGUGUUGCAUUCCUUUUCCUCUCUUUUAUUUUUUUUGUUUUUUGUUUUUUAGGUUCACAAAAAGCUCGCGAGCUCUGCGAGCAGCGGGGACAUGUACGAGACCGAACUCCUAGAGCAGUUCGCCGACACCGACGCAGCGAAAGAGUUCUUCGCGAGGCUCGACCUCCAGCUGAACAAGGUGAACCAGUUCUACAAGGGGAAGGAGAAGGAGUUCCUGGAGCGAGGGGCCUCUUUGAUGAAGCAGAUGGAGAUUCUCCUCGAUCUUAAGGCGGCGCUGAAGCAGCAAAAGGAGAAGUGUUCAUCAAAGGAUGAUCCCUCCAUCUCUUGUUCCCUUGCAUCUGGUAUGUGUAAUUUGCUUCUAACUUGUACAUAACUUAGUAUUCAUUAACCACUAUACAAUACAUGUUAUAUAUAUAUAUAUAGCAUGUAUUGUAUAUGCAUAUGUAGGGUUAGGUUCUUGUACUUACGGAAGUAUAGUGGUUUCCGUGCUUGUAUGUUAUUAUCUAUAAUGGGGCAUUUAAUUCGACAAUCCAUUCUGUUAGACAUAAUUUAUAGUGUUGGAAUUAUUUAGAAAUCAAAUUUUAUAAUUUUUUGACUUUGUUUGCCUAUUGAACCAGUAGUCUCAAAAUAAAUGACUUAAAUAAAAAUUUCAUAAAAAACAGUGAUAAAAAACUCAAAUUUUAAAUCGGAAGUAUUGAUCUUGCUCUUGAUGUUAAUUAAGUAGAAUUUUUUUAUUGAAGUUUUAUAUAGUUUGAAUUAUUCUAUACCGUUGAAUUUAUAGAUGUACUAUAUCGGCCGUUAAAAUAGUAAUUUUUUAGACUAUUUGAUCACCUGAUAAAUGAUCUUGAAAAAUUAUAAAAUUUGAUUUCUAAAUAAUUCUAAUAGUGUAGAUCAAUCAAUUGAUUUGUCAUCAAAAAUGACUUAUAAAUGGAAGGCCUCCGUAUUUUCAAAAGCGCAGGAGAUCUACAUACUCUAUGCAUAUGUAUACGUACGUAUAUUUUGACGGUUGAUACGUUGUACAGUAAAACUUUUGUUGUUACUUUUGGUAUAAAUAUUUUAUGUCCUUAAUCUAAUGCUGUUUUUUUUUUUUUUUUUUUUUUUUUUUUUUUUUUUUUUUUUUUUUUUUUUUAAAUGAGAACAGAAGAGGGAUCCGCGAGGGGCCCAACAAUAGAAGAAGAGCAAGUCCAAGAGAGCCCAACACUAGCAUUUGAAAGGAAUAAUAGUAGUGGCCAAACAGAGAACAUACUAUCAAGCUCUCAUCAAAGGCUAGAUGACUCAGGGAGGCUUGUGAUGAAGCCAAAGAGGGAGGAAGGGAAGCUCAGAAAAAGCCUCUCAGGGAGGGUAAUAAGUUGCCAAGGGAAGAACCUGAGGAUAAACAUACCCCUCACCACACCUUCUAGAACCUUCUCAGCUCUCACUUACUUGGUGUGGGAGGACCUUGUGAGCCAAUCAAAGAAAUGUGGCAAUGAGGGGGAUCAGAAGCUCAAGAUCAACAAAAGCAACCUCCACCAUGCUGAGAAGAUGAUUAGAGGGGCCUUCAUUGAGUUGUACAAAGGAUUAGGAUACCUAAGUACAUAUAGGUGAGAACUAUAUAUUAAAGGACUCGAUUUCGACAUUAUUUUAUAUCGAUCGAUACCGCGCGAGUACUGAUCACUACAAGAAAAUUUACAUUUAAAAGUAUUCCAAUAAUAGUCUAGCGUCGGCAAAUGAAGAAUCGUCACGUAUUGAUACUUAUGCCAAGCGUCGAUAACAUAUAUUCUGAUACUUUAAAGCAUCAAAAAAUUGAAAAUAAUAGCAAAGUUUAUCAAUUUAUAAGCUGGUUUGAUACAAUAGAGUGUUCAUAUGACGACAUUUUUUGAAGUGUUGGUAUUUACUAUAUUAUAGGGACGCUUCCUCAAAGCGUUGUCUUGCGCUUAGUGACUGUUCGGUCCGAAUCAAACCGACUAAUUUCGAUCGGUUGAUUUGGUUCGAUUCAAUCUUGUAAAUCGAGAAUAAUUUUAUAUAGUUUGGGCUAAAUUUUUUGCAGGAACCUGAACAUGUUGGCUUUUGUGAAGAUUAUGAAGAAGUUUGACAAGGUCAUCAAUUUUUAUCCCCAUUAAUUACUUGCUAAUAUUAUUUAAUUUGAAAUAACUGUUCACAAAGUAUUUACUUAGUUUUUACUAUAUAUUACAUAUCUCAGGUGACAGGAAAACAAGCUCUACCAAUAUAUAUUAAAGUAGUGGAGAGCUCCUAUUUCAAUAGCUCAGACAAGGCAAGUUGAUCUCUACAUUAUAUAUAAAGCCCCUCGUACUCAUAAGUCGUUUCCGAUAAUAAAACUUUUGAAUUGAUGAUUGAUACCGUUAAAUAUGAUUUAGAACAUUUGAAACUUUUAGAAAAAAAAAUUUUAGUAAUUUUUCAAAAUUAAUUAUAAUAACAAUAUUCAUCAAGUGGACAUAAAAUGAACAGUCAAAUCGAAUUCUCCAAUUUAAGAUUGGAGUUAUUGAUCUUUAUCGAGAUAAUGAAUAUAAUUUUCUAUCAAGUAUCCUAUGCCGCCCGUUAAAGAUUGUUACUUUUGAGACCUUUUGAUCGUAAGGUAAAUAAUGUCGAAAAAUUAUAAAAUUUGACCAAUAGAACUUUUAAAUACUCUAAAUCAUAUUUAACAGUAUGGAUCGAUCAUCGAUUCAGAAGUUCUAUUAUCGAAAACGACUUAUAAGUACGAAAACGAUCGUACUCAUAAAAGUACAGUAGCCAGACUCAUAUAUAUGUAACAUAUGUAACAUCAAUGAAUAACAUAUUAUUGCAUAGUAAUUGUGACGCUCCACUUUUCAGAAGGUCAUCCAUCCUAGGAUUAGUCCUGUCCUCUAGACACCAUCCAAAAUAUUUAAACCGGGUUCAGAGUUCUAAUUCUAUUAUAUGUUAUAUAUAGGGCUAUAUGGGGUCUCACAGUAAUACUAUCAUCUAUAUCCAUGUUUAGCAAAUUUAUAUUUGUCACUAAUCAAUAUUAAAAAAAAAAAAAAAUGAACAGGCCAUUAAACUAAUGGACGAGGUGGAAGAGUUGUUCGUCAAACACUUCGCCGAAGAUGACAAGAGGAAGGCCAUGAAGUAUCUUAACCCCCAUCAGCACAAAGAAUCGCACGGGGUCACGUUCUUCAUCGGUAAUCAUUUUUUUAAAAUUAUAUAUAUAUAUAUAUAUAGAGAGAGAGAGAGAGUUGGACUGGGCUACUAUUAGUAGCAAAAUACCAUUGUUGCUAUCAGUUUUUUAGCCUUUGGAUCAACUCUUUUCAUUAUUUCUAACAAUUGGAUUAAAUACUAUAACCCAGUGGGAACCACUAAACCCUAGGGGGACCACUCAACUCUAACUGACUAAUAUCAUCCUGACCCUACAAUUUUUCAUCCAAGGGUUAAAAACUUGAUAGCAAAAAGAGUGUUUUACUAUUAAUAGUAUUCCAGCCUAAUUCUAUAUAUAUAUAUAUAUAUAUAUAUAUUAGAAUUGAUUAAAUAAUAAAAAAAUUUUAUAAAUAUUUAUUUUUCUUUUUUCUUUAGCUUUUAAAAACUAUAUUUAUCUUAUCAACUUUUCAACUUGUUGUAUUUAGCGCCUCCGCCGGGGUUCUAUAAUAUUCCGUCUAUUUUUUAUAUUCACACCAAAAAUAUUCUUCAAAAUAACAGAAAUAUAUAUUAAAAAAUAUUUUUUUAUAAAAAAAGUAAGGGUAAUUUGAUCAUUUUGUUCUUUCUAUUAAUAUCGUACCUUUUUGAAAAUAUUUCUAAAUUUUAAGAAGAUAGAAUAUAAAUUUUUAAAAAUUAAAAAAAUUAAAAAAAUAUAUUAUAAAAAAAUUUUUCUAGGAAAAACUUCAAAAAACCCCCCUGUGGUUUCGUAGUUUCUCACUUUGUCCCCCUGUGGUUUAAAAUAUAUCAAUUUAUCCCCAUGUGGUUUCGUUUUUAUCUUUUCGGUAGCUUUUUCGUUAAUAUUUCAUUAAAUUAUAUACAAAAAAACUUCAGAUACCCAUCUAGAUUUAUCAAAUAUUCACUUUAGUAUCCUUUAAUUUUAACUUUAUCAGUAAUUUAAGAAAAAAAUAAUGAAUUGAAAGAAAAAGAGAACAAAGAAACCACAGGGGCAAAUGUAUAUUUUAAACCAAGGGGGACAAAAUGAGAAACUACGAAACUACGGGGGGUUUGAAGUUUUUCCUUUUUUCUCUAAUUUAGCCUUUAGAAUUGCGUAAAUUCUACUUCACACACAAUACAGGGAUGUCAAUGGGUAUGGAUCCCGAAAUUUUAUCCGAACCGAACCCGAAUGACAAUGGGGGACUAUAUCCGAUGGAUAUGGAUAUGGAUUUGGAUAUGGAUAUAAAAAAUAAAAACCCAACAGAUAUGAAUUCGGAUAUGGAUUUUGAUUGUACCCGAUCCGAACCCGAACCCGACCCGAACCCGAAUUUAUUUUGUAUUAUAUAUAAUAUAUAUAUAAAAAUUUGAUGUUAUAUUUGAAUUUGUAUUUUAAAAAUUUAAAUUUAAUAUAAUAUAUUUUGAAAUAUUGAAAAAAGAAAUAAUUGUUUCAGGUUCAAAUUUUCAGGUUCGGGUUCGGGUUCGGGUUUCGGAUUUUUAGUCGGGUUCGGGUUUGGAUAUGGAUUUUUAAAAUCCGUCGGGUUCGGGUUCGGGUUCGGAUUUUUAAAAAUCUGCCCCGAAUCCGACCCGUUGAUAUCUCUAAACACAAUGGCAUAAACUAAACAAUACAUCAAUCUAUUACAUUAUCUUUUUUUUUCUUUUUUUUUUCUUUUUUUGCUCACUUUUAGGACUAUUUACGGGAUGCUUCGUCGCGCUCUUGGUGGGUUACUGCAUUAUGGCGCGCAUAGCGGGGAUGUACACUCGCCAAUCCGACUCAAUCUACAUGGAAACUGUGUAUCCUGUUAUUAGGUAUUAUUACUAUAACUAGUAUACAUAAAAUUAAUUGGAUCAAAUUUUAGUCAUAUUAAUAAUUACGAUUAAUAAUUUAUUCUGAUUCCUGUAAAGAUAUUAAAUAGCAAAUAUAUUCGGACAAAACUUAAUUUAUCAAAUCUAUUAUUUCGAAAAUUCUCUGGUUAAUUAUCAAAUAUGUGCCUCCGAAAGUUCCGGUUCGUUUGAUUUCACAGCUAGUUUUUUUUAAUCGUGGAUGCGUAAAAUAACUAUUUGGCCAUUAUAAAUUUGUCCCUGCAAAAAGAUAUUUUUCUUUUUCUCUCUCCUCGCCUUCUGCCAUAGUACCUGUAGGCGCCACGGAUAAAGAGGAGAAGAUGAAAAAGAUCAUAUCUAAUUUUGGUAACACUUUUGGAGGGAUAAAUCUGAUAACUUAAGUUCUGUAGGAUUAUAUUUGCUAUUUAAUACUUUUGUAGAUGACUCUCCUAUGUAACUUGAACUGCUGUAUAUUUGAUUGAUGCAGCAUGUUCAGCCUCUUGUUUCUGCACUUGUUCCUCUACGGAUGCAACAUAUUCAUGUGGCGCAAGGCGCGGAUAAACUACAGCUUCAUAUUCGAAUUCGCGCCGACGAAGGAGCUCAAAUACAGAGAUGUGUUCCUGAUAUGCACCGCGUCGAUGACGAUAGUUGUGGGCGUGAUGUUCGCGCACUUGACGCUUACGGUGAAGGGGCACUCUUCGUCGUCGACUCGAGCGCAGGCGAUCCCCGGCAUUUUGCUCCUGGUAUGAGAUCCAGCAUUUGUGCACUUCAAAAUUUUGUAGAUACUCCAUCUACAAAAGUUAUUUUUUAGAAAAAAAUGCCUUAAAAUUUCGUAUCGUAAACACUCCUCAAAAUGUGCUUCUGAUUUUCAUUACCAGAUGAAUUUUGAAAGAAUAUGUAUUUCAAAGUUUUGAAGAGUUCAAGUGAAAUUAAGAUAAGUUAUAUAUAUAAAUAUAUAUAGAUAUAGGGAUAAUAUCUAAUACACUUCUUAACACUUCUGAAAUAUCUUAUAUACACCUUACUUUUAUGUUUCAAAUAUACCUCUCGUAUAUUUUUUCGUUAUUUAAAAAUAACCCUGCUAUUAAUACCCAUUAAGUGAUCUGAGAUUAAAUCCAGGUUAAAUUUCUACUAAAGUUAAAAAAAAAAAGUCAAAAUACCUCUUUUGUUCCUAAUUUAAGAAUAAAUAAAAAAAGUUAGUGACAGUAGAAAGGUAAAUUUGAAAAAGACAAAAAGUGAAAAUUCUUUUGCCCCUAAUUUAAGAACAAAUAAGAAAAGUUGAUGACGGUAGAAAAAUAUAUUUAAAAUGAUAAAAUAGUAACUUCACAGAGAUAACGGUUGUUCCUAGUGAUUUACUAAUAAAAUUUAACUCAAGAGUAUAUUUGAAAUCACUUAGAAUAUUAAAAAGGUAUUUUUAGUAUUAGCUUUCUAAUAGGGGUAAAAUAGAAAGUCGAAAACUUUUCAGGGGUACAAAAGCAAUUGCUCCUCACGCAAAUGUCGUAAAUACUCUUCAAAAUGUGCUCUUGUGAUUUUCAUAAUGUCAAGAUGAAUUUUGAAAGAUUAUGUAUUUCAAAGGUUUGAAGAGUUGAGGUGACAUUAACACAAAUUAAGUAUCUUUAAUAAUAGAAUAAGUUCUUUACAUAUUUAUUUUGGAAUAUGUAAAUGGAAUCUAGAAUAUGUUCCAAUGAACAAAGUGGAGAUAUUAUAUAUUCUUCUAUCAAAUGAAACAAAUUGUUUUGGAAUAAAGAAGCAAUAAAAAGAGAGAUGCUAUUCUUAUGGAUUGAAUUGCUGCAGAUGUUCCUGAUGUUGCUGGUAUGCCCUUUCAAUAUCGUCUAUCGGUCGAGCCGCUAUUGCUUCCUCAGAAUCUUAAGAAACAUCAUCUUGUCUCCUCUGUACAAGGUAUAUACUGUGAAAUAAUACGAAACAAUCGUUAUUCUCUAAAAGCUUCAACUGAUAGAGAACGAUAUGCCGAUUUAUAUAUUAAAGAUUAUUGAAUAAAUUUGAGAAUAUAUAUAUAUUUUUUUAUCAUUACUAAGUUGCAAAAUUGUUUGUGAAUUUCUUUGUAAUUGCAGGUUGUUAUGGUUGAUUUCUUCAUGGCUGAUCAACUAUGUAGUCAGGUACUCAUCAUAUUACUAUUUUGGGCAAUUAAUUUCUCAUAUAUUAUUAAAAAGUAUAAAACAUUAUUUUUAAAGUAUGAAGGUCUCCGUAUUUUCGAAAGCGUAGAAGCCUAGCUCUAUAUUAUAAGAUCAGAUACAAACAAAUUGGAUCAAAAAUUACUAAACUCCUUUUUUUUUCUUUUUUUUUUUCUUUUUUUUUCUUUUUUUUUUUUUUUUUUUUUUUUUUUCUUUUUUUUUUUUUUUUUUUUUUUUUUGCGGAAAUAGGUUCCGAUGCUUCGGAGUCUCGAAUAUUUGGCUUGCUACUACAUAACUGGGAGUUACAAGACACAAGAUUAUGGAUACUGCAUGAGAGCUAAACAUUUCAGGGACUUAGCUUAUGCUGUGUCCUUCUUACCUUACUACUGGAGAGCCAUGCAGGUUAAUUGAUCCUGCACACACAUUCCCUUUCAUUCUAGCAAAUUUACUAAAAUACCCCCUGCGGUAUCACAUAUUUAUGUUUAUACCCCUGCAAAAACCCUAAAUAUGGGGGAAUUACUCAAGUUGGAGUUCUGUAUAUAUGGUACUUUACGUUAAAUAUAAAAAUAUUUAAACACCGUUUUUUUAGUAGUUUAAAUUGUUAGAGAAUAACGGUUGUUUCGUAUUAUUUAAUAUGGUAUCAGAAAAGGAGGUCCUGAGUUCGAGUCGCGCCAGACUCCUAACACUAUUAUUUUAAGUCUCGAGCCCAGACGUGAGGGAGAACGUCAAAUGUGAAAUUAUUUAAAUAUUAUUCUCUACCGGCUUAAACUUGUAGAUUACAGCGGCUGUUUCGUAUUAUUUCGCACUUUAUAGUUUGUGCAUUUUGCGAAUGUAUAUGUAUGUGAAUGCCUCAUUCUCUUUUCCGCGCGGGAGAACUCAAUUUGAAACGAUGAAUCAUUUUCGAUGCGAUGUAGUGCGCGAGGAGGUGGUUCGACGAGGGAGAGACGAGCCACCUCGUGAACUUAGGGAAGUACGUGUCCGCCAUGCUCGCGGCGGGCGCGAAAGUGGCCUACGAGAAGGAGAAGAGCAUCGGAUGGCUCUCGCUCGUCGUCGGGGUCUCGAGCGCCGCGACGAUCUACCAAUUGUAUUGGGACUUUGUUAAGGAUUGGGGCCUGCUCCAACUCGACUCGAAGAACCCCUGGCUCAGGAACGAUCUCAUCCUCCGAAGAAAAUUCGUGUACUACUUGUCGAUGGUACGUGCGGCGCAUUCUUUUCAUCUUUAAAUUUCGCCCAUGACAUGUCGCGAACUACCGAUUUCGUCUUCUAAAAGCUACAUUUCGAAUUUCGCAGGGUUUAAAUCUUUUGCUGAGGCUUGCUUGGCUACAAACAGUUGUACACCCAAAUUUUGGGAGUUUGGAUUCUAGGGUUACUUCACUUUUCCUAGCAGCUCUUGAGGUGAUUCGGCGCGGACAGUGGAAUUUCUAUAGGUAUAUAUAUUCGAAAUUUCGACUUAAAACUAAGGCUAAAUAACAGAAAAAUCUUUCUGUAAAUAUCAAUUUUUUUACUUUCCCUCCCUGACUUUCAAAAACCUAUAGUUUGCCCCCUUAAAAUUUCAAAUUAUUGCAUUUAACCCUCCUCCCUCAAGGUUCCAUCACUAUUCCGUUAAUUUUUUAUAAUUUACACUGAAAAUAUCCUUUAAAAUGACAGAAAUAUAUUAAAAAAUUAUUUUUUUUCUUAUAAAAAAAGUAAGGGCAAUUUGGUCAUUUUGCCCUCUCCAUUAAUACCGUAACCCCUGAAAACAUAUCUGAAAUUUUAAAGGAGCAAAAUAUAGAUUUUUAAAAGUCAAAGAGGAAUACAGGAAGCUUUUCUGUAAUUUAGCCUAAAACUGAUAAUAGAGAUCAAAAUUGCGCGGAAACGUAUGUCAAAUUCUCUAAAUCAAUGUAACAUGUCUCUUUUUUCCAUUUUACUUUUAUUUUUCUAUCAAGUACUAUUUUUUUCUUCUUUUUUUUUUUUUCUUUAGGUUGGAGAAUGAGCAUCUGAAUAAUGCUGGAAAAUUUAGGGCAGUGAAAACUGUUCCAUUGCCUUUUCAUGAAGUGGAACAGGAUUGAGAGAACACUUAAUAUAAGCUUGAUCAAUAAGCCAUGAUCNCUUUAGGUUGGAGAAUGAGCAUCUGAAUAAUGCUGGAAAAUUUAGGGCAGUGAAAACUGUUCCAUUGCCUUUUCAUGAAGUGGAACAGGAUUGAGCUCGAUCGAUGUUUCGUGAUCGGAGAUUCGUAGCGGAUCCGAGCGUCGAAAAGGAGAAAUUUAUGCCCUGUAGUUUGAUGUUAAGAAACUAGUGUAUCAAAUACUAUGUAUACAAAUGAUUUAUUCUUGGUGCUAUAAAUAAUGGAAAAAAGGCAUCACUUGUUCAUUUUUGUUGAUCCACUUUUUCAUGCAUAUAAACAGCAAUGACUUUCAAAAUUUUGAUUUUACUAUCCGACUUUAAUUUCAAUUUGCAGUGCUUUUGACUUUAAAAUUUAAGCUGAUUACCUAUUUUAAUAAAUUUACAAUUGUAAGAAUUAUAUGAAAUAUACUGACUAAAUAUCUAAAAAUAAACGAUUCACUCAUAUUUUAAAGUCAAAAUAUCGUUGACUGAUUCAAAUCAAAUAAAUUAAAUAGUUGGAUAGUAAAAUUAAAUUUUUUUUAGUACAUGAUGUUAGUGCUAACUAUAUCCCUUCUUUUAUCUAAGUCACGAGUUAAAUCUCCACUUUCGCCACCUUUUAUAGGUUAAAUCCGCAUAUUGAAGUUCGAUGGGUUAUCCACCCGUCAAUUUCGUGUUCCUUUCAUAUCCUUUUAUCUGCGUGAGGGAUAGUGUUAAGUAUAUAAUUUUUAACUCGAGUUAGAGUCCGUCAAACAUGUCUGAUAUCUUAAAUAGGAAUGCAAAUGGAUCUGGAUUGGUGUAGCUCCCGUCCCAAUCAGCCUCGAAUGGGACAGAUAUGAACCAAAGAUAUAGAAAAAGAUAAGAUGCCUGGAUCCACCAAGAAAAUGGAACAAGUGGCGUAGGAUCGCUUUCUUCUUUUGAUUCGCCAUGAUCCAUCAAAAACCAGUUCAUGUCCCAUCUACCCAAACUGAAGCAGUAAAAUGGAGUCAAAAAAGAAGAUAAAAAAUUACUUGUCUUGAAUCUGCUUAUCGAAUCCACUUCAUUUGCAUCCCUAGUCUCAAACACCCCUUAUAUAUCUACCGCCAAAUAUUGUCGCCUAAGCGAUAUGUAAAUAAUGACGAAAAGUUAUAAAAUUUGGUUCCGAGGGAGUGGACAUAUUGUCGGUCAUAUUCAACGGGCGUAGAUCAACGAUUCGGAUAUCUGAUUAUCGAAAACAAUAUAGAAGCACCAAUUUAGGCCUAAGCAUAAUAUCAUAAAUAUUUAUUUAUUAUUUUAAUUUUAUUGUAUAAAAAAUAUAUCAUAUUUAAUUAUAAAAUAUUGAUUUCUAGAUCAAAUUAAAUAUCUAGUUUUUAAGUUUAUAUUUUUAUAAAACUAAUUCAUGCUAAUAAAUAAUAAAAUCAGCUAGGUUGAUUUUAAGCCGUUGGAUUUUAGUAUGAUUUUAUUAAAUUUUUUUUUGAUUGAUCUUACUAAAAUCGAUUCGGAUAGUUGAACGGGGGAUUCAAACACUUUAAACUCAAUAUUUUAAGGCUAAAUUAUAGAACACUCUUCCGUAAAUACUCGAUUAUUUUACUUUUCCUUUCUAAUUUUUAAAAUCUAUAUUUUACUCCCUCAACCCUUUAAGAUAUUGCAUUUAGCCCCCUCCCGCAUAAGAUUCCAUUAGUAUUCCAUCCAUUUCUUAUAAUUUAUAUCAAAAAUAUCUUUCAAAAUAGCAAAAAUAUAUUAAAAAAUUAUUUUUUAAAUACAAAAGAAAUAAAGUUAAUUUGGUCAUUUUGCCCUCUUCAUUAACACCGUACCCUUCUGAAAAUAUUUUUAAAAUUUUAAGGGAGUAAAAUAUAAAUUUUUGAAAGUUAAAGAGGGAUAGUGAAAAAAAUGUGUUUUUUGUGGGAGGAUUUUUUAUAAUUUAGCCAUAUUUUAAUUUAUAUAUCCGGUUUAUGGAGUUGAACCGAACCGGUCACGGUCCGUAGAUUUAAUAAACCGUAUCCGGCACCCAAACGAUAAACCCUAAACCCCUCCUCUCCUCGUCUCCCGCAGUGUCGUCUUCGUCCUCAAACCCUAGCCUAGCGAGGCCGCUCACAUAGAGAGAUGGUCCGCUCCUACGCAGCGAAGGGGCGGAAGAAGCGGCGGAAGAGGAAGCUCGAAGAGGUGGUCGAAGACGAUGAGGAAGAAGUAGUAGAAGAAGAGGAAGAAGCGGGGCGAGAGGAGGAAGGCAAUGGAGGAGAGGUGGAGAAAGAGGUUGAGGAGGAAGAAGAGGGGAGGAGGAGGAGGAAGGCGCAUGAGGACGACGACGACGAGGUUCCGGGGCUCCCCGUGGUGGCGCGGCCCGUCGUCGAUGGCGGGAGGAAGCGGCCGGGGGUCAUCUUCGUCCUCGAGAAGGCCUCUCUCGAGGUCGGCAAAGUGGGAAAGGUGAGUUUUUUAUAUCGAUUAGGGUUUAAUUAGGGUUUUGUUGGAUAUAGGCUUUGGUUAUGUUAUGGGGGAUUUAGAGAAUUAGGGUUUUUCGAUAGUAGGGUUCGAGAAUUGGGACGUAGAGGAUCGAAAAUUUGAUUUAGUUCGAAAUGAGUUACAAUUUUGGGAAUGUGAUCUUGACUGGGGUUGCUCUUUCUUGCUAUAUACUGUGAUCGAUUAAGGUUACUCUUUCUUGCUUUCGAAAUUGAGGAGGCGUUUAAAGUUUUCCUUUUUCUGGUUGUUUUUUAUCAAGGGUUUGUGAUUAAGUUUCAAGUAUUAGGUUCUGCAGAAUCCGAACAGUAGAUUUUAGAUUGUUAUCAAGGGUUUGUGAUUAAGUUUCAAGUAUUUAGGUUCUGCAGAAUCCGAACAGUAGAUUUUAGAUUUUUAUCAAGGGUUUGUGAUUAAGUUUCAAGUAUUAGGUUCUGCAGAAUCCAAACAGUAGAUUUUUAGAUUUUGUUCAAAAUGAGUGCGGAGGUGUCGCCUAUUCGGUGGCCUUCUUCUUUGAGCAACAUGAUCCAAAAUUGUGCAAUCCACUAUAAACUGUGUAAUGAUCCAGCCUACUAGCACUAAUAACUUGUAGGGUCGCGAACCACCUGCCUAAAAUGCAUAAGCCUAGUUUUUAACUCUACUGUGUCCGUCACGUAUAAACUCUUCGCACUGUUUCACGUUAUUCGAUGUGGGGCUAUUGGGGUGUCUUAACGCCAGUACCUAGUUUUGCUAUGAAUCACGGAUUGUCGCGCCGAUAAGCCCAUGUAGACCAUGCCGACAUAUAUAUGGGGAGUGCACCAACCCAUUCCCGCGUGCCGUGCCGUGCCGUGCCGUGCCGUGCCAAUGGCACACCGGAGAGUCCUUGCUCUGAAUCCGCACUCUUUAUGCUAUAUCAUAUGUUUCUUAGACUCAUUCACGAUGAGUCUUUCUAGCAUAUAUUUUAUGCAUUUGUAUGCAUCCUUCUAACUGCUUCCGAGGGUUACUUAAAUAUUUUUUUCUAUAUAUAUUUUUUCAGAAUUUACAGAUGUUGAACUCAGAUGAUCAUGCUAACUUCCUAAGAAAGCAGAAUCGCAAUCCGGCUGAUUACCGGCCUGAUAUAAUUCACCAGGUAUUGUGAACUUCUUGAUGCUCUUAUGCCAUUAUGUGGUUAACUAGGUCCAAUAUUAUUGGUAUACUGAACUUAAAAACUCAAAUUAUAGGGUAAAUUUCACUUUUGGUCCUCAAACUUUAAUUUGUAGCAAUUUCUGGCUCAAACAUUUUUAAUUUGUGCAACUUAAGUCAUACAAUCCAAUUUUGUUGACCGCAUACUGAUGCUUUGCUGAUGUGGUAGUGAUAUGGCAACUUAACAGUUGCCACGUCAUCGAUUAUAAGAUCUCACAUCACUAACAUAUCAGCAACAUAUCAUUACUUAACUAAGAAAUUGUACUGAUUGCAAUCAUUUAGAAAGCUUUAGCUAGAUAUUAUAACAAAUUGAGGACCAAAGUGUCGCUCACCUUAGUUUGAGGAUCAAAAGUGUAAUUUGGACUAAAUUAUAUAAGGGAAGAACAUUGUUGACUUUCAAGAAUUCUAAAAUGCCUGUUGACAUUUGAGGCCAAAUAACAUAGUCACAAUAUUCUAAAAUGUAAAAGCCACAUUGCAUGUGCUACAAAAAGCAUGUCUUAGAUAUGUAUGAUUAGCUUGUCGCUGAUCCUCGAACUUCUGUAUUAUUUUCUUCUCAAUUUGCUUGAUUUUGACCUUUGACUUCAACUGAUAUCUGCAUCAGGCGCUUCUUGCAAUUUUUGAUAGCCCCCUAACAAAGGCUGGGAGAUUGCAAGCUGUUUAUGUUAAGACGGAGAGAGGAGUACUUUUUGAAAUUAAACCUCACGUUCGCAUGCCACGCACGUUUAAAAGGUUCUGCGGUCUCAUGUGUAAGUUACAGGAAACCACUGCCGUUUUUUCAGUACAGUGUUAUCUUUCCAGGUCUGUUUAAUUUCUGUAUAUUAUGAAUAUGUACCAUAUAUAUAUCCCGACAGAAUUAUUAUAUACUUACACGGCAAAUAUUAAUUAUCAUUUAUGUCCUUUAAUGAACUUUAUUUCUUACAUAUGCACCGAGUAAAAUGCUCUCCUUGAAUUGGAUACUGCAAAACGAGCUUUUCCCUUUAAUUGGAUUAAGCUUCAACUUAAGAGAGGCGUCAUUUUAAAGAAACUGCAUAUUUGAAAAUUGAGAAUUUUGCUGGGUUAUAUGUGAAUAGGGAUAUAUUUCUAAAAGCUUCUAUAUCUUUCAUAACGCUUAUGAUAAUACUUUCCAUUCCAGCACAAUUACUGCAGAAGUUGAGUAUUACCGCUGCUGGCAAGCGUGAGAAACUCCUUAAUGUCAUAAAGAACCCUGUGACCCGCUAUUUACCUGUCGACUCACGGAAAAUAGGUGAGAAGUUUUAAUCAUUUUUUUUUCCCUAUAUUUAUAAUACAAUCAUCAAGCCAUUAAAGCGCAUUCUAAUGCUUGCGGACGAUUUGUAGGUCUCUCGUACAGCGCAGAAAAAUCAGUUAAUUUAUUCGAUUAUGUUGCUGGAGCCAGCGACGACGUCAGCCUUGUCUUCAUUGUAUGUGCAAAUUUUGACACAAUGUAUUUAUUUAUUUAGAAAUGUAUCAUUCUGCAUGAUCACCUUUUCUGAGCUUUGUCACAGGUUGGGGCUAUGGCUCAUGGGAUGAUCGACAAGGAAAAUACAGAUGAUUUUAUAUCGAGUGAGUAAUCUUUCUAAUUAAAGAGAUUUUAUCUGAGAUUUUUUAUUAUGAAGCAUCAAUCAGUAUCAAAAUUGCACUUGAACAAUUAACUUCAAUUACUAUUUUCUCUCUCUCUAAUUAUUGUCGUAGUUAUUUGUUACUCUGUAUUUAGUAAGUAUUCAAAGAAGCUCAUAGCUUGUGAGCCAGCCCGAGCUUGAUUUCUUUCGGCUCGGCUCGAGCUCACCUGUUUCGUAAACAGGCCGAGCUCGAGCUAGAUUUGUAAGCUCGAUUUGUUAGGUGAGUGUCACUUUGGCUGAACUCAGCUGGCCCGAGCUUUUUGCUCAAAAGAGCUCGGAUGCGCUUUAAUGUCCUUUUGAGUUUUAGUUGUCUUCUUCCUUGCUAGCAUCAUGAAAUGCUUUUCCUCGUGUCGCUGGUUCGAAACCCAGUGUGCACAGAUUUUAUUUCGUGAAGGGGAAAAAAAAGAACUCCGCAGGCCAACUAGAACUUCAGAGCAAUGUAAAGAUCAUUUCUCGAACUCUGAAAACGACGGAAAACCACCAGAGCAAUCUGUUUUUGUUGAACAUGGCCUCUAGAGAGCAUCUUUUUUCGUCGCAAAAUCGUACUACUUAGGUGGCCUCAUGGCUCUUUUAAAGUCGGGAUGGGUAAUAUAACCUCCUCUAAACCUUUGUUGUUUUAACUUGCUAUUUUGUUCUUCUGCAGUUUGCAGCUACCCUCUGAGCGCCGCGUGCUGCUUAAAUCGAAUAUGCGGCGCAUUGGAGCAGAAGUGGAAGAUCGGAUAAAGGGUACAAUCAACAGUGAUAAAGAUCCGGUGAAACGACAUGAACAAUCGACAGCAAGUAUCUUUUCGGUCAUCCGAUAGUUCUGCCGAUAUUUACGCACUUUCUCUCUCCUACUAGCUGUCCUUUCAGAAGCCACUCUCUUUCUCUCUCUCACAGCCUUAUAUGUUGUUUACUAAAUUAUAAGUUCCUGCUUGUCACCGAAUCAACAGGAUUUACAUCAUGUAUUCUUCGUAAAAAUUUUGAUGAUUAUGUUUUGCGUAAUGUGCAUUAUCCUCGCCAUUUUGAACCAGUUAUUUUAAGAGUAGGUUUGGGUUCGCCUUUUGACUCGUAACUUUGGAAAUGUUUCUCUACUCCGAGAAGCAGCAGCGGCAGCAAGCAAGGCAAUUAAAAAAAUAAUUAAAAAAAAAAACUAUUUUACAUUACAUUGGAUAGUUUUUACUUUUAAAGCUACAACCACCUCUGAAUCUGACACAGCUUCUAUUAUAGUUUGUGUGAGGAAAAGGAAAUGUGUAUAGGAAUAUUCAAAUCUUAAGCAUUUUGUACUAGUGGUUUGGUUAAAGUAUUUUAUAUCGAUGGUUUAGAAACUAAGAAGUUACCACUAUUGGUUUAGAAACUAAGAAGUUAUUAAUAUUUGUGGAUAAGAUUGGUAGAAAAUAACAAAUAAAUAGAUUGAAAAGAUAAAUAAAUCAAUAGAUAGAUAAAAUAUGAGGGAACAACCAAUCUGAGGCCCAAGAAUUCAUUCAAGAUAAAUUUUGAUCAUAAAAAAUUCAGUCUCAUUCACAAUUUACUGAGACAAUAAUUUUACAACACACCAACUAAAUCACAACUGCAUUUGAUUCUCAAACGAAAUCUUUUAAUCAAAAAUUAAAAAACUUUCGCGCAUUCGAACGGCAACGAAAUACCAACAAAUUGAAAUCUCGCGCACUCGCUGUCGCAGAAAAUGUAGACAACAAAGUUUAUGCAGAUGCAUAAAACAUUAGAGAGAAAAAAAAAGAUGAUCAUAAUUUACAGCUACACAGCAAAAGCCGAAAAAAAUAAUACUACACGCAGAAGAACAUGGAGAACAUGCCAGGCAUCUUCGUGAAGAACUUGAGCGGGUGGGCGGGCAUCGGAAGGCACGAAGGAGGAGGCGGCGGCGGCGGAGGCGGAGGCUCAGCCUUCUUGUUCCUCUUCUUCCUCCUCAAAUGAAAGAAUUGUUGCAUCGCUUCCGCACAUUCGGGAGCGAGGACUCCUCGCCGUAUGGUUAUGUUUGGGUGGAAAGGGUGGACGGGGCCGAUUGGUUUGUCCGAUGGAUUUAAACUGUUACUCUCGUCGUUUCCCGGAAAAAGCCUGUAAAAAAAUUGAGCAUGAAUGUUUCACUUUUACUUUCAUCAUGCACGGUAAAAAUGUACAGGCCUUAUCAAAACUACAGAGCAUUUUGAAAUGAGUACCUAAGCAUCUAUGAAUUUACUACCUUAGUUCUAAUUUUAUAGAAUGUCCUACAAAAAAUUAUCAUCAAUAUUCUGAAGAUUACAGAUAAUUCUUUUAUGUUAUAUAAAGUAAAAGUUAACAAGACCAUUUAGGUGCCCGAUAGUAAGGAAUAAUAUGUGCAAAACUAGUUUAGGUACUAAAAUCAAAAUUUUGAAAGGAACCCAGUUCAAAAUGGGCUGUAGCUCACGGAAGUAAAUCGAUAAGUUCCAAUUUUCCAAAACUUAAGAUUAUUAAAAGCUAGGAGUAACUAAUAGAUUAGUAUUUCUCCUCUGUUUUGCGAGGAACCAACAAUAACUGUUUCUGUAUAAUUGGGUAUGCGUGGAACUGCAUGCACAUGUAUAUAUGCAUGAUGCAUGCGCAUGCGCGUGCGAACACAUACAACCCCGGUAGAGAACAUGAACGAGUAAAUUUGUACGCAAAAUGCCAUACCUAACCCAGCUACCAUCAGCUCCCAGAAGCUUGUUUGGAGCUCCCCACACCACAGUGUCGAUUCUCGCUUGAAGAAUUGCCCCGGCACACAUUGGACAAGGUUCGAGUGUAAUAUACAGUGUUGUGCCCUUAAAAAAGAAAAGGUUUUGGUUAAAGGUAAACAAUUUCAAUCUAUAAUUAAACAGCGGCGUCCCAUCUUUGUUGUUAAUUGAAUGGGACUUCAAAUACAUGAACAAAAGAAUUUUCAGAUAGCUUUAACCAAUGGGUCACUGAGCAAGUCCAUUGAAAAAUUUUUAUAGCGACUCAUUCAAAUGCCUACCAAAUCGUAUAAGAAUUAGAUAUUGAUAACAAAUGCAUGGCAUGUGAAUAAACUAGUAACAUUUGCAAGUGAUGUGAAGUUAACCAAGAGAGAAACUCUUUCCAUAUCAUUGUCCUUCUUUAUUGUCACCUUUAUAAUUGCUGUUAUCAGUGUAGUUUUAUAAAAAUAAGCAUGUUCGCAAAAGAUCCAGAAGAAAAGCCGGAAGAAUAAGUAGUAGAAGCACAAUACAUCACACAGCAAUUACCAAAGCAGAUUAAGCAGAUAAUUAAAGCAGAAACAAAAUAGAAGUGAAAUGACAUGUCUAUAAAACUCGCAGUGAGACAUCAAUGAAUAUUACCGCAAGGCGCCAACUCCGAAGAACAUUGGAAGCCUCGCGUAUACAAAUCAUCUCAGCAUGAGCAGUUGAGUCCCUCAGCUCUUCAACUCUGAAGAUAAAAAAUAGAAUAGUUAAAAUACAACUGCAAUUCAGCAUAAAGAAUAGGAGUAACAUAUUUACAUACCCCUCCAAGAUUGUCUAUUAAUGUAUACACACCCUCAAAAUCAACAUUUUCAUAUCUUAGAAACUUUAAUUUCUUACACAUAUACCAUUGAAUUCGCAAAAAUUCUCCUCUUUAAGAAGCAUUUUCUGUUACAAUUGGAUGACUUCCCUUAAAGAGUACUAUUGUAGGAAACUACAAUUUCCAGAGGACGAUAUAAAAUUCCAGAUUUCACAGGGGUAUCUACAUAAACAGAUUAUUCUGCAGGUGUGUGAUAGUUUCAAAUUUGAUCUUUUGAAGUUUGUUCUACUUAGUAAUUAAGUCUUUCCAUUAGUCUACCCUCUGAUAAAGCACUAUGUCAGCAGCUCCAUCAAAUUACUGUUUGUUGAAAUUGAAACUCCAGAGGAUUAGAAUUAUCUCUAGGGGCAGAACCAAAAUUGAAGUCAAACUUCAGCAACUAGUAUGAAGCUCUCGAGGUGAAAUUGAAAUUGGGGCGCAAUUUCAAGGGGUCAAUAGUUACAACUGAAACUCUUGAGGAUGAAAUUAAAACAUCAAACUUCAGAGACUAAAUAUGCAAUUAACACACAAAUGUAGAAGCGCUAAAAGAGAACUCAGAAAUGCCGAGGAGGACAAAGUAGAAUUACUACUCACAGAUUGCAACCACGCGCAAUGAUUUCCCCAUUCUGUACGAGCACAGCCCCGACCGGCACUUCCCAUAUAUCUGCAGCCCUCUGAGCUUCCACCAGAGCCUCCCUCAUGAAAAACUCAUCCAGCUUCCUCUGCUCACUGUCACGCUUAAACGCUUCCUCCCACUCAUCGAACGUUUCUUUUACCACUUGAUUAUUCCUUUGAAGUUUCCUCUGCUCCAACUCUCCAUCUCUCCCUUCACUUUGGACGAACUCAUGCGGUUCGUCUAUUAUAGGAGCUCGUGUGUUCCCGCUAUCGGUUAUUCGUAUUGAAGAAGCCAACGCUUCCUCCCAAUCGUCGAACGUUUCUUUUAACACUUGCUUAUUCCUUUGAAGCUUUCUCCGCCUCAACUCCCCUUCUUUCCCUCCAAUUUGCAAAAUCUCCGGCGGUUCUUCUAUCACAGGAACUUGCGCAUUCCCACUAUCAGUAAUCUCUAUUAUAGAAGCCGAAGCUGUAUCAUCUAUUACAUUCAAAGGCUGGUCGACUGUUAUUACACUAGGAGUACUUCUGCGUCCUUCUUCAUUAACCUCAGUCCUUUCUCGCGAUUUUCUCGCUAAAUCUACUGAAGUUGAUGCUGAUGUACCCGUUUCUGAUGUUAUCAUCGGUGUAUCAAAAGGCCUUUCAAUGAGCAAUGGUUGUUCUUUGGGCGAGCUGAUUUUGCCUUUCUUUUGGGUUUCAUCGGUUUCGUGCUCUUGCCCGGAAAACCAAGCCUCGGUACUCGUGGAAUUAUGAGACAAACUCUUUUUACCUGAUUUCUUAUUUGGAUUGUGAGAUUCACCUUGAUGAAUCCAACCCAAUCGAAUAAUAUCAGCGACAAAAGCCCACAACGAUUUGUGGGUUUUUUGAGCACUAGAGGAUUCACCUGUUUGAGUACUGGUGGUCAGAACAACUUCUGUAUGUUUCCCAUCUUUAUGCUUUGCCGUAGUAUCAACUACAGUACCUUGGCUUGUUCUGCCGCGCACUGUUUCUGCCUCAAUUUCAGAAGAAAUUUUCAAUGAAUUAUCUCUUUUGUCAGAAUUUGACAUUUCUUGGCUUAGUUUGUCGACAAACUCUCCCACAUAUGAUGCGGAGGAAUCCUGUAAUCGAGUAGCGGACUCCAAACUACCAGAAAUAACCAUUUGACUAGUUUGCUGUUGGCUCUCCUCUUGGAUUCUGCUCCUUUCUUCCUCCACCUCCCGAAUCAGUUCGCGGUUUUCCCUUCUUUCGAUAUCACUCCUCGAAUAAUUCGACAAAACAGUAUUCUGACCUGAGUCGACUCUAAAACUAUGCUGACGUUCGAGACGCCUAUUCUCGAUCAUCUCGUUGUCUAGCCUCUCUAUAUUAGAUGUAGAAACCUCUAGACUUUGUCUAUGGAUUUCGUCGUCGCUUCUUGUACCGGAAUUGGACCCGCCAACAAGAUUCACAACAAAAGUUGUAUGCUCUCGAUUGUCCCUUCUAUUCUCCUCAAUGCUUUGCGAACUACUACUAGCAAUAUUAGUGACAUUGACCUGAGUUAUGUUCUGCACAUCGAGUUCCGUAUUGUGUACUAUCCGUUGAUUGAUAUCGGUUCUCUUAUCCCUCGAAACCUCAACUAGAUUAUGAGUUGAAGAAGACGCAUCCCUUCGAUCCUCUCUCCUAUCAUCGCUGCUCCUGUCCUCCGAUAUAUCCACGAGAUUUUCCGAGCUUUUACUCGAUUCUGUAUACCCCGUCAGUUUCUGAUCUAUCUCGCUGCGCCGAUUCGUCACAUUCGAGGUACUUAAAUCUGUUCUAUCGAUCACCUGCUGAUCGAUUUGGCUUCGACUGUGCCUUAUCUGCUGUUCUGAGUUCCGAAUUGAGGGAAAAUUAUCUUCCCUAACCCUUUUGUUAUCAAUAUUGCUCUGAGUGUGCCGAUUUUGAGAUGAAGCUGUAACAUCUAAUUCUGUUCUACCGCUUACCUGCUGAUCGAUUUGGGUUCGAUCAUUUCUCAUCAGCUGAGUAGAAUUGUCUUCUCUAUGCUGUUGAUUCUGAAUAUUGUGAUUCUUGACUUCCGAUAUGUCCAUGAUUUUCUCCGAGCUUCUUUUCGAUUCGUUCUGCCCGACUAUUUGCAGAUCAUAUUUCGUAUUCUGCUUUGAAGAUGAAGCGAUGCCGACACUGUAAUCCGUCUUCCUCGAAUCAAACCGGUUGUGAGAACUACCGAUUAUCCUCGAAUCGUCCUCGACUAUUUUCCUAUUAUUAUUUUGAUAAUAAUUUUCCUUUGAAUCUGUUCUUGUUACAAGCUGUGAAUCCUGCUUACUCACCUUCUUCGCAGCGACCAUUUUCCUCAAACUUGAAGAUGAACUCCUCGUAUCAUCCUCACGCACAUUGAUUGUUCGUGCCGAUGCUUUCGAUCUACUUCGCGCCUCAUAACACAAUUCUUCGUCUCUCUCUUCGUCCUUACUAUCUUCAAUCCUCCGUUCAGAUCGGCCUACUACUCGCCGAUCUGAGUUACUGUUUCGAGUUCUCUCCUUCAAUUCUCUUCUCCUCAAAUGCUGUUCCUCCUCUUCGCUGUCGUAAUGAUCUCUCUCCUCAGCGUGACGAAUCAAAUCUUUCUUACUCACCUUUGUCGAAGAAGCCCCCGCCCUCCUCCUCCUAUCAUCCUAGCUCUUGGAUUUAUUUCUUAAUUACUAAUACUCCUUAGAUCAAAUACUAUUCCACCUAUCUCCUCCUAUCAUCAUCAUCAUCAUGCCUAUCAAAUGUUCGCGUAAAUUUCCGCGACCCGGUCCUCAAAUCCCUCUCUUCCUCCUCACUCUCUUCGCUUCUCCGCUGAUAUCGGGCCGUCCUCUCGUCGACCCUUUCUCUACCGCCUCGAUGCGCAUCAGAUGUUCGACGAAACGCCUCUCUACAAGCCGUGUCAUCGUCAUGCUCAUCAUAAUCAUAGUCUUCUCUCUUUCUAUUACCAUAAACCCUAGAAUUAGAGCCCUUAUCCUUUCUAGCCAUUUUCUCUCUCUCCUCCCACUCAUUGUCGUCGUCGUCGUCGUCGUCGUCAUCGUAUCUCCAUAAUUCUCGAACCUGCCUCUCAACAAGCCUCCUCCUCCGCUCCCCACCUCCUCGACGCCGCGAUCGCUCCGAUCCACACGCCGAGCACGCGCGAUCUCUCCUCUCCCCCCUCCGAGAUUCCUCGCGGCUCGUUCCCGGUCGGAGAUCCGAUCGCUCCCACGCCAAGAACCCGAUCGCCGCCUCGGCGAAGCCCGGUGCGGCGCCGGCGCCGGCGCAGCAGCAGCAGCAGCAGCGCCGCCGCUCGGCGGCGGAGGCGGCACGCGCGGGGAGGAAGGUUCGGGAGCGGGACCAGUAGAGGAACGCGGAGUGGCGAUGGAGGAGGUAGGCGUUGAGGAGGAGGAGGCUAGGGUUUAUGGCGACGGAGGAGGAGGGGGGCCGGUCGGAGUAGUGAAAUGACGAGUUUGCCCUCGCGAGGAGGGCGGUGGUGGCGUAGCCGCUGUACAUGGAGGGGAGGGGUAAAAUCGGAAACACGGAAAAUUACUCCCCAGCCCCGGCGAAGGUGAAGUGGAGGCGCGGUGUGGUGCUCCGCCGCAAUGUAGAAGAGAUUGAGUUCCGGGGAGAGGAGGGGGGCAUGCUUACGUGGCGGGCUCCUAUUGGCUGGUGGUGACGACAAAAAGACGGGUUCAUGGGGACACGGUCACGUGGGGCGGUCACGUGACAGCUAAGCGGAGUUGGUAACGCCGUGUACGGUAUUAUCCUUUUUGUAUAAUUGUAUUUGUACAGCAGUGUUAUUUGUACACCGCAAAAUAUCGGUGUGUUUGGUUUGCUUCUUUUCACUCUGAAAUCAAAAUCGAAAUGGGUAAUUUCGUUUGAAGGUGUUUGGUACGCGGGAGUUUCAUUCCAAUUUCGAUUCCCGAGUGGAAUGGGAAUUCCCCAAUCAUCUCUUUUUUCAAUCCUCCGGAUGGAAUGGAUAUUUAUGCGGAUUAAAUUUAUUUUUUCAACUUUUUUAACUAAAAUAUGAGUUAAAAUUUAAAAAUUAAAUAUAUAAUUUUAAAUUUUAAUUUAAACUUAAAUUAAAAAUUAAAAUUUAAGCAAGUAUUUCGAAUCUAAUUUUAAAGUUUGAAUUUGAAUAAAUUAAAAUUUAGUUUCAUAUUUUAAAUUAUCCACUCAAUUUCAAAGUUUAAUUUGUUUUAAAACAAAUAGAUUUAAAAUUUUGACAUUAUUUCAAAAUUUUGAUGUAAAUUUUUAAUAUUUAAUUUUUAAUUUGAAUUUAAAUUAAUAUAUUAUAAAGAUAAUGUUGGUAUAUUAAUUUGAUUACGUUUUUUGUAUCCACCUGAACCAAACACCGACAGUAGGAAUGUUUUAUUCCGAUUUCGAUUCAGAUGAUGAACGAAACAGAAUUAGAUAAUGAGUCAUUCCGAUUCCGAUUCCGGCUUAUUUUGAUUCCGAUUCCGAUUCCGAUUCCGACUCCGACUUCGAAGCAAACACGGCCACGGUGUCUAUUAACUUAUAUGAAUCUCUAAUAUUUUUUUUGCCAGGUGGCAAGUUAUUUUUCACCAUCACCAUUUUUUAAUCAAACUUUUAAUUAAUAUAUUUAAUUAAUACAUCUAAACAUUCUAUUAUUAAACUUUCAAUGGCAAGUUGUCCUUCACCCUUAUCAGCAUUUAGUCUUUUUUUUCCUUCAUCAAACUUUCAAUUAAUACAUUUAAUUAAUACAUCUAAACAUUUCUAUUACCAAACUUUUCCUCCACCAGAUAUUUUAUCUCCAAUUAAUUUAUCAAUUCUCUCUCCCUCAUCUUUUUCUCACUUCCCUCCCUUCUUCUCUCACUAAUGUGCGCCCGUCUCUCCCCUCUGCCACGGCCGAAGGGAACGUCGUCAUUUUCACUAUCAUCGUCACCGGAGAAGAUAUAGUCGGUUCCAUCCCCGCUACCAAUAGUGAGAGACCUUUCGUGAGUAUGGCAAGUGAGGUAUAUAAGAGAAUAUUUGAUGUUUUCCUAUAAUUACUCCUAUAAUUUUUAUCCACUACGGAGCCUGGGCUCCUCCACUAAUAUAAAUUUUAUAUCUUAUCAUUUUAGAAUUAUUAUUAUACAUAUCUUUUAUUAUUUUGACUAAAUAAUAGAAAACUUUCUUAUAAAUACCCUUCUUUUCACUUUUCUUUUUAAUUUUUAAAAAUUUAUAUUUUAUCAACUCAAUAUUUAAAUUACGUAUUUAACUCCUCUCCAUUAGGUUUCCAUUAGUAUUUUGUCAAUUUCUUAUAAUUUAUACCAACAAUAUAUUUGAAAUGAAAAAAAAUAAAAAUUAUUUUCUUAUAAAAAUAACUAAGGAUAAUUUUGUCAUUUUUCUCUCUCCAUUACCGCUAUAUCCUUCGAAAAAAUAUUUUAAAAUUUUAAAAAAGCAAAAUACAGAUUUUUUGCAGUCAAGAAAAAAAAAAGCUUAAAAAAAUAUAGAUUUUUAGAAUUUUAAACUUGUGUUUUAAUUUAAAAAAAUUUUUAAAAAGUAAAUUUAAUCCGAAUGAAGAUUCAAUUUCUAAUUCUCCUAGGUUGGAUUGGACAAGAGAGUAAUUAGGAGAAUUUUUAUUCACCCGGGAAUCGAAAUCAGAAUGAAAAUUUCACAUAUCAAAUACGGAUAAACGGAUUCGUCGAUUUCAAUUUCGAUUUCGAUUGCAGGGUCAAAAAGGGCUAAUCAAACACGCCCUUAUUUCAAUUUUUGUUGUUUUAUGUGGUAAGAUGGACUAAAUAGAUUUUUAUUGUUACUAUAAAAUUUUAUAGGAUUAUAUAUGAGACAUGCCACUAAGACACUCGUGUAAUUAAUAACCUCAAUUAAGGAAAGGGUUGUAUUAAAUUAUUUAAUAAAGUUUAGGUUAAUUUAGUAGUAAAAAUUUAAGUGUAAAUUCCAUUUUUGUAAAACAGGUAAAGUUUAGGGGGCUCUGCGCAUUUUUUCCAGCAAGUUUCCAGUUUCCACCCCCUCUCUCGAUUCAUCGUCUCGCCUCCUCCAUUAACGCCUCUCUCUCUCUCUCUCUCUCGCUGCGAUUAGGGUUUCCAUCCUUGGGUUUGGGUUCUCCACCUCUCUCCAUUACCUUCUCUCCGUGGCCAUUAGGGUUCCGAUCGUUCGCAGGAGCGCCGAGCGCGGCGGAGAUGGACGAGGGCGACGAGGACUACGUGGUCUACGGCACCCCGAUCGAACGCGAGGAGGAGACCUCGGCGCGCAAGCGGAGGGCCAUCGCCGACGCGGGGCAGCUUCGCGCCCUCCCCCCGUGGAAGCAAGAGGUCCCCUCUCUCUUCCUCUCUUCUCCUUUGUCGCAUCCUUCUCGGUGCUUGUUUGGCCCUGCUUCUGCUGCAAGAAGAAGCACUUCUUCUGCUGCGGGAAGGGGGAAUGAGAUUCCGAGCCUUAAAAGCAGAAGCGCCAUCAAUUCGACGCUUCUGAUUCUGCCGCACAAAGAAUCUGUUGGGGUUAUGUUAGUACAGCGCUUCUCUAAUCGAACUAGUCUAAAGAGCACUUCUUUGAAAAGCACUACGUUCGUAAAGCAGGGACAAGAAGACCCUCGGAUAGACGUUUAGACAACUUUAAGAUUAGCUUUUGGGAAGUAUUUAGAUUAGCCCCCUUCGAUAUAGGCAUGGUUGUUCAUUGCAUUCCUAUGAUAUGAACUGUAACACUCUAUGUAAAGUACUUGAAUCAGCUUCAUAAUUAUCUCUUUUGACAAUAAAGGAUAAUGCACUAUUCGCAAUUUUCUCAGAAAAAGCUGCAAAUUUGUGAUUAUGUUGCACGUAAGGUUUUGAUUGCUUACUUUUGUCAUCAUCUUUAUUUAGCAUUUUUAGCGGCAGUAAUUGGGAUACAUCCUCAGAAUGUAAAGUGUUACGUUCUGAGCAACUGAGUAGUAGACUACUGCUAUAGUAAAAUUUGUCUAUUCAUGAUUAUGUGUGCAUGUUGUAAAGUAACUAUAAUUUCUUUCCUUUGAACAGAAACACUAAUUAAAGUACUUGGUUUUAGGUGAGAGAUGAGGAAGGGCGAAGAAGAUUCCAUGGUGCAUUCACUGGAGGGUUUUCUGCUGGAUACUAUAACACUGCUGGUUCAAAAGAGGGUUUGUUCUCGACUUGCAUUGAUUAGAUAUAUUGACGCUCAUGGACGAUAUUUAAUCACAAGAGCUAAAACUAGCGAAACUAACGAUAUAAAUUACAGGCUGGACCCCACAAACAUUUACAUCAUCGCGGAAAAAUAGGGCUGACGUCAAACAACAAAGUAUAUAUAAUUUUCUCGAUGAGGAUGAUAUAAAGGUAAAUUUUGUUUUCUUUUUCUUAUUAUUAGCUGUUGUGUUGCUUAAAUAUAGAUGAUAUUUUGGUUUACUUUGAAUUUGAAAAUAAUAGAUCAUAUAUUUUUAGCAUCCAAAUUUGAAGCAAAACUUUGACGCGAAUGAUAUGUGUCAUUUGUCUCAUUGGCAAUUGUCUUAAUAUUUAUUUAGGAGGAUAAGAUUGAUGGUAACUAACUAGGACAUUGCUCACUAAAACAAGUAUUACCUUUGUAAUAAAAACUAAAACAAGCUGGACAAGGAGGAUAGGUAGGGCUUUGCCUUCUAAUCGUUUGAGUUUGGCACCCUGUCCCCUUCUAUAUAGUAUUCUUACCUCCGGGAUAAUGCCUCUUUAUAUUGAAGGGAUAUCAUACGUUUCCUACUGUUACUGAUAUCCUUUUCUACCUUUUCCUCUGCGGCAUCUCUAUUCUGACUAGAACUUUUCAUCUGCAUUUUUCUUGCACUUUCAGUCUCCUUUGAACUGGAUCACUGUUAUUGUUUUCUGGAGAUUUCGAAUAUUAGGUAGGUGCUAUGUUAAAUCGAACAAGUUACUAAUGUUAGCGAAUAUUUAUUUUCUAAUUUUGUUCAUGAACAUCCAAAAUAGCAGAAAUGGCUCUUACUCUAGGAUCUACCAUCUUUUUUUGCAUAUUUGCUAUACCUAGGCAAAGCAUCAAUAAACCAAGUUGAAAGUUGACCGUCUCCUUUCCACUGAUUCUCACUCAAUUAACUAGGGGGUAAUCAUGCAGAGAAUUACAUCAUUUCAAAAUAUUCAUGGUAAAGUUGUGUUAGCUAUGCCUUGAAUUUUUGGUUCUUGAAAUUCUAUAACUAUGAUGCUUCCGCUGCAGUUCAUUUCGAAGUGUCCAAAUUGACAGUCCAUACAAUUAAACAUGAUGUGAAGUAUUUGAAACUAGAAACCAACCAUGUAAAUGUAUUUCAAAAUGUAGUAGUCUGUUGUAAUGCAGACUAUCACUAUCUACCCUGAAACAAUGCAGUAGGCUACAGUUGUAAUCCAUACCGUUGUAUAGAAGCAGGUUGAAUUUUAGGCCUUGUAAAUCGAGAUUCUCUGGUUUCAGCUUGUCCUAAUGAUUGUGACUAUGACUAACAGGACAUGGGAGGGCGUGCAUUAGAAACAUCUAUGCAGUUUGAUACUUUUGGAUUCACUGCUGCUGAGCUUGCACGUAAAGAAGCAGAGAAGGAACAAGAAAAGAGGUCAUUUUAAAUUUUCAUUUGCAAAGUUUACUCGUCUUAGUGCUGAGAUCAAGGUUUUAAGUGCCCGUCGGCACGGGCCGUAUCCACCAUGCCGUACCGUGCCAACAAGAUAUCGGCACGAUACAGACCCCGUGCUGAUGACACAGCUCAAAACCCUCUAUUCUUUAAAUUUGUAAGUAAUUUCCUCAAUAAAGUUCAAAAGAUGUGAUAAAAAGACAUAAUAAAUAGUUAGAAUAUUUUGUUGCUAAAAAAAAAUAAAUAUUUCAUGCUAUUAUGUGUCGGCACACAAGAAUUUUUUUGACCGGUGCGCAUCGGCACGGCUCGACACGCACCGUGCCGACAAGUUUCCGGCACGACCCCGUGCCACGGCACUUAAAUCCUUGGUUGAGAUGGUUGAUUUUCUUUAAUGCAUAUCAUGAUUUAUUUGCCAUGCUCUUGUACUCAGACAUAUUCUAAUUAAACCAGCAGGAAGAGUUCUGGUAGCAUUUGUAUGUCUUUUGCUGCUCCGAAUUGUGAUAUUAAUAGUUCAUGGAAUUGCAAUAUCUCAACAUUAAAACUUUUCCAUUUCAGACCUUCGGCAAUUCCUGGGCCUGUUCCUGAUGAGAUAGUACGUCCUGCUGCAAAUUCUAUUGGUUUGUUCUGUUGCUGCUACCUGCUGUUUAUGUGAUAAGCAUAGCCUCGUCUAUGAAGCUAAACUUUGAUAAAAUUAUGACAUUAUGAUAAUUUACAACUUAUUACAGGUAUAAAAUUGUUGAUGAAAAUGGGGUGGCGUCAGGGUCGUUCCAUCAAGGACACUCAUGCCGACUCCUUAUAUGGUAUUCCUUCUCAGUUAACUCUCUGUUUGUUUGCCUUUCAUUGCGUCGCCUUUCUUUCUUUUGUUUUUUAGUCUUCAAAUGACAGUACUGUGUCUGGUUCUUCCAUCUGUCUCCAUCAUCUGUGAGCAGAUACAAAAGUCACAAACAGGUUGCUUAAUGUGUUACAUUACUUUAUGUGCUUCCAUUAGUUGCUUGAUGUUCCAGUGUUGAAAAUGCUUCGACUGAUUGCCUGCCAGGCAAUCUUAGAGAUGACUGUUGUUUGAGUGAUAGUAUUUCUCUAGAGCAUCUUUCUGUUCUGUUCUUUCCUGAGUUAUGACCUUCUAAUUAUUGUUGGAUGAUUGACUAAAGAUGGGUAAGCAGUAGAAAGAUUUUACGACAUGUUAUUGCUCUACAUGAUAUUAACAUUGAUCUAUGUUCUUUUGUUUUUCUUUCUUGAAAAAUUUUGGUGAUCGGAAUAGCCAUUCAUUCAGAUAGUCUGCCUCUUUACCAACUAAUAUAGGUUAUUUUCCUAUGCUAGGCUGGAGAUUGUUUAUUUUCUUUAACAACUAGUAUGGCAUGUUUUCUUGUGCUAGGCUGGAACUAGGUUAUAAGUGCUAUUUAUUGUUGUUUGUGUUUCAGAAUCGCGCAGAGAAGCUAGAAAAGCAUUUCUGGCCUUUUCUCGUGACAAGGAUGGACCAGAACUUGCUGAAAUUGAAUCAAGUAGGUCUGAAUCCGAGAAAUAUCCUGAAAGAUCUGAUGACAUCUUUGGUGGUACUAAGAGCACUCCUGUGAGUAUCUUGAGACCAUGGUUACUGAUUGAAGCCAGCUAAUUCAUUUUUCAAGAUGUACUUGUUCUUUUUUGUGAAUUUUUGCUGAUUUGGCAGCGAUUCAGUUUCUUAGUACCUUCACAAUCUUGAAAGGAAUAUGUCUCUGAUAUCCCUUUGUUUAGGUGUAUGUACUUAACCCAAAGCAGGACUUACAUGGUUUAGGUUAUGAUCCUUUCAAGCAUGCUCCUGAAUUCAGAGGUAUUGAGUUUCUAAGGUUCUAAUUUAACUUCAGCUGUUGCUGCAUGCAUGAGAAUAAUCUCAUUUCCUUUUCAGAUAGAAAAAGAUCUCGAGAAUCCAGAGACAAGGACCGUGGUAAUAACAAAAGUAAUGUUCCAUUCAUGAGAAAUCUUUUAUCUUCCAAGUGUUUUUAUCUUUUGAUCUAUUACUGUCUUCUUAGAAGUUUAGAUACUUUUCAGUUGGAGAGAACUUAAUCUGGGACUCAAUCAUCAGCAGGAAAAUAUGCACCAGGCUUCGGAAUUGGAGCUCUUGAGGAACUCGAUAUUGAAGAUGAAGAUAUUUAUGCAUCUGGUAAGCCUUUGGACAUUGUAGAUUUUGUUUUCACGGUAGUUUAAGAUCCUCUAGUCUUUCCUUUUGCUCUCUUAUUGACGCUUGUACAACUUGUGCCAAGUCCUUCUAUAAUUUGCUGUCAUGUAGUGAUCAAUCAAGAUAACUUUUCAAUAUGGCACUGAAUAUUCUGAUGAAAUGAUGCAAAAAGGCACUUCAUGAACUGUAAAACCAUUAAAUUGCUACAUCUAUUAUGUUAUAACAUUAAAAUAAUGGGCCUUUUCCAGACAAAGUUUGGAUUUUCUCAAGUUACAAUCUUUUGGGUUCUAUUUCUUGUUCAUCUCUCUACAGGUUUUGAUUUUGAACAAAUGGAAGUGGAAGAAGUUGAGCCUACAAAAAUGAUUGGUGAUAGCUGGCAUAAACUGGUAGACAGAAAGCGGGGUAGUAUGCUUAGUUUCAAAGUGGCAUCUAAUUCGGACUAUGUCCUUGAAAGGUAGUCGCUGUUAUUUUGUUCGCAUUGGUUUUCUUCUAAAUUGCAGAAGUUGCCUUUUCUUUUCUCUGUCAAAUGUCAAUGGUAUUAGAAUUGGGGGUAUGCGAUGCCUAUGUAGCUUUAAUAUGCACUAUACACACUGAGAAUUGGAGAUCAGUAAAUUUUGCUAAAUUUUCGCUUACUAAAUAUUUAGCGCAUGUUUAAAUUGGCUGGAGCUUCUGCUUAGAUACUGCCGAGUGAAGCUUUUCAAAGAUAGCACUAAUAGCUGCUUCAUUAAAAUCCUCCCGGAAUCCGAAUAGCUCCACACUAUAGCAGAAGCAAAAGCUCCAAAUUGGAGCUGCUUUUGGGGUUUGAAGUUCGUUGCAGCAAAUGCCUAGCUGCUGCUCUCCUGUUCGAAGUAGGGAAGCUGCUUCAGAACCUUGUCAAAUAGGCACGUUAUCAAAUAGACAUUAUGUACUAAAUUUCAAUGUAACUUGUUUCAGAUUUCGCCCCCCUGUUAUUCCAGCUGAUUUUGAAUCACGGCACAAGUUUCCUACCACCCUUGAGAGUACAAAUAAAUUUCCUGAAUUACCCCCUCCAGAGGUUCCUCCCCCAGAAGACAACAACUUGAGAUUGUUAAUUGAGGGGUCCGCUGCUAUGGUAGCUCGAUGUGGGAAAUCAAUUGAAGACCUAUACAAGGAAAAGAGUAAAACAAAUCAACUAUUUCUUUUUCUUAGUGGAGGAGAAGGACAUAACUACUAUGAAAGAAAGUUAUGGGAGCAGAAGCAAAAGCGCGGUGACCUUGGAAGACAGAAUAAUACAAAGUCUAUGAAGUCCUCCGAUGAAAAGAUGAAUGCGGAGAAUCGUGGAAAAGUUCUCGGUGAAAGACCACUUGAUAGAAGUUCCAAAGCAUCUAGCUUAUCAGUUGAUGUAAAGGAAGUCAUUCAUCUUCAAUCCAAUCUUGGAGAUACUUUUAUCAAACCGGUAUCUCUUGUAACUUUUUAUUCAUAGCCAAUUUUCUUUUUCGGCUUUUUCAUAUAUCUCCCUAAAACAAUGAUCUCUUUACAUCUAUAUCCCUGCAAAAUCUGAAUACCCCUCGAUGAUGCAGUGUGUUACAAAAAUUCUAAGUUUGUGAGUCAUUUAAUUUAUGAGGGGAAGUUGGUUUCAUAUUUGAAAAGAUUUCAUGGUAAUUUGGUAAGCACCAGAAUAUAUGUGCAAGAAACGUUUCUAAGGGCUAUAUAUGAAAAUUUAGAUUUUGCAAGGAUAUACAUGUAGAUAGAUAAUUAUAUAGGUGUAUCAACUAGAUGUAAUAGUUUUUUUUGUUCUCCCCACUUUCUUCUUUGCAAUUUUCGAACCUACUUGUCACUCUGAAUUUAGGUUCUUUGAUAGAACGUACUAAUAUUAUUGUUUUUUGUAACACGUAGGUUGGAUUAUCAGAAUCCUUGAAGCCUUUUAAGUAUGAUCCAGCAAAGCAAGAAAGAUUUGAACAAUUUCUUAGGGAGAAGUACCAUGGUGGUCUUCGUGCUGCCCAGCCUUUCAUCACUAACAUCAUGUCAGAGACUGAUCGUGCUCGUGAGAGACUUGACUUUGAGGCUGCAGCUGAGGCAAUCGAGAAGGGUACAUGGAGCAAGGAAAAGGAAACUGAUCCUUUAUCAAUUCUGAAAGAUUUACCAUUUAUUAAUGAUCAGCGGUUUGUAUCAUCUACUGAAGUAGAGGUAAUCAUUAAUUUAUUUCUCAUUUGCUUGUUUUAAUGCCAUGUUCUAUCUGUUUUUGAUGACUUAUUAAGACGUCGGAGAGUAAUUAUUUUGGCAGAAACAUGGAGUGUCUAAGGAUGAGCAGAAGGUAAUCCACCCAAAGAGGGAAGAGUUUGAGUGGCGACCUUCGCCCAUUUUAUGCAAGCGGUUUGAUCUGAUUGAUCCUUUUAUGGGGAAGGUAAUUUACUAAAUUUUGAUUACCAGUAGAAGUUUCUUGAAUGUUUGACAAAACAUCUCUUUCCCAUGUAUGUAUCAUGUUUAUAUUUCGACUUGAGUUCUUGUGAUUUUUGUCAAUGCAUUGCGUUGCACAUAGGUGCACAAAUUUAUAUUAUUGAAUGCUUUGUCUUUAAAUUCAUUAUAAGAUAUACAUCCAUUUAAACCUUCAUUAGCCUACUGCUGUACCAUGUUGCUGGAAAUUAACAUGUUUUGACUGCAUUGUGUGUUGAUAAAAAUUGAAUGCCUUCUACUUAUAUUCUAUUUAACGCCUCAUUUCAUUUGCAGCUGCCACCUGUUCAAAGGCCGAGAAGCCGGAUGGACUCCCUCAUCUUUAUGACAGAAACCAUCAAGAGUUCAAAGAGUGAAGAGGCCAUAGCUUCAACGAGAGAUUCAAUACUAUUAUCUCACUCGGAAUCAAAGGAGACUGAGAAACAAUUAAUUACACAGGAGACCGAUGCUGAGCCAAUCGCUGCUGAUGUACAAAGGCCGGUUGAUCUGUAUAAGGUACAUAUGUUUUUUUUUUUUUCUUAAUGAAAUUUUCUUUUUUGAGAUAUCGACAUAUAUACCAUGGCAGGUUUAUCUCUAUACAUAUAUCUAUACCACUGCAAAAUCUCAAUAUUUAUAUAUGCCUUUAAGAGGCUUAAUUAUUUACAUCGUUUAUACUUUUGUAGUAAACAAAAUGCUCCUAUUUUAGACCAACUUCCCAGGUUAAUCAGAUGACUAGCCAAUUUAAUUGUAUUUUUGUAAGAAACUGCACUUUCGAGAGGUCUACAUUAAUUCAGAUUCUGCAGGUGUCUUUAUAGUACAAGUACAAUCCAGCUUUUUUUUAUCUUGCUUGCAGUGUUGUGUUUAAGCUAGCCUAGACUUUGCUGCUGGAGGCUGAUGAAGGAAAGAAUUCUUCUUUUCAAGUUGAAAAAAAAAAUUGAAGUUCAAUAUUAUUUAUUUAACUCUUUCAUAAUUCUACAUAGCAAUCAAUUUUUUUUGAUGUUGUGUACUAGGUGAAACUGCAUGAUUAUUGGUUUGCAUGGCUAUGCAAAAAAUUGGUAUUUUGUGUAUCUUAUUUAUGAUAAACCUCCUAUGAUGUGAUGAUACAUUUGUUAUCACCAAUGCAGGCCAUUUUCUCUGAUGACUCAGAUGACGAUGAUGCAGAUGAAGGAAAUUCUGGGCACUCAACUGAUCCCGUGAAGACAAAUGAAGGUGCUAAUAUGACUCUAAACCGCUUGGUAGCAGGAGAUUUCCUUGAAUCUCUGGGUAAAGAGCUGGGGUUAGAGGUUCCAACUGAUAAACCUGGCCCACCAGAUAAGCCUCCCAAUUCGAUUCUAGUAGAAGCUGCUUCAAAAGGCGACAUUAAUUCCUCAUCAGUACAUGAAAAACUUACUUCCCAACAUGAAGAAUUUGAUAGACCUAUGGAGGAAAAGCAUAAAGAUAAUAUAUCAAAGUCUGCUGAUAAUGUUGUAACUAAUCUUUCAAUUAAUCAGAAUGAGGAAAGUAAACCUCACUCAAGGCAUCAAAGAAGCAGGAGUAGAACUCCUGAUUCUGAUUCUAGCGAUGAUUAUCGGGACAAGAAAAGAAAAACUCACUCAAGACGUCGAAGAAGCAGAAGUCCAAGUACCGACUCUUCUAGCGAUAGGCAUCGAUCUAAAAGAAAUAGAAGUAAAGCAACGCAUCGUAAGAGAGGCACAACAGAUACUGAUUCUAGUAGUGAUCAUCUAUAUCGUGAUCGAUCAAAAUCAGAAGGGAAAAGUAGAAAACGUUCACGACACCAUAAACACAGAAGAAAAGAUGGUCAUAAAAACCGUUGAAGCAGACUUUGAAUGAGUAACUUCCUUCAAGAUUGUAAGAGUGUCCUAAUGCCCUUCAGCAGUUGCUCUCAGAUUGUGAUUCAUCCAUUUUUGUUUUGACAUAUGAUAAUUUAUCCUUGUUUUCAUUAUUGUUAUUUUUUAUCUAUUAUUUGUUUUGCUUUCCUUUGUGGUGUGAUUUGUUUAACUUCUCCUAUUAGCACUUCAGUAGUUAAAAAUAUAUUUUGCUUCUGCAAUUUUAGAUGUGUAAAGGGUUAUUGUGGAGAGAUAUGAGGCUUGUUUGUCCUGGCGAGAGUUUUGUAGAAAGCUUUGUUUGGGUAGAGCUUUUUGAAGAAAACAAUAACAGUACUUCCAUUAAUAUCCUCCCAACAUCUGCAAGCUGAGUAGAAGCUUUAAAUUGGAGCUGCUUCUUUGGGGCCUAGAAGCUCAUUCAAACUUCAGCUAGAGGCCUAGAGCAGAAGCUUCAAAUUCAACUUCUUCUUUUUGCACAUCUCUCUAUAUGAGCCAUUUCGUUUGCCUUCUGGUACCAUCUGUUGGAGGCAUUGUCUUUUGACUCAUGGCGCACAACCCGCUUUAUAUUACCUUGUCUUGAACAUUGGUAGAGCUCUUCAUUCUUCUAUAUGGUGAUCUCGAAGUUGAUUAUGCCUGAGGCAGGUAUAGUUGCAAGAAAGAGAGGGUAAGACAUUUAAUUUGUAGUAGCAACGGAUCAUCGUGGAUGAAGACAAAUACAAAACAUAUGAACAUUAGCUUUUAUGGUCAACAUGUACAGUUUAAGGUAAAAUUCACCACACCAGGAAUUCAGUCUAUGUAGUUAAACUCGUAUGAUCAAAACUUAAAAUACAGUCUGAAUACANCUAUGAGAUAUGUGCAACUAUCCCUAUGAUUACAUCUUCUUCAGCAUAUGAUAAAAAACAGUGAAAUUAGGGGAUAUGCAUCUGUUGUUUUUUCUAUGUUAGAGCACAGUAGUCGCUUCAAAAUCCAUUUGUAUUUCUUAUGUCAUAUUUGUUUCUUAUUUUCCCUUUAACUUCCUUUAAUCACUACUGUGGUUUUGAGUUAGUCUCUUGUUCCAAACCCUCCUGCUUAUCACUUUGGUAUGCUAUUCUUUUUGCAGUCUUAAAAGCCAUAAUGUCCAUUUCUUGGUAGCCUCGCACCGAUUGGCAUAGCUGCAACCUCUUCAGAUAGUUAUGAUAAGUUAGUUGCGGGCAAUGAAAAUCUGCUGCCAAUGGAAAUCUAUGCAUCAUGGCCGAAGUUGAUGCCCCAUAAAUGGAAUAUCUUCCAAAAGAGUCGGAACACUGUAGUUACAGUGGUGUAAAUAUGCUCAGGAUUUUGCUUGUAAUAAAUGUACGGGGGUUUUCAUACUCCAAAUAUAACUUGAAAUCGUUGAAUAUUGAGCUUCAUGUCGAGAUUCUAGACGUAUUAUUUUCAAAAGCCUUGUACAUUUUCAUGUAUUAUUUGUGACAGACUUUUCCUUUUCUUAACGAGGAAGAGAAUAGGCAGAGUCUGAUGGUUGCGCGGUAUUCCUAUGCUGAUUUGGUAUUUCGACAUUUCAUUCAUGUAGUUUGGUUCUCAUUCCAAGAUCGAGCUAUACGGGAAUCUUCGCUUGUCUUCUUUCAGGUAUUUUACACCGACUUACCACCACAAAUCCAGAGCUUAUGAAUUUUAUUUUGUCAUUUCUUUCUUCCUGCACACCCACAAAAUGACAAACUUCCUUGCUUUAGUUAAAUCAAAUGAAAGCCUUUUACAGGCAUUGACUAUUUCUCAAUGGAAUGUUCGACAAAUGUUAAUGAGACUAAGGAUUGUGUAGUGAUGAUCUAUUUGUCCUCAAUUGAUGUAGUGAUGUUUUUGUUAUUUAAAAUGCUCUGGAAACUUGUAUUAAAUGGUGUAUUCAUCCUUUCUUGCUAAGAGUCAGUGUUACAGAUUUAUCAAUCACUUGAUUUGGAACAGUGAUGUGGUACAGCAGACUAUUGCUGGUGUGUUGUUAUUUCAAAGAAAAUGAUAUUCUGAUUAGGUGCUUCCACUCGAAUAGGUAUUCCUGUAAAAUCAUCUAUUUACAUAUAUAAUAAUAUAAUAAUAAUGCAAAAUUCAAAUUUCAUGUGGCUCCACUUGAGAAUUGCUGUUUCUUCCCAAAAUUAUGUUUAGUUGGGUGGCAUCCCAUUCAUUUGGGAGUUGGUUUUUAUAUUAAAACAAUGUUUUUGGAGAGUGCAUACUUACAUGUCCAAGAGUCUACAUGUUUGAAACUAUGUGAAAAUAUAAUUUUUUUGCUGGGGUGUAUAGGCAAAUACUCUUUUUAAUGAUUAUUUUGCAGGGGUGUAUAUGUAAAUUACAAUUUUUUAAUGAUAAUGCUGACUGGGAUUCUAAUCUUUCUGUGGGCUAAUGGACUAGACCAAAUUCUUUCUAGGAAAGAAAAAAAGACUAUAGGAAGUGCUUCCUUGGCCCCUGUUCUUGUUUUUCAGUUGAAAAUUUUGAAAAAUGAAAACACGGUUUUUCCUUAUAACAUUCAGAAAAAAAAAAUUGUAGAAAAAAAAAUUUUUUUUUCUAGGAACCAACAGGUGGAGAAUAUUUUUUCUGUUAGAAAACUAUUUUCUGAAAAAUCAAACACCCUCCUGAGCAUUUGUUUGGUCUUGUUUCUCCUUAUGCUUUCAGCUACAGUCUUUAUUGAUAAAUCAUUUGUUAAAUAGAAGAGCUUUAAGAUUCUGAAGUGAUAGGAAGGUAAAUUACUGAAAUGAAAAUUCUGGGUCUAAAUAUUAUUUUAAGUCUUAAUUUAGAUCUUAUGAAAUCUAAUGCAGAAAGCAGCUGUUGGAAAAAGCACUGUUCAGACAGCACUUGAUCAAGCUAACAUGGCUCUUAAGAACUCAAGUGAGCUCAUCAUCCUCCUUUGCAUCAGACACAGGUCAGUGUCAUCUGCCUUCAUAACUUCACCUAACUUCCUACCUCUUGCUCUUUAAGGUCAGAAUCUAAACCCCUCAAGUAAAAGGGACAGGUAAACCAAAACCAUUUCUGUGAUGCAAUUUAAUACCCCUUACUAUCAUUCUUGUUCACUUCUUAUGUGCUGCAGUGUGAGUGGAGUUGUUCAGUUUGAAUAAUUACAUGAGUGUUUUUGUUGGUGUCCUAGAUGACAAGAAAAAAGCUGAGUAGAAAACUAAUGCCCCAACAAGUAGGAUUACUUUUGUUCCUAUCUUUUUGUUAGGGUUUCCUCAUCAUCACUAGCCAAGCUCUUUUUUCAAAUGUGUGCCCUUAAAAUGUUUAUGGUAUAACAUCAGAAUCAAUGGAGGGGAUAAUUGUUUGGUGAAAAAUGUAUGGAGGCCCUUUCAACUAUAUGCCUUUUGAAAUAGGCCCUUUUUAACUUUAAAAAGUCUUUUCAUUGACACCCUAUCAACUUCUAUUUGUGCUCAUUUGUUAAAUUUAAUACCUCUAAUUGCUAUUGUACCAUAAUGAUUAUGGAUAAGCAUAAGUCCCUAUUUCAAAAUGGCUUAACAGUUGAGGGGUCUCAGUACAUAUAUUUUACAUAAUUAUGUUUAUAAGAUUAAUUAGGUGGAUAAUUACUAUGUUUCUCUUUCUAGGGUUUUGGAAUAUGCUAUGCCUCCUUUUUUAUCUGUUUCCUGGGCCAACCUGGAGCCCAUCAGGAGAAAUAGAAGUUGUGUGUGUUAGCAUUUGGGCAAUAGGAUUUAAAAAAGCUCUUUUUUUUUUUUGUUUUUUAAUUUCAUUUUUGAUUUUAUUUUGUUAUUUAUUUAUUGAUAUUUGGAUAAGGGAACAGAAUCUCCCAUAACUAAGACACUAAAAAUGGCCGGCUAAUAAAUUAAUUGAAUAAAAAUAUUUUUAGAUUGGGUGAAUUAGAUAUUUUUAGUGUGAUAGUUAAGGUUUGACUCAACAUAUUAUAUUGGUGCUUUUUUUUUUUAUACUUAGAUUUAGUCUCUUUUGUGAGUGGUGAUCAUACAUUUUACACUCAGAUCCUGCAUUUUAGGGAUUUUAUUUAAUUUUUUAUUUAGAGAAUGCAUGUGUCUUUUUUUUUAAAAAUUAUUUUUCUUGCCAAUGUGUACUUGAUAGUUGAAGAAUACAUAAAAGAAAAAAUUUUGAUCUUUCCUAUUCAGCAUAAAUAAUUUGAAUAUUGUUUUACUAAUACUUUUAAGCUUUUACAUUUAAAUAUUUAUUUUAUAUGGUAUCUAAGCUUAAAUUUGCAUGUUGAAUUUGUGUUGAGUAAGCGGGAAAAAGAAAUUUUUGGGAAUUUUUCUUUUUUCAGUUUUUUUUUGUCCGUUUAGUUCAAAAAAAAAAGAAGAGUUUUUUAAACAAAAAUUUUAAAUUUUAUAGAAAACUAUUAUUUUCGUUUUUCUAAAUAUUAAUUUUUCAUAAAAUUUGAAAAAUAAAUUUAACAAAUAGCUAGAUUUUUUGAAACCAAACUGAUUGAAAACUAAAAAUUUUUCGGAUAUUUUUUUUUUAUGCUUUACCGACGAACCAAACACCCUCUUAACUCACCCCCUUAAAUUGCCGUCCUAUGCUUGCUUAAGCUUUUAAAAGUAAAAUAUUAUUUCAUACUCUCUUCUAAAAAAAAGUAAUAAAAGAGAGAGAAAAUAUAGUAAAAUGUAUUCCUUUUCAUUUUUACUAGCCCUUUUAUAUAAGUUUAAUUUCAAAAGGAGAGAGAGAGAGAGAGAGAGAGAGAGAGAGAGAGAGAGAGAGAGAGAGAAUCCUUAUAAUUACACAAGGUUUUUCCAAUUCACUUUAUAUGACAAAGCACCAACAUAGAAAAGAAGUAAUUGAAAAAUCAGGGUUCAAAAGAUUCCUUACCUGGUCCAUUUCUUGUUGCCCAUUUAUUACUCCUCAUAAGUGCUUGACUUUGAAAGGGUAUUUCAUUCAGUGUGACGCACCUUCCUUAUGAUAUAAAAUAUAGAAACCUGAAAUGUUUCAAAAUUUUUAAUUUAUUUUUUUUAGAAAGUUAAUAUUAAAAAUAUCUUUUUAACGUUCAAAGUUAUUUCAAAUAUAUUUCUAGAGUUAAAUUCUGUUGUUAUCUCUGUGAAAUUAUUAUUUUGUCUUUUCAAAUAUACCCUUUUAUCAUUACAAACUUUUCUUAUUUGUUCUUAAGUUAGGGAUAAAAAAAAUAUUUUAAUUUUUUAUCUUUUCAAAUGUACCCUUCUACAGUCACUAAUUUUUCUUAAUUGCUUUUAAGUUAAGGAUAAAAAAGGUAUUUUAAUUUUUUUUAACUCUGGUAGAUAUUUAACAUAUUUUUAAUCCGAGAUAACUUAACUGGUGGUAACUUGGGUGCAUUUUUGAAUAACGGGGUAACAUAUGAGAGGUAUAUUUGAAACAAAAUAAAAAUAGAGAUAAAUUAGAUAUUUCUGAAAAUUUGAAGGGUAUAUAGGUAAUUAUCCCAAAUAUAUAUAUAUAGAGGUACAAUUAAUAAUAUAUAGAUGCAAAAUUUAACUAUGGCAUAUUUAUCCCUCCAAACUUUAAAUCAUAAAUAAUUGUUGUAAAUCUUUUAAAAAAUUGCAAAUAUAUUCUUAGAUCAGCUAAAAGAGCACUAUAUUUUUCACUCGAAUGACUAUUUUGUUCUUCUUCUCUUUAUCUCGCUUCCAUUAAAUCAAUCAGUGAUUAAGAAUAUAUUCCGAAAGGAAUCGCAGUAGAUCAUGUAGCUUUACUUCGGUUGUGGAAAAGCAAUAAAACUUGAUCUCGACACCCUAAUUUUGCAGCAUCACUCAUCUCAAUGAGGGCAACUUAGUAAUAAUACAACUCUUUUACAAUUACUAUAUGUUAUGUGGGAGAUCAUUGAGUAUAAUACUAGUAAUAAUUGUUGAGGUGGUUGAAUUAGGUCAUCAAAGAAGAGCUUUCAAUCAAUUUCACUUUUGUGGUAGAUUGAGUUGUUAGUCAUUGACUUCAUGAAUAAUAAUAUAUAAUAUAUAAUAAUGCAUAUAUAUGCAAUACAUUAUUAAUACUAAGUGACUUGUCAAAUGCUCCUUUUUCCACCUGUGGAUUUAGGGCUUUUAAUGUCCACAAGUGUAUGAUUUAAGAUGUUGACCCAUCCUAAAUCUUAUGUUCCAGGAUUUUUUUUUUUUUUGGUGGGAGGGGGGGGGGGGGGGGCAAUCACUUAUCUUAUUAUUUUUUUAAUACAAAAUUUUUUUAUUUUUUUUCAAAACGCCAGGAUAAUGUGAUGUAAGAUGUGCACUCUAGAAUAGAGUGUACAGAUAGCAUUUUUCUGAGAUGCUUCGUAAGCCAUGAGUGUUUUUUCGGGAGCAAUUACUUAUAUACCUCUGAAAAUGUUUUAACUUUCUUAUUUUUUUCUUUUAGAAGGUUAAUAUCAAAAAUAUCUCUUUUAAUGUUCUGAGUUAUUUUAAAUAUAUCGCAAUCAGAAUUAAAUUUUGUUAGUGAAAUGUUAGAAAUAGUCGUCAUCUCUGUAAAAUUAUUAUUUUGACUUUUCACUUUUCUUAUUUGUCCUUAAGUUAGGGACAAAAAAUAUAUUUUGAUUUUUUUUUUUUUUUUACUUUGAUAGAAAGUUAAUUCGGAUUUAACCUCUGAUGACUUAACGGGUACUAACAGUAGAAUUAUUUUUGAAUAACAGGAAAAUAUACGAGGAGUAUAUUUGAACAAAAAAAGGCGUAUAUAGAAUAUUUCAGAAGUUUUAGGGGUGUACAAAUAAUUAUCCCUUUUUAUUAUCAAUAUCUAAUUUAGGUUUUCUCUUUUGGUAAAAAUAUUACUUCUCUAUGGCUCAGAUUUACUCACUUAUCUUAUCAUCAAUAUUUUUUUAAAAUAUUGAAAAUUCAACAAAAUUUUGAUUUUAGGAUUAUGGGAGUGUUGGAUGUGUUAGAAAAAACCGCAAUAAAAAUCUGAUUGUGAUUAAUUAUUUAAUUAAUUUUAUAAUAAAGAUAAAAUUAAACGUACAGAUAAACGCUAAAAUUUUAAAUAAAUAAUUUGAUUAAUCCAGAAGCGUGCGUAAUAAUUUAACCGAAAAUAUCCCCCAAGGUACGACCAGAGCUCUUGUUCCUAUGAACACGAACGUGGAAGAUGUUGACGGCGAAACUUUCAACACUCGGCGAUAAAGAGAUCAAGAGAAAUAAAAUAAAAUUGAAUUGAAAUUGAAACAAAAAAAAUCUUUUCUCAUUUUUCUUUUUUUUCACUUAUCUCUCUAUAAUGUUCAUGUCACAUGAAUAGUAAAAAAGACAGUAUUAAUAGGGGUGUGAAUGGAACAUUAGAAGCACCCAACGCUCCACUCCAUUAAUAGAUUUAAUUGCCAUGUUCCAAUCAAAUUAAUUAAAAUAAAUAAUAAUAAAUAUUAAUAAAUGAGAAUAAAAGAAUUAAUAAAUUAAAAAAGAAAUAAUAGUAAUNAUAAUAAUAAUAGUAAUUGAGAAAUUUUUGAUUUUUCACCAACAAUAUGUACACUCUAGUACUAUUAAUUUUCUCCUAUUUAAUUUAAAUUCACGUCAUGGAUCUAACGAAAAGUUUUGAGCUUAAGUUUUUAGAGUACAAUGAUUAUUUUAGAUGGAACCAAAAAAGAAAAUUCUGAGUUCAAGUCAUACAAGGCUUUUAGUAUUAUAAAUUUUCUUUCAUUUAAUUGAAGUUCACGUAAUGGGUCUACAAAAAGUCUCAAGCCCAGACAUGAAAGCACGUGUAAAAUAAAAAAAAUAUUUAAAUAUUAUUUUUUAUUAGUUUAAGCAUGUAGAGUACAACAGUUAUUUUGUAUUAUUUAAAAAAAAAAUAAAAAAAAUUUUCUUAUUUCUUAAUUUUUUUAAUUUAUUAGGAGAAAAAAGAAAAUUAUUGGGUGCAAUAAAUUGAAGCAAUUCACUUGGUAUAAAUUAAAAAGAGACAACUACAUUGUAGAGACAGCAGUGUUAUUAUUUGAACUAUUCCUCUGGGAAAGUAGUGACCACUGCCACCUUCUAGACUCUUCUUUUUUCUUUUUUUUUCCCUUUCUUUUAUUUUUAUUUUAUUUUUUUAUUGAGCACUAAUACUAUUGAUGACAUGACAAUAUCAUUAUUACACCCUAAACAUCAUUAUUAAACCCUCUAAAUCCUAAUCCUUUCACAUGUGUAUGUCAAAACAUUAAUAAUAUAUUGUGAUAUUUUAAAGUGGGGAAUCCAAAAUAUUUCUCUUUCAGAAAUCAGGGUUUAGAGUUUAUGGUUUCUUACGCCAGUUUCAUUUAUACUAUACAUGGUAACAAAUUAACAAUUUUUAGGGCACCAGCGUAGAAGGAUGCAAAAUAUUUCUUGCACUAUUAAAGUUUAUUUGGUCAUCUUAUGUAUAUAUAUAGAGAAAGAGAGUUGAACUGGAAUGUUAUCGGUAGCAAACUGGCUCCGUUGCCAUCCAUUUAUUUUCGAUGAUGGAGUCUUUAAAUCGACGAUCGACACCGUUGAAUAUAAUCUAUACCACUAGAAAUAUUUAGAAGCCAAAUUUUAAAUAUUUUCGACAUCAUUAAUCUAAUGAUCAAAGUGUUUCAAAUUUUAUAAUUUUAAUGGUCGAUAUGAGGCAUUUUUUCAUUUAACAGUGUAAAAAUAUCCAAAUCAAUUGAAUUUUGGUUAGAAAAAUAUUUUUAAAACUAUUUAGAACAAGAUUUAUACUCUCGAUCUUGAUUACAAGAUUCCAAUCAUCAGUUUGUAGAGGAUAUUCAUUUUUAAUCGUUCAUUUUUGUGUCCACUUGAUUGACAAGAGAAUAAUAUCAAAAAAGUAUGAAAUUUAGUUUCUAAAUGCGUCAAGUGGUAUAAAUCAUGUUCAACGAUGUCGAUCGUUAAUUUAAAAGUUUCAUCAUGAAAAAUAAAUAGGUAGCAAUGAAGUUCGUUUACUACUAAUAGCAUUCCAGCUCAUCUCUCUCUCUCUCUCUCUCUCUCUCUCUCUCUAUAUAUAUAUAUAUAUAUAUAUAUAUAUAUAUAUAUAUAUAUAUAUAUAUAUAUAUAUANUAUAUAUAUAUAAGGCUACUAUGCUAUCGGACGUGCUUCCAGCUCAUUUUCGAUAUUGCGAUUUUCGAAUCGUCGAUCGGCUCCGUUAAACUUGAUCUAAAGUAUUUGAAGAACCUAGAAAAUAUAUAAAUAUCCGUGCUUUCAUAAGCAUACCAAUCCACUCAUAUAUAUAUAUAUAUAUAUAUAUAUAUAUAUAUAUAUAAUUGAGCUCUUAUACUUUUAAAAGUACAAGUUAUUGGUGUUUAUAGAUUUUUAGCCAUUGGAUUAAGAGAUAUACGGUUAGGAUGAUGUGGGCCCCCUAAGGUUGAGUGGGUGGAUACUAUCUAAUGGUUGAAAAUAAUUCGAGGAGUAGAUCUAACGGUAAAAAACUUACAAGUACCAAGUGCAUGGUGCUUUUGCAAGCACCAUAGUCAUUUACUCGACAGUUAUUAACAAGAUGGGUUGAUAGGAUGGAUGGGACGAAUGAGUUACUGCGACUUAACUUCUUAUUUUAGGAGUGGGUCCUUUCAAAUACUAUGUUAAAGAAUGCCCAAUAACUAUUAUUAUUAUAUUAUUAUAUUAUAUUAUAUGUGGAGAUAUAAAAAUAUUAUUUUUUUAAUAGUCUAAGUUUUUAGAGUGUAACGAUUAUUUUAUUUGGUAUCAGAGUAUGAAGUUCUGAAUUCGAGUCAUAUCAGACUCCUAGUGUUAUUAAUUUUCUCCCAUUUAAUUCGAGCUCACGCUAUGAGUCUUGUAAAAAAUUUCGAAUCCAAAGCUUAAUAACUUAAGAUUUUAAAGUAUAACGAUUGUUUCACAAAGAUUUUUUUUUUUUUUUUUUUUUUUUUGAGAGAGAGAGAGAGAGAAAGAGAGGGGUGCAAAGCCAUGUGACAAGGGGGAACAUGGCAUUAAAGAUUGGAUUCCAAAUGGUUAGAUUUUGAUGGAGUAUUCAAUUUGCCAUCUUAGUUUAGGGCAGUUUUACCAACACUUUAAAACUUGGGUUAAACUGAUCGAUUCGAUUGAUUUGAUCCUGACCCACGCUAUAAAGUUGUUCCACAUUACCCUCUAAACUAGAUAAGCAAAAAAAUAAUUCUGAACUAUUCGAAUCGAUGAAUCGAACUGAUUUUAAACCAAAUAGGUUAAAUUUUUUUAUUAAGUUAUAUUAAAAUCUAGAAACUUAAAAUUAACUUAUUUUAUUUUAUUUUUCAUUAGCAACAUAUUAGCUUUAUAAAAAGUAAAAUUUAAAAAUUUAUAUAUAUAUAUAAUUUAGUCGAAAAAUCAGAAUUUUUUAAUUAAGUAUGAUAUUAAAAUUUCUGUAUAAUAAAACUAAAAAUAAUAUUAAAUAUUUGUGACGUCAUGGUGACAUCAUUAAUUCAACCAGUGAUUGAUUUGCCGAAUAACAUUUUCGAACCGCUACUUAUCCUGAAUUUUAAAACAUUGAGUGUUACUUUAACACCCUAUAAUUCAAAAGAUAAUACUUAAUUUAUUUUUUAGAAAAAAUUAUAGAAUUGUAACAUGUUUAACAAUAAGUUUUACAAUGAAACGAAAAAACAAAAAUUACAUGGUAGCUAACUGUAACUUUCUGAACAAUAGAAUGACAAAGUGAAAAUAUGUUAAAUAAAUGCGUUACACUGGGAUAAAUUAAAAUUUACCCCAAAAAAAGAUAUUACCCCCUUAAAAUUAUUAAAAAAAUCUAAUAAAAAAUGUUAUUUGGCAUGUAGAUGUGAUUCUCCAAGUGAGGGCAAAUGGGUCAGACACUCAGACCCAAAUUUGGGUUACAAAUGUUUACUCACCAAUUUGGUCUAAAUCAAAUUCAAGUUAUAAGAUUUGGAUUUAAGUAAAAAGGUCAAUUGCAUACAGGUCCCUGCAAAUAUAGUAAAUUGCAGAUAUAUUCCUGUAAAGUUCAAAUUUUAUAAGUUAUCCAUACAAAACUUCUAAUAUUUUCAGAUAUAUCCAUGUCGUUUAGACCUGGCAAUCUCGAUCCAUACCAGCGAGUGCCCGCGGGUUACUCGUAAAUUUGCGGGUAUAGGUACCAACUUUUUCAACCCAAAAAAUUACGGAUAAAACGGGUGGGUACCCAUUAAGUUGUGGGCAUUUUGGGUAACCCACGGGUACCCAUGGUAACCCACACAUAUAUUUUUUAAUUACAAAAUAUAUUUUCUUAAUUAAAAUAUAUAUAUUUUUAUUACCCAUCCUAAAAAUUUUAACUUUAAUUUCUUAUCACGUCUUUUAUAUUACGAAAUUUUUAAGCUCUAAGACUUUAAAUAUUUUUAUUGUAUAUUAUGAUAUUUUAAAUAAAGAUGUCCGUGGACCGGGUUGGGUCUGGGUAAUUAAUAUACUGUACCCAUACCCUAAAAAGGAAUGGUUAGAAAAAAAUAUAUAUACCCUACCCAUUUAAGUUCGGGUCGGGUCCGGGUCUGGGUACUAAAUUUACUAAUAUACCCAUCGGGUCUAUUUGAGCGGGUAUGGGUAGUGACUACCCGUAUACUAUCCGUUCAAGACCGGAUAUAGAUCGGGUACGGAUAUCCGUAUAAGUAUAUUUUCUUUAUAAACUUUAUUAAAUAGUUUAUGAACAAACUAUAAAGCCCGCCAUAAAAAAACUCGCAUUCUAUUAAGUUGUACCUUCCAAUAAAAUUCAUUCAAAAGAAGAAAAAAAGGGUAGAAAACAAAGAGUAAAAAAAUUAGGAAAAUGUAAUGAGUAAAAGAGACGGCUAGGAUUUCAUUAGGAUGAAAAUACAAGUGACUCAUCAUCUAUAAGUCAUAUUAAAAUUGAUCCUUCAACUUCAAAAUUUUAUUUUUUUUUAUUUACCAUCGGAUAUUUCAUCGGGUCCGGAAUAGCCGGAUCUGUGUUCGGAUUUGAAAACUAUUUCGGACCCUACCCAUUUAAAAGUUGGGUUCGGAUCGGGUCCAAAUCGGGUAUGGGUAUAAAAUAUCCGGACCCAUACCCGAAACUUUAAUGGGUAUUUUUUUUUAUCUGUAUAUUAUUCAUUUUUUAUCGGGUCCGGUUCGGGUCCGGAUACGGUCCGGAUCGGGUAUGGGAUAUCGGAUAAUUUAGACACCUUUAAUUUUAAAUAAUGAGUUAUGUUAUAUUUUUAAAAUUUAUAUAUAUGUAUUCUACAUUUAAAAAAUAUAAGAGAAAAAAAGAAAAAAUUGCGGAUAACCCGCAUACCCACCUGCUCACCCACGGGUGGGAAUGGGUAACGAUGUUGGCUAUCCAAAAAUUUACAGGUAAAUUUUAUCCAUACCCAAAUAGCCCACGGGUACAAUAACCCGCCCGCGGGUUACCCAACCCGCCCGUUUGCCAGGUCUAAUGUCGUUAGAAUCCGUUAGAAAUGUUUAGUUAACUAUAGGUUAAAUAAUUUAUCCGAGUUAAUUUUUGACAUUUUUAACCCUUUUAAAUUAUACUGUUAUAAUUUUUGGAGGAAAAUAUUUGUGAUGGAAAAAUUGAAAAUAUAAACAAUUUUCUAACGGUUCUCUAACGGUAACAAACCAGAGGGCCAUAUAUGAAAAUAUUCAGACUUUUGUGGGAAUAACUUAUGAAAGUUAAACUUUACAGGAAUAUAUUUGUAAUUCACUAUAUUUGCGGGGACCUGUAUGCAAUUAACACUAAGUAAAAAAUCAAGCAGCUUAUCAGGUUUUGGUUAAUCAACUCCAUAUGUUUGAUUUGAAAUAAUUUUGGUAAAAAUAUAAUUAAACUUCCUUAACUAUAUAUUGAACGUUUUAAAAUAAGCCACUCAAUCUUUUUUUUUUUCUUAGUUCAAAUAAAAAACUAAUUAGUUCAAAAAUGUUAUUAGAUUUAAUAGCUAUAUUAGCAUUUAGCCACUAAUUAUUCAAAUUUUAUUUAUAAGAAGUAAUUAAAACAAUUACAUUUUUUUUAAUUAAAACAAUUAAAUUUGAUGGAAUAGCCAUUGCCUAUAAUCAGUCAAAGGGAAAAGACAAAGUCAAAGAUGUAUCAAACGAAAACAAUAAAUUUAAAAAAAAAAAAGGUUGAGAGAACAUUUCAAAUGGCAUAUAGUUGAGAGAGUCUCCAUAUUUUUUUCCAACAAUUUAUUUUUAUUUUCUGAACCCGAAAUUUUCUCUUUUUUUUUGAGAAUAAGGAAGAUCGCUACCCGCUUCAUUCAUUGAACUGAUGAAUUAUACUACAGGAGUGAGGCAGCUGGGGCUUGGAUAAGCUCGAAAUUUUGAAGAAACCAAACUCGUGAUCACGCCUACUUUAAUAUUAAAUGACGUGCUCUGAUAUCAUAUGAAAUAAUAUAACAUAAUUGCUUUUCUCUACUCUAAGCUAACCAUAAAGUAGAAUUUUAAUAUUCUAUAUUCAAUACUCCUCAUAUUUUUGGGUUUGAGAACUUUGUGGGAUAUCAAUUGCGAUCUCCUGUUCUAAUAUCAUAUUAAAUAAUAUAAAAUAAUCAAGUUUGUCUAAAAAGUUAAAUUACUAUAAAAUAAAAUUUUUAAUAUUUUAUAUUCAACACUCCUCUUAUUUCUGGGUUUGAGAGCUUGGUGAGAUAUCAAUUUAUCAGAAUAAGACAAUUUUUUUUUUUUUUGGGGUCAUUUUGUGAUAUUAAAAGAUGCCUUGUCCAUUGAUACUAAAAUUAUUAUUUGGUAUGUUGAGGAGAGGAGUUAUGGGAUAUUCUUUUCUUAGAAUAAGAUUAUUCCUUGUCUAUUUUAGUCAAUUAAGUUAUUCUCCCCCUUAUUUUUUUUAAAAAAAUUGUCUUAUUCUGAUAAAUGGAGCCUUGGAACUUUGGUAGUUUCUGAGAAUCAUUCAAAAGAAAAGGGCAAAAAAAAAAAGAAAAUUUAUAUGGGGGCCCCUUGAAUAAUAAGUUAUUUUGAAAUAGGCCCCUUAAUUUUUUUUACUAAAUUUUUAUGCUCUGUUAUCUAUUAAUCUAUUAAUCAUUAAUUAAUUUUCUCGGCUCGAUAUGUUGCAAAGUAUUUAAUUAAAGCCAUUAAAUUUGAUGGAAUCACCCCUAAUUUUAAUAAAAUCUCCAAUUUAGUUGACUAAAAUUGCUCAACAGAAAACCAUCAAAAGUUUAGAGUGUCACUAAAUUAUACUAAUACUAAUGAUAAUAAGAAAAAACUUCAAAUAUCCCCCUAUGGUUUAGCGCUUUCUCACCUUAGUACCUAGUGAUUUAAAGUGUGUCAUUUUAGUACUCUGUAGUUUCGUUUUCUCUUUUCGCUAUCCCCUCUAUUAAAAUAAAUAGAAAAAAAAACUUCCGAUGCCCCUUUGUGGUUUACCGAAUAUUCACUUUAGUAUCAUGUGGUUUACGAAAUUUUUACUUUAGUAUCCUGUAGUUUUAACUUUCUCAUUAAUCUAACGAAAAAAUUAAUGAAAGGGAUAACAAAAAGAAAAAAAAAAGAAACCCAAGAAUAGUAAAGUGAUAUAGUUUAAACAACAAAAACUAAAAUAAAAUAGCGCUGAACCACAUGGGUGGUAUUUGAAGUUUUUCCUAAUAAGAAUAAAAACAAUAAUUGAGGGUUUAUUUUAAAACGAUCUGUAGUUACAGGUUUUCAUAUAUUCUUUACGGGUUAAUUACACCAGUGGUCCCUAACCUUUACACUAUUUUUCAAUUUGGUCUCCAACCUUUUUUUUUUCAAUCUAGUCCCUAAUCUUUUGAUUUCAUGUCAAUUAAGUCCCAGCCGUUAGAUAGCUGUUAAAAUUAACGGAAAAUAUCACAUCAGCUCUACGGAGACGUCAUGUCAGCGCCACGGUGGCGCUGUGUCAGCGGAUUGCAAAAAAAAAAAAAAGGUUGGGGACCAAAUUAAAAAAUGGUGCAAAGGUUGAGAAUCAAUGGUGUAAUUAGCCCAUUAAAUUUAUAAAUUCAAAAAAAAAAUUUAAUUUAAGAUUUAAAUUUUAAAUUUAAAUUUAAAUUUUGAAUUCAAAUUUAAAUUGGAAUUCAAAUUCCGAUUUUGAAUUUAAUUUUAAAUUUUAAUUUUAAAUUCAAAUUCACAUUUGGAAUUCUAAAUUCUAAUUUAAUUUCAAACUUCGAUUUGAAAUUUCAAAUUCAAAAUGUGAAUUUGACUUCGAAGUUUAAAUUCAAAUUUAGAAUUGAAAUCAAAUCUUAAAUUCAAAUUUAAAUUUUAAAUUCAAAUUUAAAAUUUAAAAUCAAAAUUUUGAAUAUGAUUUUAAAUUUAAAUUCAUAUUUUAAAUUUAAAUUUCGGUUUCAAAACUUUUAUUUUAAAUGUAAAUUGAAAUAUCAAAAUCAAAAUCAAAAUUUUAAGUUUGAAUUUAAAAUUUAGAUUCAAUUAAAAAUUUAAAUUUAAAAUUUGAAUUUCAAUUCAAAAUUUUAAUUCAGCUUUAAAUUCAAAUUCAAAAUUCUAAUUUCUCGUUAGUUUAAAAUUUUAAUUUUAAUAUUAUUUUUGAAUUUAAAUUUAAAAUUUUGAUUUUUUUUAGGGACUAAAAUAAAAAAUGUGGGAAGUUUAGGGACCUAAUUGACAUGCAAAAGGUUACCACAUAGUCCCUGACGUGGCGAUUCCGUUAAUUUUAACAGUUUUUUUAACGGUUGGGACCUUAAUGUAAUAAAAUCAAAAGAUUAGGGACUCAACUGCAAAAAAAAAGGGUCGGGGACUCAAGUGAAAAUUGGUGGAAAGGUUGGGGACUACCGGUGUAAUUAACCCUAUUUUUCACCAAUAAAAAAAAAGAGUGGGGUGAAAUGGAAAAUUUUGGAAAAAAAACAAAAAAAGAAAAUUUGUCUCUUGGAAAGCUAUGGUUGUAGUGACAAAGUGUUUCAACUUUUGGAUAGAACCUCUUCACUCAUUAUUCACUUUGUUCUAUUUUGCACAUGGGUCCCAACAAAAUCAAUAAAUUCUAAAAGGUCGAAUCUCAAAAAAGUUGGAUUUGAUGGAUGAAUAAGUUGGGUAGUGAUUUUUUUUUUUUGCACCUUAACUACAACUAGCCCUAAUUCAUAGCAUAAUAUUUCUUUAAAAAAUGCUUUGGUUUCUCACUACGGGUUUUCCACUAUAUUAUUCAUGUGUUGAUAAUUAUAUGUUAAGAAUUGUGAUUAGAUUAUGCGUGCAGUUUAAACACUAAAUGAAUUUAUCAGUACAUCAACAAUGUAUAAGAAAUUACUUUAAAGUAUCUGUAACAACACCGAUAUUAAUCUUUUACGUAUACUAAGAUUGCCGUUUUAGAUUGAGCACUAUUUAGAAUUCUACAUUUUUUUUUUUUUUUGAGAGAAAGAUAGUAUGCUACCCGCUUCGUUUUUUUUUUUUUUUAGAAAUAAACUUAGCUGGAAACGUGAAUCAACUAGAACUCAAACUGGGGACCUUGGAUACCAACUAUCAAAUUCUUUACUACUUGCGUUAAGAACCUGCGGUAUUCAAGAUUCUAUAAUUGACUUUUCGAAUCCACUAUCUAUCUAUAUACAUAUAUGAAAGCGCAGUUUAAAUCAACUUCAUGUAUAGUGGGGGGUGGGUUGGAUUGGGUUGGGGUGGGGUGGGGUUGUUGUUGUUUUUUUUUUUUUUUUUCCGGCUUCCGGCCAAAUUCUCCUCUCUUUCAUUAUCCAUCAAUCUCUCUUAUCGUUUGAUGUACAAUUUAUUUUCAAAUGAUUAAUACUGUAAAUUUAAAAUUUAUAUUGAGUACAUGCGACCUAAACCGUUUGAAAAGGUUAUGUGUAAAUAAUUAUAUAAUUUAAUUUUUUAUAAUAAGAUUUGAGAAGUGUAAUAUAUAAAAUUUACUUUUAUACCGGAUGCGCGAAACAUUUCUCUAUUUUUCUUUAUUAAUUUAGCUAUUGGUAUUGCUCCCGUUGGUUCUUCUUUUUUAGCUUCUUUCUUUAUUCUUCUUACAAUUUUACUGCUGCCACAAAUAUAAUUUAUUAUUCUUAUAAUUUUUUACAUUUAUUCUUCUUUUAUCCUUUUUAUGCUUUUAUUCCUAUGCUUUUACUGUAGGAGCUGCUGCUCCUUCUCUUCAACUUCUUUUAUUUAUUUUUUUUUUAAUUCUUUGGCUUCUUUUUUUUUUAUAUACUUUUAAUGUUUCUUCUUUCUUUAGAUUUUUCUUAUUUAUUUACAUCUGCAUAAUUGAUCAGCCACAAUGUGCGGGUGCCUUCGCUAGUAUAUAUUUAACAAUUUAUAUACGAGAGCCCAUACUCUCGUACUUCAUUUGUAAUUAGAUUUUGUGGGAGUGGCUCCAAUGUGUCGCACAAUUUUUACAUGCAUUAUUAAUAGAUAGAAAUAGAACAGUUUCUGCUGUGGACCGUCUCUCCAAAAUCUCUCUCUGCUGAUCCUCCAAAAUCUCCAAAAUCUCUACAUAAAAACAACUUUGAUGUCAAGAGAAGAAUGCGACCCGGGUUGCGACGAUUGAAUUAGAACGGAUACCUAACAGAGCGGUUCAUAGCUGGCGUAGUAUUGAGUAUAAAUAUUAAAACAUUAUUCUCUGCUAACUUCAAGGUUUUCAAUUCUGGCAAUAAUUGAAUUAGAACGGGUAUGUGACAAAACAGUCCGUAGCUGACGUAGUAUUGAGUAUAAAUAUUAAAGCAUUAUUCUCUGCUAACUUAAGUUUUUCAAUUCUGGCAAUAAUAGAAUUAGAACAGAUACCUGAUAGAGCGGCGCGUAGCUGACGUAGUAUUGGGUAUAAAUAUUAAAAUGUUAUUCUCUGUUAACUUUAAGUUUUUAAAUUCUGGCAAUAAUUGAAUUAGAACGGAUCCCUGAUAGAGCGGUCUGUAGCUGACGUAGUACUGAGUAUAAAUAUUAAAACAUUAUUAUCUGCUAACAUAAGUUUUUAAAUUCCGGCAAUAAUUGAAUUAGAACGGAUACCUGACAAAGCAGCCCGUAGCUGACGUAGUAUUGAGUGUAAAUAUUAAAACAUUAUUCUCUGCUAACUUAAGUUUUAAAUUUCUGGCAAUAAUUGAAGUAGAAUGGAUUCCUGACAUAGCAGUCCGUAGCUGACGUAGUAUUGAGUAUAAAUAUUAAAACAUUAUUCUCUGCUAACUUAAGUUUUUAAAUUCUGGCAGUAAUUGAAUUAUAACAGAUACAUAACAAAGCAGUCCGUAGCUGAUGUAGUAUUGAGAAUAAAUAUUAAAACAUUAUUCUCUGCUAACUUAAGUUUUUAAAUUCUGGCAAUAAUUUUUUUAAAAAAAUAUUUAGAGAGAUUAAUUUAGUAUGAUAAUUAGUUUUUUUUUGUUUUAUCAUUCUCAUGCAAAAAUACUAUUUACAUGCUUCUUGUUUUAAUGCCCUAAAAAAGAGAACAUAAAGUUUUUGAUUUAGCAUUUCCCUAGGUAUAUAUUUAAUUAACACUUUAUUUGGAGAAAUUAAUAAUUGCAGAAAGAAGCAUCUGAAAGGAAAAGGAAAGACAUAAAAAAGGAGGUUGAGGAACUUCAAGAUGGCAAAAAAAAAAAGUACAAAAAAUUAAUUUUAUAAUUUUUCUUUCACAAAUUAAUUUUUAACAAUUUUUCAAGAAACCAAACACCCAUGAGUAGGAAAAAGUCUUUUUCUAAAAAAUUACUCAAUCCAAUCACAUCAUAAUUAACAUACCAUAUUAUUAAAGCAAUAAUUAUUAUCAUCAAAGUUUUAAUUAUUAUUUAUAAAAUUAAUUCAAUAACAGAAAGGUACAGAUAUAAUUUAACGCAUCUACACACAGCAGAAUAAAGUACAUGAAAAAUAAAACUCAAAAUCUUAUGAAAAGGAGGGAGAGAGUUUAGGAUUAACUCUGAUAUCGUGUUAUCUAAAACAAAUUAAUUUAGUAAAAAAUAAGUUUAAUUAGAAAUAAAUUAGACAAUUAUUACAUACAUGUAUACUUGACAAGUUUCUCUCAGCUUCUUUGGUAUAUUCUAGAAGAUGGUGGAGAUGCCUUGAUUGUAUUGGUUUGAUCCUUUUCCUAGCCCUAACUUGAAGGUAAUUAUUAUUAUUAUUAUUCCAUGAUGGUGACAACACAAAAUGCAUCAACAAACAAAGUGAAUGAAAUGGAGGGGCAAUAAUAAAAAAACAUAUAUAGGAGCCAAAAUGUGAAAUGUUUUUAAUGAGUACAUGUUCUAUAUGAUCUUUUGAGUAAGCAUCUGAAAUAGUUUUUUUUUUAUUUAAUUAAGUAGAGUAUUAGUUAAUUAAGCUGGACACUUGGCCAACAAAGUAUUAGAACCCCUUUUUUUUAACAGCAAAAAAGAAAAAAAAAAAUUGAGCCCUAGAAGCAGAAACACACAUAUAAAGCUUCUACUCUUUUCUUUUUUUUUUUGCUGUAAAAAGUUGAUAUUUAAAUAACGCUAUUCAAAUAAUACUUUUAUAAAAAGUUUAUUCGAGCCAAACUAGCCUUAAUUUUUUCGAAUUGUGUGAAUAGACGAUCACGAUUAAAGCAAAAAAAAAAAUAUAUAUUUGCAGUGGAUCGAAUCCCGUUUCUUAAUUAUCUGUACAUAAAAUAUUACAACAAUUUUAGUACUACAGCAGGUGUCACACGUAUAGAAUCUAUUGAUACGGAAUACGGAACACAACACGAUUCUGACACGACAAUUCGACUGUUUUAAAAAAAAAAAAAAAAUUAACACGGAUGCGGCUGGAUACUACUAAUUAAAUAUAAUAUUAUUAAUAUAGUAAUAUAUAUGUAUUAUAUAUAAAAUAUUAAUUUUGAUUCACAUAAAAGUUAAUAAAAAUUUUCAUGUACACUUCAUAUAUCUUUUUAAAAACAAAUUCUCAAUCAGACACGAUUUAUUUAUAUCGUUCAAAACGAAUUUGUAUGUAUUUAUUGAAAUUUUUUAUUAACUUUUAUGUGAAUCAAAAUUAAUAUUUUAUAUAUAAUACAUAUAUAUNAUAUCUUUUUAAAAACAAAUUCUCAAUCAGACACGAUUUAUUUAUAUCGUUCAAAACGAAUUUGUAUGUAUUUAUUGAAAUUUUUUUUUUUUUUUUUUUUUUCAAUAAGAUGCGCCAUAGAUGCACAUCAAACGGGCACCAUGACGCGUCCACGUCAAACAUGAGUCCGAAACGGACGCGCAUACGUCCGACACAGAAAAGCGAGAUUUAUAACAAAGUCCACAAAGAUAAUAUACUAUAUCAUUGUCUCAAAUAGACUUAGAUAAUUAGAAUGAUUUUAAAUCAGAAAAUAAAAUUUUGUGAAAACAAAUUUACAAUUGACGUCUGUUAUAUAUUUAACUGUAAGAAAAAGUGAUCUAUCAUGCUUGUAUUUUAAAAUUUUCAUAAACCAAUUGUUAAAUAAUUUUAUAUUUUUAAAACUAAUAUUAAAUUUUGAAACUUUGAGGAUCAAACCACUUUGCUCCAAGGGCAAAAUAAAAAUAAAAAAAUUAAAAAAAUUGAUAAAAUAAAAAUAAUAUAAAAUUCAAAGCACUUUUCCCAAAUUACCCCUCCCUCCAAAUCGGCCAAGUCGUUGGCGUAUCCCAUCCGUCGGUGCCACGUGGCACCUUGCUAGUCCUCUAUGACUUCUCCAACAACCUCAUUAGUAAAAUUACUAAUUGGCCCUCACUAGAAAGAAUAAUUAUAUUUUUGGUCCAAAUGUUUACCGCAUUUUUUAUUUUGAUUCAUAACUUUUUUUUUUUUUUUGCAAUCAUUUUUUAAAAAGUUAUUUAUUUAGUACCAACUAAUAAUCAGCAAGCCAAUAAUAAAUUUUAUUAUGCAAUAAUUUUCAAACGAACUAAUAGUAUUUUUCAUGACGUACCUUUUAAAUAUUAUUAUUUUUAGACGGUUUAAAUAAUUAGAAAUCGAUAGUUGUUUCACAUUAUUUAGUAUGGUAUCAGAAUUAGAUGUACACACUACUCUCUAAGAAGGAUAAAUUUAGGGAAUUUAAUAGGGAUAAUUUAGACAUAUUAAUCACUUAUAAGUAUAUUCUUAUAUGCUGUGUUUGGUUCGAGUAUAAAUAAGAACUGCUUAUUUCAAAAAUAGGUACAAAUUUAAGUAUAAAUUGAAACUAAACCAAUGUUGCGUUUAGAUGAAAAUUAAGUUGUUUCUGGAAAUAAGGUAAUAAUGUUUGGAUUGUUAGAUUGGAAUAAGGAGGAAUAAGAGUUAUAAUUUUAAAUUAAAAAUAUUUUAUCUAAUUAAUUAACAUCAAAAUAUUAAUUAAAAGUAAUUUAAUAAAUUAAUAAAUUUAUUAGCUAUGAAUAUUAUAUAAGAUAAUAAAAAUAUAUUAAUUAAUUAGUUAAUUAAUUAAAAAAUUUUAAUUUUUUAAUUAGUUAGUAAAUUAUUUUAGUUAGAUAAUUAGUAAUGGUUGAUCGAUAUAAAUAUUAGUUUAUGAAUAAACACAUUAAAUUAUUAAUUUUUAAUUAGCUAAUUAAUUAUGAUUAAUUAAUUAAUUAAUUACUUUAUUAUUUAAGCAAUAGAUAAUAGUUUAAAUAUAUUAAUUAAAUUAAUUAAUAAUUUAAUGCCAUAAUUAAAAUUAAAUUUAGACUUUAAUUAAGCUUGGUCUCACUUGGGAACAAGCUUGUUCCAGAAAAAAGGGUGGAACAGUAGUUCCAGACUUAGGCUUUAUUUGAAAUUGUAGGGAGAUUGUGUUACGUGCAGUGAGAACGUAUGAUUAAAAAAUACCAUGUUUGUUUUCAUACGUAAUAUUACGUUCCGCAUAUCACGAUGAGUCGAUUACGAUAUAUUUACUGCGAUCCCACCAGAGAACGCCAAAGUAUAUUUCUACAUACUUUUACCCCGACAUUAUUUUAUUUAAUAGCGUCGGAUAGAUCUCAUUACAGAACUAAAUCUUAUACCAACUUUUUCUAGAGCUUCUACCCCCCUAAUUUUGUGUUAGGGGACACUAGAGAUUCACAUGUGGUGUAGCAAGUAAUGAUCCGGGUCCCACGCUUUGCAAACGUGUAUGAAUAGAGUACCCAAUAAUGUACCCCAUAUUAAAAUAUAGAUACCAAAAUAAAAAUAAAAUAAAACUAGUAAAGUUAUCCGCGCAUUACGGCGGACUGAUGCUAUAAGAAACAGAAGAUUGACAAAGUAAAAUAUUUUAAAUUUUGUUCACUUGUCAUGAGAAAUCAAUAAAUACAAAUAAAAGCUAUGAAACAGAUAUAGCAAAAUUUAUAAUUUCGGCAAAUAAAUUAUAUGAAAUAAUAAUAAAAAACCAGCAAUAGAACACUACUCCAUACGCACCUUUCACUUCUCAUUCAUUGCUAUUGUCAGUGUCGACUGUCGAGUUCCUCUUUAAUCACGACAACAUAUAUCUUAUUUUAUUUAUUUUUUUUAUAAAAUUGAUUUGUUUAGAUGACAAUGAAUGUGAACAUAUUAAUUAAUAAUGGGAAAACUUCAAAAACCCCCAUGUGGUUUUGUAGUUUCUCACUUUGCCCCCUUGUGGUUUAAAAUGUAUCAAUUUACCCUCUUGUUGUUUCUUUUUUCUCUUUUUCUUAUCAAUUUCAUUUUUUUUUUUUCUUAAAUCAUUGAUAAGAUUAAAAUUAAAGGGUACUAAAGUGAAUAUUUGAUAAAUCUAGAUGAGUAUCUGAAGUUUUUUGUAUAUAAUUUAAUGAAAUAUUAACGAAAAAGCUACCGAAAAGAUAAAAACGAAACCACAGGGGGGCAAAUUGAUACACUUUAAAUCACAGGGGGCAAAGUGAGAAACUACGAAACCACAAGGGGGGUUUCUAAUAGUUUAUACCUAUUGCAGUUGUUAAUUUUAUUUAAAAAUUAACUCAAAUAUAAAUGCUAAAAGUUGAAAUACCUUCAAUCUUUUUUAAAAAAAAGGAAAAAUAAAAAAUAAUUGACAUGCAUUAUUUUUGACAAGUUUUUUUUUUUUUCUUUUUACUUUUGGAGAGAGUCAAUUUAGUGCUGAGGCCUAUCUAAUAAAAACAAAUAGAAUACGCUUCUCAUUUUUUUUAGUUUAAUCGUAAAAAAAUAUAUCAUAAUCGAUUUAUUGUACUAUUAAAUAUAUAAUAUUAUGUACGAAAAUAAAUAUAACAUUUAUUUUUUAUCAUAUUUAACGCAAUCUCUCUACAGUCCCUAACAAAGCCAAAAUAACAGUCACCAAAGAGCACACUAAAAUAUAUUUUAUUUGCCUAAAAUAUAUUAUGUACGAAAAUAAUUAUAAUAUUUAUUUUUAUCAUAUUUUUUUUUUUAUAUUUAACGUAAUCUUCAUGCAGUCCCUAAAACAAAUCCAAAAUAAAAGUUACAAAGUGGGGAUGUUUUUGGUACACCAAAUUAAGAGCACACGAAGAUAUAUGAGUGAGGCUACUAUGCUAUCAGAAGCGCGGAGCCUUCCGUGCUUCCAGCUCGUUUUCGAUGUUGCGACUUUCGAAUCGUCGAUCGGCUCCGUUAAACUUGAUCUAGAGUAUUUGGAGUACCUAAAAAAUAAAUUUUAUUAUUUUUCGAUAUCAUUUGCCUAGUGAUCGAAUGGGCUCAAAAUCAACAAAUUUCAACGGCCAUAGUAAGCCGUUUGCAAGUUUAACGGUGUAGAAAUAUCCAAAUCACGUGAAAUUUUAAUAGAAGAUUCUUUAUACUAUAUAAAACAAGAUCAAUAUCUUUGAUUUAAAAUUUUAAUGUCAUAUUAUUACAUUUUAUAAGAUUUUUAUUUUCAGCCGUUGAUUUUGAGUCUCUUCGUUCACUAGGCAAAUGAUAUCGUAAAAUCAUAAAAUUUAUUUUCUAUGUACUUCAAAUACUCUAGAUCAAGCCUAACGGAGCCGAUCGACGAUUCGAAAGUCGCAACAUUGAAAACGAGCUGGAAGCACGGAACCUCACUCAAGAUAUAUUUUAUUUGCAUAAAUUUAAUUGAGGUGGUUGUUUUCAAAAGUAAUAUGGUUGUGUAGGUGGAAGAGGUGGCUAAUAAUAAAUUGUAUAUUUAUACCAAUUUGGUGUGCCUCGUUUGACCCCCAAUCCAACUCAUUAAUCCAUUAAUUUAUUUCCCAACUUAGUUAAUAUUUUUUUAAAAAUUUUUAAUUGGAUCUAAACAAUGGAGUUAGUAUUUGAAAAUAAAAUUUUUAAAAAAAAUGUACAAAGCUCCCUUGAACAUUAGCACUGUUGUUAACACGCGCUUAAGAUUUAAUUUUGAUAAUUUUAUCUCCUAAACUUUAUUAGGUAGUAUAAUAAGUUUAUGUCCUUGAUUGAAAUUAUUAAUUAUAAGAAAAAAUUAGAUUGCUUUUUUUUUUCUCUUUUUGUAUAUCGAAGUUAUAUAAUGUUUAAUUAGUAAUUUGUCUUAAGAAAAGGAGCCUAUAAAAUUAUUUAAUUUAAAAAGUUUAAGGUCCAUUUUUAAAUAGUACUAAAAUGUAGAGGGUCUUUGUACAUUUUUUCAGUAAUUUGUCUUUGUUUGACCAAUUCCAUUCCUUUUAUUAGAGACUCAUUCCAUUGUGUCACAAAUAUUUAAUCUCUUAAAUUAAUUUAAUAUUCACAUAUAGAUUAUAAACAAACAGUAAAACUCUAUAUUAAUUACUUACUUAUUUCUAUAAAAUAUGAGAAUUUAUAUACGUGUAUACUCCUCAAAACUUUAAAAAUAUCGAAUAUAUUUCUGAUUGAUCAAAAUAAUCUUAUUGAUUUCGAAAAAAAUAAAUAAAUAUUUUCAAAUCCUUACUAGAGUUUAGUGAUGAGAUAUAGGAUACAAAAAUGAAGUUUGGUAAUUUUAGAAUAACUAAAGAUAAAUCAGCAAAAUUGCUUAUUAUAAAAAUAUUUUAAAUAAUUUAGUUUAAAAUAGAGUGCUUAUUUAUCACAUGUAUUUUUCUAAAUUAAAUUAAAUUAAAUUAUUAUUAUUCUCAAUAAUGUUUAAUAAAUUUUUUUUUUAUAAUUUUACUUCUAUUUAUUUAUUUAAUAACUUUAUUUUAUUUUAUUUUAAUAAAUAAAAUAUUAUUCCACAACUAAUUACUGAGCCCUAGCGUGGAUCUCCACCUCUUUAAAAGCACUACUAUUUACUCACAUGCUACUUCUUAACUCCCCCCUAAAUUUAUUUAAAUAUUACCUGCACCAGGUGUAUCCAUAUGCCUCACCCAAAUUUUUUUUUUCUUUCAUAACCAAUAUCUUAAAAUCCGUAUAUUAUAUUAAACUGGUACGUAUAAAAAGUUAUAAAUUUUUUAAAAAAUAUGUUAGUUUUAAAAUUCAAAUAGUAGGAUUUUGAUUUUGAUUUUGAGAUCUCGGAAUAGUUUUUCUUUUUAUUUUUCCCUUUCGCGAAGUGUGGUGCAUGAGAUGUACUUAUACACGCAGUGCACACAACAAUUUCUUCUUUAUGAGUUAAUUAUGGUUAAUUAUCCAAACAACCCACUUUAUUAUUAAGAUUACCAUAUCAUAACCACUUUAUAACCCAUUAUUAGUAUAUUUUUAUUAUUAUUCUUAUUAUAUGAAUUUCUUAUUCUAUACAUCGUCUCGUAUACUAACACCUACCUCCCUCUCUCUCUCUCUUUCUCUCUCUCUCUCUAACCCUAUCUUUCUCUCUCUAGAUUAAGAGAGAAGAAGCUUCCUAGAGAGAGAGAGGAGGAGAAAUGCCCAUAAUGAUAAUAAUAAUUAUUAAUAAUAAUAAAAGGGGGAGCUUUGGGUCUAAAAGGAGGAGCAUUGGGUCUCAAAACGGCAAUGGCGACGCUGUAAAAGUCGUGCUUAUUCCUCCUUCCCCUUCCCCUUCGCAUUCCCAUUCCCAUUCCCAAGCCCACCAUUGACCUUCUAGAAACCCGGGAAAAUUUGUUCCAAUUUAUGGGCAAUUUUUUUCUCCACGCGCACGUUUUUUCGCGAAUUUGGUUCUACAAAUCCGAGUCAAAGAGGGAUUUUUGAGCGGCCAAAGCUUGAAGAAGCUUCAACGCGCCUCUCCGCUUCCCCCAAACGGAGUUUUCAAAGAAGCGUGGGGGUGGGGAGGGUGCAACCCUUUAUAGAGCGUGGGUUAGCUCUAAUCCAUUACGUUAUAGGGAAAAGUUGGGAUUUUUACUUGUGGGUAUUCGUUGGAAUAGCUUAUUCCCUCCUAUUCUCAUCUUAUUCUCGUACAAAUUAGAGAAAAAGAGGGGUUUUGCUUUGUGGGUGUUCCUCGGAAUAGCUUAUUCCCUCUUAUUCUCAUCUUAUUCUUGUACAAAUUAGAGAAAAGGUGUGAUUUUUAUUCGUGGGAAUAGCUUAUUCCCUCCUAUUUCAUCUUAUUCUGAUACAAAUUAGAGAAAAAGGUGUGUUUUUUAGCUGUGGGUAUUCGUGGGAAUAGCUUAUUCCCUCCUAUUUCAUCUUAUUCUGAUACAAAUUAGAGAAAAAGGUGUGUUUUUUAGCUGUGGGUAUUCGUGGGAAUAGCUUAUUCCCUCUUCUUCUCAUCUUAUUCUUAUAUAUACAAAUUAGAGAAAAAGGUGUGAUUUUUAGUUGUGGGUAUUCGUGGGAAUAGCUUAUCCCCUCUUAUUCUUGCUUGAUAGGGAGAAAAGGCGCGAUUUUUCGUCGUCGGAAUAACUUUAUUUAUUCUCCCUUAUUCUUGUUUUGCGUGUUCUUAUCAACCUCUGCAGCUGAGUGUUUGUGUGUGUGUGUUUUGGGGAGGAAUAGUUAUUCUUGGGUCAAUUAUCAGAAGGAUAAGAGUUUGCAUCAGAAUUCGCAGUUUGCUGAGAUUUCGGCAGCGAAAACGCGCCUUCGAAAAGGCUCCAAUUUUAUAUAUUCUUGUGAAUUGUUUGGCGGAAUAAGGAGGAGGAGGAGAAGAAGAAGAACAAAUGGCUAGGAAUAGUGAGAGGAGGAAGAGGAAGAUUAGGCUGAGUAAAUUGUACAGCUUCUCAUGUUUCAGAUCAGGUUCCGAGGAGGAGCAGUCGCGGAUCGGGGGGCCCGGGUUCUCCCGGAUAGUGUUCGCGAACGAUCCCGACUGCUUCGAGGCCACGAACUUGAACUACCCUGUGAAUUAUGUGUCGACGACGAAGUACACGGUCGCCACAUUCCUGCCCAAGUCCCUGUUUGAGCAGUUCAGGAGGGUGGCCAACUUCUAUUUCCUGCUGUCGGGCUGCCUGUCGUUCACGCCGCUGGCCCCGUACUCGGCCGUCAGCGCCAUUCUGCCGCUCCUCGUCGUGAUCGGCGCGACGAUGGCGAAGGAGGGGAUCGAAGAUUGGCGGCGGAAGCAGCAGGUAAUCAUCCUUCUUCAUCUUCUGUCCUUUUCUUUCGUCAGACGCGAAAAUUGUAAAUCCUAAUUUCAUAUAUUUGAAACUUAUUAUGAUUGUCGCAAAAGUUUAUUCCUUCUCGUAUUAAUGUAGUAAAAUUGGUUCUUAAGAGGUUAAGAUUAUUAAUAAUGUAGUGUAUUAUGGUUUUGAGAUAACAUAUGUAGGAAUUACGAUAGUAAGCGUCGUAAAAUUCCCUUGUAAUAUUAUUGUAGUUGCAUGUUGUGUGUUUCGGAUAAUAAUUGCGUAGGUAACCUUGUUUAAGUACAUUAAACAAUAUCAUGAUUUUACACAUAUUUACUAGGAAUUUUCGGUUAGUAAUUCGAGUCACUUAAAUGCAUCGUAGGAGGCGACGAAACAAAACUUCUCACUCUCUUUUCCUCUUUUUUUGUGUUCUUAGAUCGUUGUUCGCCGUAUAGCAUAUAGAUAGUUUAAAUGGCUUCUAACGCGCUAAUUUCGCUAUAUUUAUUAUUAUUUUAUCCAGGAUAGUGAGGUGAACAACCGAAAGGUUAAAGUUCACCGCGGCGAAGGCCACUUCGACUACACCGAGUGGAAGAAUCUUCGAGUUGGCGAUAUAGUGAAGGUGGAAAAGGACGAUUUCUUCCCCGCCGACCUAAUCUUGCUUUCGUCGAGCUACGAAGACGCAAUUUGUUACGUAGAAACCAUGAAUUUGGACGGGGAAACGAAUCUGAAGCUAAAGCAAGCGCUCGAGGUGACGUCGAAUUUGCAAGACGAUAGUAGCUUCAAAGAUUUCAAAGCAAUCGUGCGGUGCGAAGACCCGAACGCGAACUUAUACUCUUUCGUCGGAAGCGUCGAGCUCGAGGGCCAGCAAUACCCUCUCUCUCCUCAGCAAAUUCUUCUCAGAGAUUCGAAGCUGCGGAACACCGACUACAUUUACGGGGUUAUAAUUUUUACGGGGCACGAUACGAAGGUCAUGCAGAACGCGACGGCACCGCCUUCGAAGAGAAGCAAAAUCGAGCGAAAAAUGGAUAAGAUUAUCUACCUCUUGCUCUCGUCUUUGGUGCUAAUCUCGGUUAUCGGGUCGAUCUUCUUUGGGAUUUGGACCAGGGAAGAUUUGAAGAGUAGCGGUCGAAUGAAAAGGUGGUAUUUAAGGCCCGACGAUACGACGAUCUACUUCGAUCCGAACAAAGCGGCUCUGUCCGCUUUUUUCCAUUUCCUGACGGCCAUGAUGCUUUAUAGUUACUUCAUUCCGAUCUCGUUGUACAUCUCCAUCGAAAUAGUGAAGCUUCUGCAAGCGCUCUUCAUCAACAGAGAUAUUGAAAUGUAUCACGAGGAAUCGGAUAAGCCGGCGCACGCGCGCACUUCGAAUUUGACCGAAGAGCUCGGCCAAGUCGACACGAUCCUCUCCGAUAAGACCGGGACAUUGACUUGCAACUCGAUGGAGUUCGUGAAGUGCUCGAUUGCGGGGACCGCUUAUGGCCGCGGAAUCACGGAAGUCGAAAAAGCAAUGGCUCGAAGAAAAGGAUCGCCGUUAAUGCAAGAUCUCGAAAACGGGGGAAUCGAUGAUGAGCAAGACGAGGGGAAGACGCCGGUUAAGGGGUUUAACUUCAAGGACUCACGAGUUAUGGAUGGAAAUUGGAUUCGAGAGCCUCAUGCGGAUGUUAUCGAGAAGUUUUUCCGGUUAUUGGCCAUUUGUCACACUUGUAUACCCGAAAUAGACGAAGAAACCAGAAGGAUUACUUAUGAAGCGGAGUCUCCGGACGAGGCUGCAUUCGUUAUUGCCGCAAGGGAAUUGGGUUUCGAGUUCUAUCAAAGGACGCAGACGACCAUAUCUCUUCACGAAUUCGAUCCCAUGUCGGGCCACGUAGUCGAAAGGUAAGUUGAAUUUUUAGAGGAUUUUCGAACAAUGUAGCAACAUUUUAAAUGCCGGUGAGGUAAUAUUCUCGCUUUAUGUUCUUUUUUCUCAUCUUUUUUCGUGUUCGCAGAUCCUAUCGGCUGUUGAAUAUCUUGGAGUUUAGUAGCGCUCGGAAGCGAAUGUCAGUGAUCGUUAGAGACGAGGAGGGGAGGUUACUUUUGCUAAGCAAAGGUGCCGAUAGGUUAGUAAACUAAUGUUAAUCGGCUUCUACGAUUUAGUGAUCUCGAGGCCCUUUUUCUUAUUUUGCUUUUGUAAUUUUUCUUUUUCAGUGUGAUGUUCGAGAGGCUCGCGAAGGAUGGGACAGGGUACGAAGAAGCGACUAGGAAACAUAUCAACGAUUACGCUGAUGCCGGACUGAGAACAUUAGUUCUCGCGUACCGGGAACUCGACGAGGAAGAGUACGAGGAGUUCAAUAGAAGAUUCAGCGCCGCCAAGAACUCGGUCAGCGCCGACAGAGAUGAGAAGAUCGAAGAAGCCGCGGAUAUGAUAGAGAGAGAUCUCGUUCUUCUCGGCGCCACCGCUGUUGAAGACAAGCUGCAAAAUGGGGUGAGUGGAAUUUCCAUCUUUUCUUUGAUUUGGCACGCAAAAAAAAAAACCCACGUAACUUUUUCUCUAAUUUGAUUUGGCCCCAAAUAUCAAAUUUGACACACAAUAUUUGAUGGAGUUUGAGAAAUUAAUGUCGGCGGGUCGACUUGCGCCCGAAUAAAAGUUAACAGGUUUUUAUGAUUUUUUGCGAACGAAUCUAUUUAUUUCUUGUUUAAUUUUUCCUUUUGUUAUGUAUACUGAUUUUUCGUUUUCUCAUAUAUUUAGGUGCCUGAGUGCAUCGACAAACUCGCACAAGCUGGGAUCAAGUUGUGGGUUUUGACGGGCGACAAGAUGGAGACCGCCAUCAAUAUUGGGUUAGUCCGUAGAUUCUAAUUUCGCAUGCAUUUCAAUUUUCUUUUUUUCUAUUUUUGCGACCAUUUUUUUGUAUCCUUUUAUUCUGAUUUUCUUCGUUUCGAAUUUUACAGCUUCGCCUGUAGCCUUCUGAGGCAAGGAAUGAAGCAGAUAAUUAUCACUUUGGAAACACCGGAUAUAAUUGCUUUAGAGAAAAGCGGGAACAAAGAAGCCGUCGCCAAGGUAAUCAACAUUUCCAGUGCUCUUCGAGAAAGCUACUCAUAUAAUAAACCUCGUAAUUUUUAGGGUUGCGAUAUUACUGACGACUGAGAAUACUCGAGAAGCACUUUUUGACAUAGAAGCUUUUUUCCCCCCCUCCUUUUUUGGCGUUGUAGGCAUCGAAGGAGAGUGUUGUGCGGCAAAUAAACGAGGGGCAGAAGCUCGUUAGCUCGUCAUCUGAUUCUUCUUUCGCUCUGAUCAUCGAUGGGAAGUCACUUACUUACGCUCUCGAAGAUGAUGCUAAAAACUCGUUCCUACAACUUGCGAUUAGCUGUGGAUCAGUAAUAUGCUGCCGUUCUUCGCCCAAACAAAAAGCUCUCGUAAGUUCACUACGAUUAUUAUUAUUAUUGAGUAAAGCUGUUUAAAGAAGCACUAAUAGCCUUUUCAUUAGAAAUUCUUCGAUAACUUUUUGUGUCGCUUCUGUUUUCGGAUCCCAAAAGCUCAUUUUAACUUCCUACCGCAGCAGAAGCCCUAUAUAUUUUGUUAGCGGAACACCUGAUUCUUGGUAGCUUCUGCUUUUCAGAGUAGAGAAGCAAUUUGAGAAGAGAAAGCCAAAAACCAAGCACAUAGUUGAAGUCGAUUCUUUUUAACACGAUUCCCAGUAACGUUAUUUCGCGAAAAAAUUACAGGUUACGAGGCUCGUUAAGGAGGGGACACGCAAAGUGACCUUAGCUAUCGGAGACGGUGCGAAUGACGUGGGCAUGCUUCAAGAAGCCGACAUAGGGAUCGGCAUCAGCGGCGCCGAAGGAAUGCAGGUCGGUAUUUAUUUUGCUGUACUGUUUCAGAUAUAAGUUUUAGAUAUUUGUGUUCAUCUUUCAUGCUAAUUUAUUCGGACGAAAAUUAUCCGUUGAGGAAGUAGCGAGAAAACGAAAAGAGCUAAUAACAUUUGAAUUUGAAUUAUGGAUUCAAAAUUUAAUUCUGAUUUCUUAAGUCCAUCCUUAGAAUUAUUUUGAUUUAGUUCUAAAUUUAAAAUUUGAAUUAUAUAUUAAAAUUUUAAGCUCAAAUUGUGGUUCAGAUUAGGAUUCAAAUUUUGGUUACGAAUUUGAAUUUAGCAAAUUUAAAUUUUAAUUAAAAAAUAAAAAUUUUUAAUUUCAAUCUGAGAAUGAUUCUCAUUCUGAUUCUGAUUCCUCUUAUUUGAGCCAAACAAAUUAGGAGUUUUCGAUUCCAGUUCAACUGAGAAUUUAUAGCCGAUUUAUAUAAUAGCUGCGACAUAUUGAUUGCGUCUUUCAUUUUUAUAUUCCUAAUUCAUUUUUCUUUCUUUAAAUCUUUGUGCUUAAUCUCAGGCUGUAAUGUCGAGCGACGUAGCCAUCGCUCAAUUCCGGUUUCUCGAGAGGUUGCUGCUCGUGCACGGGCAUUGGUGCUACCGAAGGAUCUCGUCGAUGGUACGGGCUCGCUUUUCAAUAGAAAUAUAAAAACCAAAUCGCAGAAACCUCCUUAAACUAUCGAGAAACUAUAUAUCACUCCUUUAAACAACAAUACUUCCAUAGCAAUCUAAAUUGAGCAUUGUUUGUGUUCCUUUUUUUUUUUUGUGCAGAUAUGUUACUUCUUCUACAAGAACAUCACGUUCGGGUUCACCCUCUUCUUUUACGAGGCGUAUACGUCGUUCUCGGGAGAACCCGCGUACAACGAUUGGUUCCUGUCGCUCUACAACGUCUUGUUCACGUCCCUUCCAGUGAUCGCGUUGGGUGUGUUCGACCAGGACGUCUCCGCUCGCUAUUGCCUAAAGGUGCUUAAACCAAUCUCUCACUCUAUAAUCCUAAAAAACUCCGUGCUUUCAAAUUGUUUUCGAUGAUGGGACUCUUGCUUUGACAGUCGGUUUCGUUAUGCUUGAUCUAGAAUAUUUUAAGUAUGCAGAAAAUAAAUUUUGUGAUUUUUCGAUAUCAUUUACCUAUUGAUUGAAAGGACUAAAAAUCAACAGCUGAAAACAAAAAUCUCACAAAAGUGGUGUUAUAGUAUAAAAAAAAUUCUAUCAAAAUUUUACUUGGUUUGGGAUAUUUUUAAACCGUUAAACUUGCAGAAUUAUUGAUCCCGAGACUCUUCGAUCACUAGAUAAAUGAUAUUAAAAAGAUUGCAAAUUUUGCUUUUCAAGUACUUCAAAUACUCUUAGAUUAAAUCUAAGAGAGUCGAUCGUCGAUUCUAAAAUUCAUAAACAUUUGUGAAUGAACUGACGGGAAGCGAAAGCACACGAAACGGAAAAGAAAAUCAUGUAGAUUUAACUGUUCAUAUGCAGAUCCUGUAAUUUGAUCUUUGCUUUUAUGAAUUAUAUAUAUAUAUGUAUCACCGAAGCCGCGACCGUAACUGUUUGUUUGUUCUGCUUCUGCUGACGCUCUUUUCCGCAGUUCCCGAUGCUGUACCAAGAAGGCGUGCAGAACGUGCUGUUCAGCUGGACGCGGAUCCUGGGGUGGAUGCUGAACGGAUUGGCGAGCGCGGCCAUCAUCUUCUUCUUCUGCACCCACAUCUUCCAGCACCAGGCGUUCCGGAUCGGCGGCGAGGUCGCGGACUUCAACGUGCUCGGGGCCGCCAUGUACACGUGCGUCGUGUGGGUCGUCAACUGCCAGAUGGCGCUGUCGGUCUCCUACUUCACCCUCAUCCAGCACGUCUUCAUCUGGGGCGGCAUCGCGCUGUGGUACCUCUUCCUCGUCGUGUACGGCGCCAUCUCGCCCGACUACUCGACCACGGCCUACAUGGUCUUCGUCGAGGAGCUGGCCCCCGCGCCGUCGUACUGGAUCGUCACCCUGUUCGUCGUGGUCGCGACCCUCGUCCCGUACUUCAGCUACGCGGCAGUCCAGAUGCGGUUCUUCCCGAUGUACCACAACAUGAUCCAGUGGAUUCGGCACGAGGGCCGCGCUGACGACCCCGAGUACUGCCAGAUCGUCCGGCAGCGGUCGGUCCGCCCGACCACCGUCGGGCUGUCCGCAAGGCUCGACAUGACAGUCAGCGAGCUGGCGCGGAAAGCCCACGACGUGGCGCACGACGUGGUUCACGUGGCGCACGACGCGGUUCACGCGCUGUGACGCCGUUCUGUACAGUCGACAGACACACGAUAAUGACGGUCAGAGAUCGACGGCGCGCUGUGAUGCCGUUCUGUACAGUCGACAGACACACAAUAAUGACAGGUAGAGAUCGAUCGGUCGGUAGCAGCAGGAACGAAGAGAUCGAGGGGUGCGCUCGCGCGCGCACUCAGCUUUUUUUUCGUGGAUUACACUUCCAUUUUUUUCUUUUUUGGUUCUUAGAUGGUAGAUAAAAGUUUCUGUAAAUGGUUGCCUUUUUAUUUAGGGGGGGAUGAGUUUAUACAGGAGGAAUGUAAAUUUUUGGUUCAUGGCCCUUUUGUGGGUCAUUGUUAUUCAUUUUGCACACAUAUAGUUCUUAAUAAAAGCUUAUUUUUAGAAAAUCUUUUUAAUCUUCUUCUUCUUCCCUUUUAAAAAAAAAAAAAAAAUUGUUUCUUGUGGAUAUUUGCAGAGUGCUCCCUCUAUUUUGCCUUUAUUUCAACCACCUCAUUCAUUGUGGAAACUAUUUCAUUGAGAGGAGAAUAAAAAAAAAUGCACAAUGAACUAGAUGAGGAGAAGGGUGUGAGUGAGUGUUAGGUUAGUGAUAUCAAAUUCAUUUAUUAGCCUAAUUGGUUUUGUUUUGGGUUUGGUUCAACAACUCAUGUAAUGGGCUAGUUAGUAUUUGGUUUGGUCUUUAGUUGACCCAUUUGGUAUAUUGGGCCAAGUGGAGUUAAGAGAGAACUCUUUGGUUUAGAGAGAGGGUGUUCUCAUUUUUGCUCUCUAGAUUUUCCCUUUUCUUGUAAUAGAGAAGAGAGGUGUAAAGAGGGUUGGAGAAGGAGCUCUCUUGUUCUUCUUGCUUGAUUCAAAGACUUCCAAGGUAGAUUGGAGGAAUUCUAAGAGGUAUUCCGAAGCGGGAUUCGCGGAAUCGGAAGGUGCUUCAAAGAAGGUGUAGUAAGAAGGAAUUUCCAUUGGAAGGUUGUAAGCCCAUUGUGAUAGAGUGGUAAUCUCUAACCAAAUCUUGUAAUCUCCUCAUUUGAUAGUGGAUUUGAUCUCUCCGUGCCCGUGGAUGUAGCCCGGUUUGGGUGAACCACGUAAAUCUUGUGUUGUUGUUGUGCUUGUGUUUGGAUUUUUCUCUUUCAAAUUCGUUUACUCCAAUCUUGCAUGUCUUGGUUGUGGAUAAUUUAGAUACAUCACAUUUGCUUACUAGUGUGAUUAGUAUCUUGAUAGUGAGGGUUCCGUCAUUAGCUCACUACAGUGAGAAGUGUUAAGUUAUAAAAGAUAUUUUGUGUUUGGUUUGAUAUUUUCUUAUUUUGUUCGGUGUAUCCGAACAUCCAAACACAACGUAUUCGUGAGCCCGGUUGAAUCGUCCUUUUUAUGUACUUAGAAAUUUGGCGAUCGGAUUGAAAGAAUGAUUGGAAGAUUUGAUAAAUUCAUACAGGCAGAUGUUUAGAUGAUGAAAAUAAUAAAGUGUUUUGAGACUUAUCUAAUGCUAGUAGGCAAAGCAGAAUUGGUCUCUCUAUUUUUCAGCAGAAGCACGGAGAAUAAGUUAUAAUCAAAACAUGACAUUGCGCAUAAAAAUUAAUAAAAUAAAAUAUAUUCUUUUUUAUCGUACCUUUUUUUUUAUCGCAAAUAACACAAUCUCCGAAUAGAGCCUUAAAUAAAACUUGAAGACCCAAUUAACAACCUCUUUUUUGUUAACCUUAUUCAUAGGCUAUGAGUGGCCCAAUAAAAGCCCAGUACAUAAUAAAACUAUUUCCUUAAACCAGUUGCACCACGUCAUCAGUGAACAGCUUUAGAUAUCAAUGGACCAGUCCGGUGCACGGAUGAUUUGGUGCACCUGGUGCACGGUUUAUUUAAAAGUAUUUGGGCCGUGUUCUCGGCUUCUUCCCCAAUCGUCUCCGCCCCCAUUUCGAUCGAUCCCCUCCCCGUCCACGUUCGGAGAACGCGAGAGCUCGCUAGGGUUCCCAUCAAUGGCGCUCUACGGUCGCCUCCGAUCCGGUCUCCCCCUCUUCCGCAGGCUCCUCAGGCCCGAAUCCAUUGUCCCCCUCCGCUCCCUCGCCGAUCCCGGCCUCGGAAACCCUAAUCUCCCGAUCUCUGAGGUGAAUCCGAUUCUUUUGCUGUGGAUCACAAUCGCCUUUCUGCUUUGAUGCUUCCGCGCCGUUAAUGCUCUAGAUCGUCGUCAUUUUUAGGUUUUUCGGUGAGAAAGUAGUGAUCGAACUGAAUUCGUAGGGUUGGCGAAGUGGAUAGGUUUCUAUCUUUUGAGACUUGAAUCCAAUUCAAGUGUUAUAAUUACAGUAGCCUUUUGCAUUUUGUUGUUUCCGGAUCGAAAUUGAGUGGAUUCGAUCUAGUUCUUAAUCUCAGCGGCAACUCCGGUGUUUUAUUUAAGUUUUUUAAAUUCUUUUUGGUGAGAAAUUUCUUGAACAAAUUUGUAGGGAUGAUGAUGCUGUGAUUGCAAUAGUGUUUCCUUUCGAUGUUUCGGGAUCAACAAUGGUUGGAUUUGAUAUUUGUUCCUACUAUUUGCUGCAGUUUCGGUGUAUUUUUAACGAAAUGAACAUUUUUGCUUUUCGUUUUUCCCUUUAGUGAGAAAGUUGUUGAACUAAUUAGUAGGGAUGAUGAACUCUAGAUGUUUCUGUUACAAUUACUUUUCUCUUUUAACACUUCUAGAUCAGCAAUGGUUGGAUUAAUCUUUGCUACACUGUUGGCGUCUCUUAUUGAUGAAGUUGGAAUCAAUCUUUUUCCUACUCAAACUAGAUUUGUUGGGAUGAUGAAGUUGAGAGGUUUUGGUUCUGAGUGCGCUAUGUGCAAUAUUAUGCUUAUUAUAUUAUGGUUUCUUUUUUUAUUUUGGAAAAAACUAAUCAUUUUAGAUUGUUUCUUGGAUAUGCUUGUUGUGAUUUGUUAAUUUUUUAUAUCCAUUUGUUUUGCAAGAUCUGAUUUCUCGGGAUAUUCUUCUUGCAGGGUUCGAGGAACUUUGCUACCCAGACAAAGCCGACUGAAGUGAAAACUAAGGUUAGGGCAGGACUAUUUAUCUGGACAUAUUUUAUAGUUUAUGAUGGAAAAUGGAAGUUUUUGUUAUCUUGUCUUAACUUAAGUACUCUCUUCUUAAUUUUUGCCCUUGAACCACAGGUUCCAUUAUCACUCUUUGGUGGAUCAGGAAAUUAUGCUUCUGCCUUGUUCCUUGCAGCCUCAAAAGCAAAUAUCUUGGACAAGGUCGAGUCUGAGAUCCUCGAUGUCGUUGAGGCUUCCAAGAGGAGUCCAGUGUUUUCACAAUUCAUAAAGGACUUAUCUGUGCCAAAAGGAACAAGGGUAAAGGCUAUAAAUGAAAUAUUUUCUGAAGCAGGGUUUUCAGAUGUCACCAAAAACUUCCUGGGUAUGCUCUACUAUAUGAUUGCACAUAAAUUCCUGUAUGGCAUAAGGUCUUACCUUGUAGUAUAUAUUGGUGAAUUUUGCACCUUCAAUGCAAGAAAGGAGAACAACAUGAAGUAUGUUAACUUAAGCAAGCUUUUGUGUGGAUCCUUCAGUCACAUAUUUGGAGGGUAUUUAGAUUCGGUGAACCGUAUGUAUUACUAUGCUUUGCAUGUGCAUCUGCUGUAUGAUGUUUAUGCAUUGCGUUGGACUCAUGUUACUCAUUUAAUAGCUUGUCUGGUCAUAUUUUUGCUUGCUGUAAUAGUUAUUUCUAGUGUUUUAUUGUUCUUCGAAGGAUUAAACUGAAAUUUUGAAAUAAUACACUGCCACAACUAUAUUUACACGAUAGGUUAGCCCUGAAUAUUAGUAAAUAUAUUUACCUAUUCAUUCUCUAAGGUCAACUUGAUCUUGAACUGCUGGGUGUAAAAUUUGCUUGGCAACGUGAACUGUCUAUUACUAAGAAAUUGUUAGUUAUCUUAGUUGCAUUUCUUGCGUGAAAAAUAUUUACAAUAGUCAAGGUGCAACAAGAACUGUUGGAGUCUUGAACCUGUAGGUUUACAAUUUAACCUCGGCUUCAAGGUUGUCAAGGUGGAUUGGUGAUCCCUAGGUGGUGGGGUCCUAUUACUGUGUUGGUAUCUUAGGCGAGGUCAUAGCAGUCGGGUAGUUUCAUAGUGUAGCGUCUACACAUGUAAUAACUUCAUGAUGUUUACAUGUCCUUUUUUUUGUUCAAUACUACAGUGCGUCUUCUUUUUUUAUUUCGGUAAUAAAUAAACCUCUAGUUUCUGAUUUCAUUUUUUUCCUAUUUUGUAAAGCUGUGUUAGCGGAUAAUGGUAGGCUGAAAUAUAUUGAGCGCAUUGCUAAGAGAUUUGUUGAUUUGACAAUGGCACACAGAGGAGAGGUGAAAGUCAUCGUCACAAGUGUAAUUGUAAGUUGAUCUUCAUAAUCAGUUAUAUUUGCCUAUGUGAUGGUUGAUUGACGCUCUAAAGAAAAUACUAUGCCAACAAUUGCUAUUAGUACUUCAAAGGUAAUAAGCAUCUAUUGCCCUGUAACAACGCAGCUUUUCAUAAAUGAUGAAUAAUAAAACAUGUAGAUGCAUGUCGAAUUCCGAUUCUGGCUUUUUGAUGACUGCAUCUAAGUUUGAGAGAGGAUAAUUGUUUUCCAGUUGAUUUUUCCAUAAAAAGAGGAAUAAAAUUACAUCUGUUGUAUUAGUCUGUGUAACAUCUGUUAACCUGGCUUCUUGUGAAAACUGAAAUCACUUGUUCUGAACAACUAAUUCAUUUUAUGUUAGUUGUUUCAUUUAGAUUGAACUUUGAUCUUAAUAACAAUCCUUUGUUUAAGUCAUACUUCAACUAGCUACCUUGGGCAAUAUGUGAAGAUCUCAAAGUAAAUUCGUCGAGAAUCUAAAAAGUUUAUCGCAAGUUUUGUAUAAUGCCUUUAGAAUGCUGAGGUGAAUUGAUUUAAAUUUCCGAGGACUUCUGAUUCAUCUUCUAGCCUGUUCCCUGGGAACUGAAUCAGUUUAUUCUAUAUUGAUCUAGCAAAGAACAAAAACUUUUCAUGAACUUUUCUGUUCUCAGAAUAUUUCUCCAAAUUUCUCACUAUUCUAUGAAUUUUGAUGUAAAUAUCAUGGAAAAUUAUGGAUGACAUUUGAAUUAGUCAACUAUUCUAGUAUUUUUUACAGUAGUUGUUGCCCAUUGAAUUUUCCAUAUGUUUUAAACUUUAGUUAACAUGAAAUAUGAAGAAAGAUCGAAUUGGCCUAUAAGAAGUUUACAUUAUAUAUAUGGGUAAAUUACACCUUUGGUCCGCAAACUAUGAGAUGCUUGACACUUUGAUCCUCAAACUUUAAUUCUUUGCAAUUUCUAGCUUGAGCUUUGUUAAUUGUUGCAAUCGACUCCCACAAUCCAAUUUAAUUGGUUAAAUAUUGAUGAGUUGCUAAUGUGGAAGUGAUGCUACAUCUUUUUUUAUUUUCACAUCAUUACUUACAACACUGCUACAUAAUUUUCACAUUCAAUAAAUUAAAGUUUGGAGACCAAAGUGUCACGCUCCUCAUGUUUGAGAAAGUUUAAUUUACCAUAUAUAUAUUUUGGUGCUAUAUAUAUACAGUUAAUUAAAUCUACCUAGUGGCUAUUCCUUUCAGAAUUCUUUGAAUUUUUUUUUUUGGUGAAUUUUACCUGAAUGCAGAACUUGUGACUAUAUUUCUUACUUAUAAGAGAUAUAACCCUCUAUCUACCUAUUAUUAUUGGUUAACAUAGGUCAAUUACCACUUAAAUAUUUUAAGUUUUCUAUGAAUAAUCAAAUGUUGCCCUAAACAAACAGCUAUUUACUACGUUUUGCAUUUUUGUUCCCAGCCACUUCCCGCAGAAGAGGAAAAAGAGCUUAAGCAAACCUUGCAAGAUAUUCUUGGACAAGGAAAAACUGUGAAGGUUGAACAGAAGGUAAUAAAUCACCUAUUUCGUUCUCAAGGGGUAUGUGUUUUGAUCUAAAAUAAAUUGAUAAUGUUAAUGUUAUUGUGUUUUCCUCUCCUUUUAACAGAUCGAUCCAAGCAUCCUCGGAGGACUUGUGGUUGAAUUCGGGCAAAAGGUCUUCGACAUGUCGAUAAGGACUAGGGCGAAACAAAUGGAGAAGUUAUUGAGGGAGCCUCUCCAUGUUUGAUAGCUUUUAUCGAACAACAUGUGGGUAUGUAUUUUCCGCCGCAGCUGCAACUCAACUUCUUUUGGUACUGUAAUAAAAUUAUCAAAAAGCAGGGCUCUCUAUCGAGUCGCUGCCUUGCACUAAAGUUAUGCUACCUUCUUUUGAUUGGCAAUCCGAUAAAUUCAAUUUAACCAGAUUUGGGGUUCUAAAUUUGUUAUUUUGAAUGAAAUUUGAUUGGCUUUUACAUUUAGUUAUGUUUAGACUCCACAACAACUAGAAAGGAUGCUUUUUGGAUAGACAAGCAUUUCUAUGUUCAAGAAACUCGAAUCACAUGAAAUCCGACUUAUAAUCGAUCGAUUGAUCGAUCAACUGUGUACUCUUUUGUGCUUUACACAUUUCCUUUUUGGUUUUGGGGGUUGCUUGUGUGGAUGUUUUCACUGUGUUUCUCUCUUCCUUUUCAUUUAGGGUGUUUUUGGUUCCACGUAAAACUGUAGAAAAAAAAAAAAUUGGUGGAAAAAAUAUUUUACAUCAUUUAGCGUUUGGUUCAUAGGAAAAGAAAAAUAAUUUUUCAUAAUAGUUGUGUUUUUUUGAAAGAAAAAAAAAAAUAACUAUUUAAUAUAUUUUUUUAUUAUAUAUAUUAUUAAUGUAUAAUAAUUACUAUUCUAUAUAUAUUAUUAUUAUUAUAAUUUCUAUUUAUAGAUUAAGUAUAUUUAAAAUUAUAAUAAACAUAUUACAUAAUAUAAUAUAUAAGAGAGUUAUAUAUUUAGGUAUAUUAAUAAAUAAUUACAAAUUUAUAAAUAAAAUACUAUAUAAUACUAUCUCAUACUAUAUAUAUAAUAAAUAAAUAAAUAUUUAUAAAUAAAAUUUUAUAUAUAUAUAAUGAGAGGGAUACAGUCCACGAGGCCGAAGUGGCCAUGUAUGUAAAAUUAUUUUUCACGGAAAUUUUUUUUAUACCGAACCAAACAGGUCACAAAUUAUUUUUCUGUCGAUUUUUUUUUUUUCCACUUGCUUUUACAUCAAACCAAGCACGCCUUUAAUGUUCCCAUUUGCUUUGUAGAAGCACUGAUUUUUAUUAUUUUCAAAAACAAUUUAGCUCAAAAAUAAAUGCGAGUUAAUGCUUCGAAGAAGCGCACCCAAUAAGUAUGCUCAUUUAUCAAAAAAUCAGCUUAAGAAAAACAAAAAACAUAGUAUAUGCAGCAGCAAUCACCAGUAAACAAACAAUCUAAAAUAAGUUACCAUUUCUGAAGCAUGUUAUUAUUAUAAAAAAUAAAGAACAAUAUUUAUAUGCCAAGUUUGUAGCACUUCAAUUUACUUGAAAAUGACAUAAAAAAAAUUCCACAAAAACAGGAAUCACGAAAUUAAAGACCCGUAUAUAAUCCUCUGUUUUUUUUUUCUUUUCUCUUGACAAAGACAAAGACCAAUAACACAAAAGGCGCGAAAAACAAAUACAAGCAUGUUCAAAAUUCUCUUCGACUCGCUGCCAGGCUAGAUUGGCUGUAAUCCGAGCUGAACUCCUGGCUACCGAACGCAAUCCGCUGAAACAUUCUGAUGUCAGCCGUGUUCGCGACGUUGAACAUCUCGCUCUUCCCGGGCUGAACGCCGUUGUUUAUAUCGACUUCGACUAAGCUGUCGAGAACCCUCACCACCUUACAAGAGCCAAAAAAAAGAAAAAAAGAAAAAAAAAAAAGAGAAAUUGAGAAAAAGCGCGAAAUUAAUUCCACACAAGAAGAAAAGUUCCUAUCUGACGAAAUGAGAUACUGAAGUGCUAUUACUUGGCUCAUUUUGGGCCUCCUCGAAGCCGAAUGGCGAAUGCACGCCGCGGCCGCUUCGAUCAUGCGGAACAUCUCGACUUCGUUGUAGUUCUUUUGAAGCCUCGGGUCGACUAACUCUUCGAAUUUUCCGCUCUCGAGUGCUUCGUUCAGUAGCGGCCUUGCCUGAAAAGAUAUCAAAUAAUCGCUAAAUCAUCAACUUGUUUCGAACCGAAAUUUGUCGUAUAUACAUAUAUAGCAAAAAAGAUACAGUUUUGAGUUCUUCAUAGAAUGCGCAAACACAAAUUACACAAACAAUUCAACCAUAGUGCCACUAAGGUUAUAAAAUAAAAUACUAUGCGAGUACUAAACUAUGUUAGAUACUUUAGGAUGUAAACAUAUGGAAACUUCAAAAUGUUCCAUAUUCAAAGUGAUUAUUUAAUAAGCAAUAGAAGCAUGUAUCAAUUUUCUCCGAUUCUCGCCCAUUGUAAAUAUGUUAACCAGGGAAACUAGAUGGAAAAGAAACAAAUGCAAAAAUGUCAUAGAAUCAAAUUUAGGGUGUGGCGGUGAAGCUGGCCGUAAAAAGAAUAUGGUUUGAAAUACCAACAAAGAGGAAAAAUGACAAGAAAAAGAAGUUUAAAUGAUAGAAAGUUAAAAUUUGUAAUUAUUUUCCAUGACUGUAUAUAGAGUUCAUGUUUACAUUUGUUAGACCAACUAGCUCCACUAGCACAUUACUGCAGUUUCCUCACCACACUAGGGUGAAAAAUAUAUAGUAAAAAUAUACAGAACUUACCUGAACUAUGGACCAUUUUGAAUCGACUACCCAACCUUUUAAAAUUUUGAUUUUACUACUCAAUUUGCGUUAGGCAAUGGUAAUUUGACUUUAAAAUUUAAGUUAAUUACUUACUUUAAUCAGUUUAUAGUUGCGAGAAUUGCAUGAAGCAUACUAAUUAAAUCUGUAAGGAUAAACGACGCAUUCAAAUUUUGAAAUCAAAGUGCUGUAAAUGACUGACUCGGAUCAAACAAAUUAAAAAGUUGAGUACUAAAAUCAAAAUUUUGAUAGGUUGGGUAGCCAAUUCAAAAUAAUCCAUUAGUUUAGAUAAAUUCUGCACGAUUUUACCUCAACAUAUUUGCAAAGUUCCCUCUUAUUUCAAGCAUGCAAGCUAAUUUUAGCAACUGAAACAAAAUUUCAGAUAAGAGGAAAAGAAUAUAUAUAGAGAGGAACAAAAAUAACUAUUAGAGCUUACCCACUCAACAAGGCUCUCAUCACCCAAAGGACGGGAUGCGUCAACGGGUUUCCGUCCAGUAAUAAGCUCUAAGAGCACAACUCCGAAAGAAAAUACAUCGGAUCUUUCCGUCAGUUUCCCAGACGACGCAUACUCCGGAGCCAAGUACCUGAGAAAUUUCAAAAAGCGUAAUUGUAAUAAUGUAAUUCAUAAGUUCAUACACUUUCGAACUAUAGGAGUAUUCAUAUAUGUAAAUUUCCGAUUCUAUAGGUUUAUAUAUGCAGUACCAAGUUUCGCAGAGAUAUGUAAGUGAACAGCUUAUUUUGUAAGGUAAAUAUAUGUGAAAUAAGUUAUCGUACCCAAACGUCCCCAUCACGCGCGUAGAUAUGUGCGUGACAUUAGUAUCGGCCAACCUCGCAAGCCCAAAAUCAGCUACCUAUAUAUAUAUUUCGCAAAUAUAAGUUAGAAAAAAAUGCAUAGCCACUUAAGUUAUGCAAAAACUUAAUCUACAAUGACCUGAGCUUCAAAGUUAUUAUCCAGUAAAAUAUUGGAGGACUUUAUGUCCCUGUGAAUAAUCCGUGGGUGACCUGGCAAAACAAGAAAAAAGUUUUUUUAAAAAAAAGAUUAAAAAAAAAAUAAAAACAAUAGGAGGAGACCAAGCAAGAUACAAAGAAUCAAAGAUAUUAAAUUCAAUCAGCACUCAUGAUAACUACUACAUGAAUAGUUUUAAGUUAGUUACUAGAAAAUUUAGAAUAAGAGUGGUUAUUACAAUCCUCAUGUAGAUAAGCUAUUCCGCGCGCUGAGCCUGCCGCAACCUUAACCCUAAUUCCCCAUCCCAUCACCGGCCUUCCUGGCGCUGCAAACACAAAUCCAAAGUCGACAUUUUUCUUAGUUUCAUAAUGUAUAUAACAUAGUCGACAUACCAUAAACAUGAACAAUAUACAAGUCGACAUACCGUAAAGAUGAUAAUGAAGCGUGUUAUUAGGCACGUAGUCAUAGACGAGCAAUCUCUGGUUCUCGGCUAUGCAAUACCCUACAAGAGAUACCAAGUGCCGGUGGUGUACACGGCUUAUGAUCUCAACCUCGGCUUGGAACUCGCGCUCCCCUUGUCCACCUCCAUCUUUUAGCUGCUUCACGGCCACCUCUCUCCCGUCGGAUAAGCAACCCUUGAACACACAGCCAAAACCGCCUUCCCCUAAGAGGUUCUGGCGCGAUAAGCCAUUGGUUAUCUGAUACAACUCCUCGUAGGGAAAGCACUUUGUAUUGCCCACGCUUAGGUCGGUCACCGACGACUGGAUACGUUGACUACCGAAUCCUCUACUUCCGAUGCUGUAGUUGCUGUAUCCAACCGAGGGGGAUCGAAGUGGUGUUUCUCCUUUCGAAUACCCUGUUGAGUCGAUUAAUCAGUUGAUAGCAUGAUACAAAAUGGUUUUACAUUUGAACCAUAAAAGUAAAUAUUAAUAGCUUGCAAAGCAUAUGAUGGUACGCUUUACUGCUUUUAAUUUCGUCCUGAACCUUUUAAUUGUGAUAGUUGGAUCCUUAUCUUUCCGCUUAUUACAAUCAUACCCAUUUGCCUAAAUUUUUAUGUCAAAUUGGAGAGAGAUGUGCGCAUAAUUGUCAUAUAAAUGCAACAUAAGCAACUUUGAGACUUCCCAUACGGCGAUUACCAACCAUUUCUGUCAAAUUUUAACCCAGGAUUUCAAUGUAAAAGGUAAGAUGCAAAUGAAACCUCCUUAAAACUACAAGUGUUAAUGAUGAUACUGAAACAUAAAUGAGCAUACGUCACAAAUGAUAAUGUAAAAUGGUUACGAGAGGGUUCUGGGGAUUACCCGACAUGUCUGAGGAAGCAUAAGGCGAAGGCGUCACGAACCCUGGAUGAUAACCGUCAUUUGGCUUUCUCCGCUUCUUCACAAACCACACAGCCACUCCUACCAAACUAAGUAUGAGAAAACACAUCACGACGGCAAUAGAUGCAGAAGCUCCGGGACUAAGCCCGCCACUCGAGGGGCUGCUCCCUCCGGAAUCGACAUUUGAAUUCGACGGCUUGUUCGAACUUGGGUUAGUUGCAGUUGCCGGAUCACUGGGAGGAGGAGGACGAGGAGGAGGAUAUAGUAAACCAGGAGGAGAAAGCUUGGACGGCACGGACGAGUUGGUUGAAAUUGGCGGGGGAGGAGGGAGCGAAGGGGGCGGCGGCGAGGGGAUAGAAGGAGGUGAAGGAGAGGAUUGUGGCGGAGGCAAACUUGUGGCCGGUGGCGGCAGCGGCGGCGGCGGCGGUGGUGAUUGGAGAUCCGAAGGUGUCGGAGGGGAUGCAAUAAUUGGCGGGGGCGCCGAAACUAUCGGUGGUGGUGGGGUGGCGUCGGAAGGUGGCGGAGGAGAUGAAGAAGGUGGCGGAGAAGACAAUGUGGUAGGAGGAGGGGGACUAGAAGAAGGCGGCGGCGGCGGUACUACGAGCGGCGGCGGAGAAGCGGCGAUAGGUGGAGGGGAAUUCAAAUCCGGUGGCGGCGGUGAGACCACCGUCGAUAGAGGAGAGGUCAAAGGAGGCAGAAGAGAUGAAGAAUCGGGGGGCGGAGGGGACGAAGGAGAAGAAUUGGGGGGCGGAGGGGACGAAGAAGAAGAGGAAUCAGGAGGCGGAGAGGACGAAGAAGAGGAAGAGUCGGGGGGCGGAGGCGGAGAAGAAGAAGAAGAAGAAUCGGGAGGCAGCGCAGAGGCCAUCUCCUUCCCUUCAACUAAUACACACACAAGAUUAGCACCUAAAUUCUCAAAGAGAACUCAAAACUGCAUGAACCUCAACUUCUCUCCACUAGAGAAGACCCAAAUUUGUUCCUUUUCAAAGCAUACCACAAUCAAUUACCAACUAAAGAAUGAAACUACCAAUGCCUCUAUUGCUUAGAUUAGCAAUCAAAAUCCAAUCUCUAUGCACUAAGUUGAGGAACCCACAUCUCCUAACACUCAUUACAACAACAAUUAGUUGGAAGGGGCAAAUAAGCAAACACCUGGAGUGCAAAAAAUUCCUCUAUCCAAAAUAAAGAACCACUACACAAACAAAAACCCAAUUUUUACACCAUUUCGUAAUAGAAAACGACCACCCAAUCCAUCAAUGCCCAAAUACCCAACAUUUGAUCCAUCAAAAUCAAAACUUGGCUAAUGAAAACACCCCAAAAUACCACCUUUCCCCCAAAAUCAGAUCCCAAAAUGGCUCUUGAACCCCAAGUUUGGUUGAUAUAAGCCCAGAUGAAGCACCCAAUCAACAAAAGAAAUGGGCAAUACAGAUCAUAUGAAGGGACCAACCAAUUAUGCAUCAAUCUCUCUCUCUCCCUCCCCCCCUCUUCGUGCCAGGUCCAACGCUUCUCCAUCAUGGUUUUCAUGGAAACGUGCAUGCAACUCAGCGGAAUCAGAGAGAGAGAGAGAGAGAGAGAGAGAAAUAGAAUUAUUAUAGUCAUUUCUAUUACCUUAUUGUAUUAUGGUGAAAAUGUAUGGAGGACCCCUCAACUAUAGGCUAAUUUGAAAUGAACUCCUCAACUUUAUUUUUAUUUUUUUUGGGGUAAAAAUCAAAAGAACUUCUCUAAACUAUGAAACAUUUUGAGUUUGCUAACACUUUGAGUUUGCUACGCAAUCUUUGAAUUUUUUAGUUUUACUACACGACCUUUCAAUUUAUUUAUUUGAGUCGGUAACGACACUUUAACUUUAAAUUUUAAAUACAUUGUUUAUUUUUACAAGUUUAGUUAGUGUAUUUAAUACAAUUCUCGCAACUAUAAAUUAAUUAAAAUUAAGUAAUAAACUUAAAUUUUAAAGUCAUAGUAUUAUUGACCGACUGAAAUUAAAUAAAUUGAAAGAUUUGGUAGCAAAAUCAAAAUUUUAAAAGGUUGAGUAGUUGAUUCAAAAUGGUCUAUAAUUCAAAUAAAUUCUGUGCGUUAUUAUCUAUUAAAUGAGCUUCUAAAUUUUCUUUUUAAGUUAAGUUUUUAAUUAAUUUAUAGUUGAUAAAUUUUCUUGAUACAUUUGUAACGUAACGAAAAGUCAAGGGAUCUCAAUCCAAAAAAAAAAGUUGAGGGGGUCUCCAUACAUUCUUACCUCAUCAUAUUAUAGUAGCUUAGAAGUCGCUAAUGAGUUAGUCGCCUCCCUCCUAACUCCCACUGUUAGCAACUGAGAAUUAAUUUCCCAAAAAUAAAUAUUUAUUUUCUAUUAAUUAAUAUAGUAAAUUUUACAAAAGUUAUAUACAAAAAUCAUAACCUUUAAAAAUAUUUUGUCUAAAUAUUAAGCAGUCCAAAAAAAUAAAAAUCCAAAAUUGGAGCGGCGCCAAUAAUCUCAAGAUGGAGAAAGUUAUUGUCUAAAGCUAGAUGUCCAAAUGUCUAAUGUUUUAUUUAUAUAUAAAUGAUGCACAAAGUUAGAACUCUAUUCUAUUUGGAGUGGUAUCUUACUGAUGGCUCGGGACUUUUUUGAUACUGAAUUGCUCUGAAUCUAUGUAUUGUUGUGUCGGGCAACAUUUUCUAGAUGAACCGCCCAACACUGCUCGUCAGUCUGGACUGUUAGCUUAAAUCGACCAGCAUCCUGUUUUGUAGUGGUAAGCCGAGUGGACUAAAUCACGUUCGAAAUUGCAUGAGGCCUGGUUGGGCUGAGUCAUGUUUGAAGUAGCGUGAGGCUGGAUGGGCCGAGUCACAAUCGAGAUCUAUAGCCGCUGUGUAUACACGUUUUAAGUGGAUUAGUUGCAUAUUUCUAAUAAGUCGAGCUUUUGAGAUCAUUGGUUAGCGCCAACGAUCAAACGUGAACCAGAUCGUGGAAUGAUACGCUUAGCUUUGUACCAGCUCUUUUUUUUUUAAUUUUGUUAAAAAAAUUAUAAAAUGUAAAUUUUUUCUACGUGUUGAUGAGUAUUUACUCUUUAUCGGAGCAUAGCAUGAGUACUGUUGCACCUGUUCCCUGCCGGCGAGAAAGUCAGCUGUGUCACACCUGUACCACAUCAUAAAAAACAAGCCAAUUACAUAUAUUCUUUUGAACAAAAAGUACAACAAAAAUAUUUUUUUUUUAUAAUCAUGAUGGGACAGAUUUGUUAGAAACACUAUGUUAUCAAUAUAACCGGCGCAUUCUAAAACUUUUUUGUGCGGGCACUGAUAUUUAUAGGCCGAAUUGGGCUCCCCUUUCUGGGAUGGCUCAGCUUGGCACGAUUUUGGAUCAUGCCGUGUCACAUCCGUUCAGCACCAACAUAUGGGCUUGGAUCGACCUCCUUCCAACAAAACAAGGCCCACAACAGGCCUGGGCCAUUGUCGAGUUAAGGAGUUAGCCCGUAGUCUGACACGACACGGCACGGCACAACACGGUACAAUCUCGACACUUAAGCAGAACCUUCGCCUUGGUCUUUGAAGGGCUCAAUGUCUCUCGGAUAAAAGCCUAGCAGAAAUUAUAUUAUAACUAACUAAUUAUAAUAUUUAUAAUGUGAUAUUAUUUAUGAAAAUAAAUAAAACUGUAUUGUAAAGCAUAGCAAAGACAAAAUAAAGUAGAAGUUAAAUAACUUAAUGCCAAGCUCAAAUUUCAUUAAUUUUUCUAACUAAUUAACAUUUAAUAUUAGGAUCAAAUAACUUAAAUACUUCUAAAUUUACAAAGCUAUUGAAAAAGUAAAACAAAUAAUUAUAAACUUUUAAUCGCCAAAAUGGCUGUUACCAGCUACAAUUAGUUACAAAACUUUUUUGGAAAUAAUGUGGCCGAUUAAAAUUUAAAAAACGAAUUGGGAACUCAUUAUAAUGAUUUUUAAAAACUUUUUGUAGAGUUUAAAUGUUGAACUAUAAUUAAUCUAAAUUCCAGUGAGUUUUUUUUGCAUAUUUCUCCCGCUAUAAAUAUCCCAUUUGUCCCUCUCCUCCUCGUCACACAUUCUCUCUCUCUCUCUCUCUCUCUCUCUUUCUCUCUCUCAUGAGUCGUGCUUCGUCUCUUCUCUCUCCCGUGAGAUGGGGAAACCCCCUCUCCGUCUAAACUGGGGGGAGCUUCUCCCCGCGAUGGGCGACGCCGCGCCGGCGCCGGAGUUGGAGAUCGUCGCCGCCUCCUCCGCCGCCGCGCCGUCCACCUCACCCACCGUCGACGACGGCGGCGGCGGCGGCGGUGGGGAGGAGGAGGCGUCGCCACCGCGGCCGAGGCCGCCGCCGGAGGAGGGGGAGAUGGCGGAGUUCUCCGAUCAUCAGCUCCAGGAGAAGCUCAAGCGGGUCCUUGAGAUCUUCUCCUCCGGGCUCGCCCUUAACCUCCCCGACAAGGGCGAGAAGCUCCGCCUCACCCUCCGCCGCCUUCAGCUGGAGCUCGAUCGGCGGCGCUUCCCCCCUCCGGCGCGGAAGGUACAGGGACGAAACCCUAGUCCGAUUUGGUAAUGCAUAGAGAUUUCUAGGGUUUCUUUCGUUGUCACCAUGUGGGUUUUAGGGUGUUGAGGAUUGGUGCAUCAACAUUCGCUAUUCUUGACAAAUUUUGUGAUCAUGGUCAUGGUGAUAGAUAGAAUCUUUCUUGUUAGGAGUAGAGAGCAAAAUGGGUAGAGACAUGGGAGAGGAUGUCUUUGUACUCGCUGAAGGUGACAGAGUUGUAUAAGAAACAAAUUUCACUUUGGUAACGCAUACUGAUAUCUAGGGUUUGGGGUUUUAUGAUCGGGCAAGGCAUAAAGUUAGAAUACUGAGAACUGGUGCUUCAAGAUUUGAGAUUCUUAACGACCGUGUCUCCGCACAGGAUGGUAGAGAGAGGUUGGAGAGGGUGUCUUUGUUCCAGGUUGAGGUGACAGAGUUGGUUUGGUGGGUUUAAGAGAAGCUAAUAGAUGGUUUGGGAUGUAGUUCUUAGCAAAAGAAAGUUUCAUUUUUCUCUUUUGUUUUAAUUAUUUAGCGCAUAAAAGAGAGGCAAGUGAAAGAGAGAAGAGUGAAAGAGAGAAGACGAGGCAAGUAGAAAAGGGCAUCAGAAUGCAUGAUACUUGGUAGUUAUAUUCUACAAUUGGAGGAGUGGAAAAAGAUGAAGUUGAUCAUCGAAUCAUGAGAGAAACGAGGCAUGAAAUCUGCACUUCUCAAUAACUCUUUUGCUUAGCAUGCUAAAGGGCACACGACUGACGCUUUCUUUAUAUAAUAACCUAGAAAGAAAUGUAGUUUAGGGUACCCAAAAAGAAAACAACCCUUACUUCAGGCAGCAAAUAUAGAUGGUAACAUUAAGUUUAUUGUAUCGGCCACUUAAUCUUUUGGCAAAUUCUUUUCUGCAGGAUGCCAGAAGAUUCGAUAGGCUCAUGCAACCAAGAAAUGCAGAAUCAUCUGGUGGGUAAAAUACUAAUUUAUUUCAUAUAGAAGAUUCUAGUUCUUGCAAUCUUCUGUUGGUUAUUUAAAACAGUAACAAGAAAACUUUGAGGAGUUUUUCCUUUUAAUUUCUCUGAUGCGCUCGCUAUUUUGUAAUUUGUAUCAAAAGUUUGUCAAGUUAUCUUAUGCUUUAUGCACGAUACUGUGAUUAUUGUUAUCAUCUGGUUCAUUUUCCAAGAUCCUGAUGCUUAAUCAACUUCCAGGCACUACUAAAUAUUCCUCUUUAAAUCGUAUAAUGAUGGAAUCUGGUCCACAAUCUUCAUUUUCUAAGCACUGCAUUAAAAGCUCAAAGAAUGAGGUAAUUGUUACCGUCAUACAGUACAUCAAUUCUGUUAUAUAUUCUGGCAAAGACAUUUUCAUUUUUCGUUUAUCAGGCAGAUGUUGCAUUCAGUGAGGACUUGGGGAUCCUUAGUCGAGAUAAGUGCAACAGCUCUUCGGAAUAUGAGCUAAAAACGCAUGACGAGAAAGAUUCUGCUAAACCAUUUUCAAGACUAGGGAGAACUUCUUCAAGAGAAUCACCUUCUAGAUCUGUUAACAGCUAUGCGGAUAAAGAAAAAAAUAGAUCAUCGGAUGAUAACAACAGGGAUGUGAUAUUGUCAAGUACUUCUUCUAACACAGAUAAAAAUCAUUGUACUCUUUCCGCUAGAAGGUCAGUUCUUACUUGCCCUCUAUGGGUUUCUCACUGAAACACUUUGUUAGGGUUUGCGAAGAAUUUGUUAGAUGAUUGCGCUGCCUGUAGAUUCAGUUUAUUUCUGUUCUACACGUAACCAUGUUAUUUAACUUUUCUACUUUGUCAUGCUGGAAAUUGUGCGUGUGUUAUCUAUUUGCUUUCGUGAUAAGUUAGGCUUGCUUGUAUCUUGGCUUAAUUAGAGAGUAACAGUUAAGUAAUUGAAUGCAUUAUUUCUUUCCAUUACUAGUAGUUUUUCUAGGAAUGUUCUAAUCUUGCAUAUAUUGUCCUUAACCAAAAUAGAUGACAUUUCAAGCGUUAAACGAAUACGUGUAACACUGUCAAAGCAAACUGCUAGUUUCAACCUCAUUAUUAUAUGUUUAUAUCAUCUUAUGGUGUCGGUUAUGCUAAGUUGCCGUGAUGUAUUAUGCUCCUAAUAAAAUUAAAAAAAGGGAGAUAAGAAUGCAUCUUGCUUGUUGCUGGACUGAGUCUCUCUCGUGAAACGGAUUUAACACACUAUAUAUUCUUGUAUUUAUAUAGUAUUCUUGAACAAAGAUGGAUUUGUAGUACAGUUUUAUUAUCUACAAACUAUGAUGCACAAGUGCAGUUUCAUAAUCUACAAACUAUGAUGGCUUUUGUUUGAGUGUAGAAACUGGAGUACAGUUUCGCAACCAAUUAUUAUUCACUAGUUAUCAUGGUGCUCUACUUACAUGGUGGAAAUGCUUCUCUUUUUUUUUUUUUUUUUUGGUCAGGAAAAGAAGAACUGAAUUUGGGGACUUGGUGGGAUUGAAGUCACAAAAGGUGUGGUUGCUUUCUGAGACUUUUGAUCUAUUUAGUCAAAUAGCAUGUUUGAAGUGUCUCCCCCAACUCAAGUCAUUAAGUUGUUUCAAUUUGUCUUUAAUUUUAGAUUGUUUUCCCUUAGCCAUUCAAGGGAUACCUGUAGAUUCUCUUUGAUGCUUACUAUUUCUUCUUUCCUUUGGUUUUUUGCUUGGAUUAGAUGCACUCUGCAUCUCCUAUUUUCAAAUUAUCAAGCCUCAUCAAACUUUUGCCCUCGCUCUUUACUUGCUCUAUGCAAUCAUUUCCUAGUGGGGUGCUUCUUCAAAAGUAAAUAACAAAAUUUGCCAAUAUUGUUUUCUGUGCAAUUGUGCAUAAUCUGUUUAGUUUAGGAAGUUGCCUUAUCAAAAUUGGCAUACAUAAUAGGGACCUCUAAUUUGUGCAUCUGAUUUUUAACAUAAGGCAGGUCCAGGAGGUAGUUCUUUUGGAUGAAGAUAUGCCUUCUAUACUGCCUACAGAAAAAGAUACUACUGUACAGCCUAAACGAGAAGAUACAACUGAUGAAUGGUGAACAAUUUUUCAGAAUCCUCUUUCUUAUGCUAUUAUAUUCUCUCAUGCAAGGUUCUUAGUUGUUCUAAGUUCUUGUUCUACACUAACGAUAACCCUUUUCUAGGAAGGAUGCAAAGAUCUAUUAUCCUUCAAGGUGCACAUUCUUUAAGAUUGAUGGAGCCAUUCUAUCUUUAGCUGUCAUAUUUUGGAUAGAGAUAUUUAUUACAUAUCUUUUUUGCUGACAGGGAGCAUCCACAGUCUGUCGAGCUUUCUUAUGCAGACAUAAAAUGUCUAGAUCCCGAGUCAUAUUUGUCAUCACCUAUAAUAAACUUUUACAUCAUGUAAGUGUAUAUUCUUUAGCCUUCUGGCAUUUUUUGGGAAAGUUUGAUACUCAUAGUUAUGUAAAAUGUUCCUGAAACCACUUGAACAUCAAAAUUGUGACCUAUAAUCUCUGAGUUCUUUUUUAGUAAGUUAUUAAAAA